rnacentral:lncRNA from 1 species
CGUGGUGCUUCUUCUCCCUUCAUCUUACUCCGGGUGAAAACUUGAUCUUUGGAUCAGAUGGUGGCGACGUUCUUGCUCGUGCCCUUCCUGGAGGCACCGUCUUGGAGUCCUCAGUCCGGCGUGUCCGUCGCACAUUCUCUCGGAUGAUCACUCCUUGGUGGUGGUCUCCGUCGGCUCCUAGCGGAUCCUUUUUUGCUCAUCUUUUAGAUGCUUUGUGUCGUUGAGGUUGUGUGUCGGUGCCCGACAUUCGUGUAUCUUGCCUUGGGUCAGUGUGGCGUGCGUUUUGUAUUGGAUGCUUGAUGUUGUGGUUGUGCUUUAUAAUAUAAAGCGAGGGGGAACCCUUUUUUGUAAUUUCAACGUCCCCACACUUGAGAUCAUGGGUAGUAUAAUUCCUCUUGUGACCAUUCGCAAUCUUAUGAAAAUAAUAAGUAUUACAAUCCCCUUUGAGCAACCAGCACUCAUGGGAAUGCUGAAGCCAAUAGAUCUUCUCAUUGACCAGCAUCUCAUGCAACUCAAAAUUAACGUCCACUUUCCUACUAUACAAUUCUGGAAGAAGAGGGCCAUCCUCCUCAAGCUCUUCUAACAAUGACAACACCAAUCUAAGGUGGUGUUUGGUUCUCUAGUCCUAGGACUUUUUCUAGUCCCAAUUAAAAAGUCCCUAGUUCCUAAAAAGUCCCACCCUGUUUGUUUCCAGAGACUAAAAAGUCCCUAGUCCCUUCCUAGAGGUUAUUAAAUGACCAUGUUGCCCCUAGUAUAUAGAAAAAAACAAUCAAACAACACUAUGGGGUGGAGGGCCAAUGGGUGCAUGGAGGGGCAUUGUUGAAAAAGUCCCAAAAAGUCCCAAAAAGACUCUCCUUGAGAGUGUUCUUCAUUUAGUCCCAAAUGCCUAGUUUAGUCCCUAAAAAGUCCCUCCCGUUUGGUAAAAAGUCUCUAAGAGGGACUUUUUCUAGUCCCUACACAAAAAAGUCUCUGGAAACAAACACCCCCUAAGAUUUUCCUUUAGCUUCUUAGCAUGACCAAAUUUAUCUGAACCCCAACCUUUAAAAUAAAGGUAAUUACACCAAUGGUGUCUAAACUUGCUACCAAUAUUUAGUUUAGUGCACGAACUUGAAGAAUACACCGAUUUGGUGCAAAAACUUGGCUUUCUGAUGCAAAUACAGUCCGAAUCACGUUUUCAUACGUCCGCGCUGCUGACUAGAUGCCAGCGUGGCUGCGGGACCCAAUGUCAGCUAGUGCCAUCGCGCACAGAGGCAUGUGGCCACGCGGCUGGGUGAAAUAUCACAGAAACCCCCUUUGAUCUGUUUAUUUUUCACACAUAAGCCCCUGAGCCGGUGGGACACAGCAGCCGGCCCAUAUCCUAACAUCCCGCCUGUGUCAUGAUCUGCCUCGGGCUCUUCUCGUCGUCUCUCUCCUAGUUCGAUCGUUCGGUGCCGCCACCUGGGUGGAUCGUGACGGCACCAUUGAUCGUCGCGGGCGCGAAUGGCGGCGCCUCAUCGGCGAGCUCUCGGAGAUGCAGCUCCUCCAUAUGGUGAGAAUUGCGUCGUCUCCUCUGCCCCUCUGUCUCCUGGUUUCUAUAGGGUUUUAAAUGUAUGUAUGGCGCGACAGGAACUAGGAUCUGUAUGUCAUGGUGCUGCUGUGAUGAUUCUUAGUUGUGUUUAGGUUAUUCCCCUAAUGCACAAUGACACUUUAGGAUUUGAAACUGAUGUUUGUUCUUAGGUAAUGCGUGCGUUAGAAAGGCACCUCUUUUUUGGUAUUUGUGAUGGACAAAAAAAUGCAGAUUUGGUGACAUAGAGGAUGGUCAAUUUGAUCUUAUUAGAAAUAUGAAGUAGGUAUACUGAAAAUUUAACAGUAGCAUUACUGAACUUGAUGGCAGUAGCAUUCCUGAACUUUUUGACAGAUGCUUAACUGAAUGUUGGACGCUUAACUGAAUUGUUUGACACUUGCUUAACUGAAUUUUGACUAGUAGGUACACACUCAAUUUUGAUCAAUGACCAUGUAUGUACGUGCAUAGUGUAAGCUAGUCAGUACUUGUUGGGUGAGUUUCUGUAAGCAGCCAGCAAGCAAAGGGCAUUUGUUGCCUGGACAAUUUUGUAAGAAACAGAGCAGACAUACACACCCGUAUAUGAUGUUGCCUUCAAAUCUUUGGUACACAUUCUUUAUAUGAUGGAAGAUUAACUCCUGGCAUAUGCUUACAGAGAUCUUUGGUGUGCAUUAUGCAAUUGAGCCUUACCUUAAUUUAUCACACCCGUAGCUCACAGCUGCAGAGCCACUCAGCCUUCAGAUGUCCCUACUCUGCUCUGUAAAGACAAGAACUCGUCUGAACCACUAGGAACCUCUUCCUCCCCAUGACAGCCAUCCAUCCUGUGGCACUUUUUUCUUUUUCAUUAUCUGCGAAAGAACGGACUUUCAUUCAUUGACAUGGGGCAUAAAAUCAUCCUGAUAGACGAGCUGAAUCUCUUCCUGCCCAAACCCUAACCAUUAGUUGGUAGGCAGAAAAAAGUGGAAGGCAUUCGUACCAAAGGUUGCUCGUGUGUAUGUGUGCUCUGUUUCUUACUCUGCUAGAUCUUCCUUGUUUCUUCCAGAAAUUCCACCGAGCAACCUGUGUGCGUGUGUGAGUCUAUCUUACCAACACAGCGGGAGACUCUCUGCCAAUAAUUUGUUUGUUUUAUCAAUUUUGGGUUGUUUACUGCAAGUGUUUUAUGAAGUGAAUUCUAUGCUGUUAAGAUAGUGUUCUUACCACUUAUUUAUCCAUAUUUAUUGAUGCUAAAUGAAUUAUUAACUAAACAUCAUUCAGAAUUUGUUUACUAAGUUGUGUGUUGUAAGCUGAGGUAAGAGUGAACUAGUUACUUCUUCUUUGCAUUGCAGGUGCUUUUGAUGGUCUUUUCUGAGUUCAGAUUCAUCGCAGAGGCUUCUUUUGUGGAACUGACAGCAACAACACAUACAAGGAUUAUGAAGUUGACUGGUUUGACAACUGUGACAGUGAUACUUGGUCCAUUCUAAGGAUUGAUGAUUUUCUGCAGCAGCUAGGGUAUGACAGAAAGAGUGUAAAGCUUGAUGUGUUUUGGUGUCAGUCGGGAAAGACAUUGGGUGAUGGACUAAGAGAGAUAAAGUGUGCUUCCGACAUCCUUGCAAUGAUAGCAACAACUACAGAGCACAAGAAUUUGUUGCUGAUUGUAGACCAUGGAGAGACACUUAACAGAGUUAUGAGAGAUGACAUUAUGCUAAAUGAUAAAAAUAUCCAAGAUUAGGAAAGAAGUGUGCCAAAUGAUAGGAGGGGAAGGAGGUUAUUUGGGGAAGGAUCAUCAUCAUGUUGUGGUGACGAAGAAAUAGAGGAGGAAGGUGGAGUAGACGCAGCAACAGCAGAUUUAGAGACUGAUGAGGAUUUCUAUGAUAGUGACUUUGAUAUAGAGAUGGGGACGAUGAUUUGUUCGAGACAAACAUAGAUAAAGAAGUGGAUGAUCACAGAGAGAAGGAUACAUCAUGUGACUAUGAAGCGGAGCUAGCUGAGGAUGCUGUCAAUGAACCAUUCAUGUCUGAACUUGAUGAAAAUGCACCUAAGUUCAUCAAUGAACUUGAUCUUUUGCUUAGAGGACUAUUUUGAUUACCAGACUUGUUAUUAUUAAUGUAAUGAACAUUUGGAUGUGAUGUACCUUGAACUUAAGUAUUUGGCUGUCAUGUUAUGUACUAGACCUAUUUAUAGUGUUGCCGUCAAUAAUUUGGUACUGAAUAUCACUGUCUUGCUGUCAAACUGUAGUUGUGAUGACCACAAAAAUGUUGUCAAAAUUUGGCACUGAAUAUCACUUUCUUGCUAUCAAAAUUUAAAAUUUUUGCACCGAAUAUCAUCGUGUUGCUGUCAAAUUUUAGCUAUGAUGUUCACACAAUUGUUGUCAAAAUUUGGCACUGAAUAUCAAUUGGUGCUGUCAAAAUUUAGUUAUGAUAUACUACUGUAGUACAUGAAUCAUUCGAUUCAAAUCAUGUUUGAUGUACAGGUACAUGAAACAAUAAUUUCAAUUUGAUACAGGAGAUUGAUUUGGUACAGGAGAUUGUUGUACAUGAAAUUGACAUUAAUAUGAAACUGCAGUACAGGAAACAAAAUAUCUCGAAUUGCCAUUUUCUUUCAAUACACAGACCAAGCAUUUCAGUAGUAAAUCUCAUUGAUUUCAUCAAAAUACUAAUUUUGUCUCAACUAAACCAAAAUACAUUAAAACAAAAUGCAUCAGGACCUGACAGCCAUUGCAAACAUGAUUGCGACUAAACCAAAAUACAUUAAUAUAGCAAAACAUUAUCAUCCUAUCUCUGGAUAGCAACUGAUCUCCAUUGCAAUCAUUCUCUUCUCCAUUCUCUGCUUCUUCUUGAGAGCUUCUAUGUCACCAUCUUUCUCUUUCAGCUUCUUCUCCAGAACCUCUUUCUUGCUAGCAAGAUUAGCAAUCACAAUUCUCUCCCUUCCUUGCCAUGGUUUGUCGAUCCUGUUAAUAAACAGUUCACACACUAAUAAGAGGCUCCAGUAAUAACUGAUGUGAUCUACUCAAAUUAUCACAAACCACAGAAUUAAGAGGACCUCCUGAAUUCAGACCCAAUGUUACCUCAUACUGUCACACCAAAAACCAUGGCCCUGUGUCACACCUUCAUUGCAUACACGUCGAGCAGGCGCAUCUCUGUGCCCACACAAGUCGCCCUUGAGACAGGUGUAGGAGCGCCGUGAGUAGCAGAGGAGGACCAAUGGCCGAGCGGCGGGAGGAUGAGGAGGAACGGAGGAGGUACCUUGCGCCGUAGAGUCUGGAGGUACUGCAGCAACUGGAGCCGUGGGCAAAGGCGCACGUGCUGCCGCUGCACAAGCCGGCGGACGAGCUGUGGCAGUCGGCGGACAUGCUCCUGGACGCGCUGGCGCUGGGCACGGACGGCCUCAACGCGGCAUGCCUCGAGCACCGCGGCAGGGUGUAGGGCGUGCCGGCUGCGCAACCGGUGUGCCUGGUGAAGAACACGGUCACGGAGGAGGCCCUCGCCGCAGUCCUUUUUAUUUGCCUACUUGAGCGCGCCGCCACGGUGGAAAGGGGAUUGAGGGUCACGGCUUAUGUGCGAAAAAUAAACAGAACGAAGGGGGUUUCCAUAAUAUUUCACCCAGCCGCGCGGCCACACCCCUCUGUGCGUGAUGGCACUCGCUGACAUUGGGUCCCACGACCAUGCUGGCAUCCUGGUCAGCAGCGCGGACGUAUGCAAACGUGAUUCGAACCGUAUUUGCACCAAAGAACCAAGUUUAGGCACCAUUGCUGUAAUUACCUCUUUAAAAUAUAUCUUAAUUUUAUUGAGCUUGAUGUCAAGAACGUCAAUAGGAUCUGAGGCCUGCACAGUCCUAUUCCAGAUCUUAUCGACCAGACCUAGGAAUUCAUCGUUUUUAACACAAGACAGGUCAAAACAGAAUUCACGGGUUUUAGGUGCCUCUCUCUCUUCAUCCCCGGACGAAAGUCAUAGAGGGUUAUGGUCAGAAAUUUCAGGCACUAAUUUCCUAACAGAAACUAUAGGAAAUAGGUCCUCCUAACUAUCAGACUUGAGAUUCCUAUCAAGUUUAUGAAGCGUCUGAGAAAACAUGACCAGCCAUUCAUGUCCAGAAACAGCUAAACUAACAGAAGAAACAAGAAGCUGUAAGAGUUUUUUUCUUUCAUAAAGGGCGACUUUGUUAUCUUAGAAUGUAGCAUCAAGUGAUACAAAGCAUUGUGAGUAACACCCGGCCUGUACGUAAAUUGGACUAAGAAGCCGUAAGAGUGUGCAACCAAAUUAACACUCCAACAAUGGGUAUCCACUCCAUUCAAUCAUUCAUGCAUCUCACGCACACAAAGAAGACAAUCCGGUGACAACAAAUACUCAUCGAAGAUAUUCCCCAAAAAACUCCUGCACUAAUUCAUAAAAAAGAGCAAAUCUAGCACGUAUUCAUCGAGAUUACAAACCGCUUGUAUCUCUAGCUAGCUAUAGCUUAGAGACACCUUGCCCCGUAGCCUGCGCUCCUCAACAAUGCCUGCUUGAUCUCGUCUGUGCUUAUCACCUGCCUCUUCCCUUCCGCCUACACACCGGGCACGCCGUGAAUGGACAUUGGCGAUCGAAUUUCAUUGGCAUGCAAUGAAGGAAAACUUAGAGCUAGUAUUUCAGAAGGACUUUACUUGUGAGCACGAGGCCUGCAUGGCGAAGUCACUGAAGCAACUCACGACACACUGCUCGAUCUCCAGCCCCAGCACGUCCAGCGCGGUCACCGUCGCAAUCAGCGCUCCGGGGUUUGUCGAGCAGCAGAUCUCAAUCUUCGUGUCGCCCCCGCCUUGGUUCUCGACGUUAGCACAUAACUUGGUGGAACUCCUCGUCGGCGUCCCCUCGUUGCCACCGCUGGAGAAAUUUUUGAGCAGGUUCAGCUCCUCGGGCGUGGUGCCCAUCUCCUCCUCCACGGUUUUAAUCCGCUCGGUCAGUUCCUUGACGUAGUCUAUGGUGUCCCCGAGGGUCGCAGUCCUAUCCAUCUGCAGUUCGAUUGAUCGGUUAAUUAGAUCUACACAUGUUAAUUAAGGUCCACAACUCAUAGAUAAUUCGAUAUACAGAAAUUAAGGGCGAUGCGACAGCACACCUUGCUAAUCUUGGGCACGGUGGACCGGAGCAUGGAGAGGCGGUCGUUGAGCCGCUUCCGGCGCCGCCUUUCCGCCAUGAGGUUCUUUGACGGAGUUCCGCUUCCGGCAUUGAGCUUGCUCUCCGGGUGGGUGCCGGAGGCCGGCAUGCUUCUCAUCCCCGAGCUCUCCCCGGCCCCUCCCCCGAACACGAACGUUGACGAGCUCGCAAUAGCGUCAUGGAGGGGAAGAGUGAGCGGCGCCUUGCCGGCAGCAGCCUGGACGACCGCGGGAGGGUCAGGGAUGCAGCUCCUCCAGGGGUUGCACACUUCGCUCAGGUAGUUGAAGUCGAACUCCUGGUGCGGGUGCGGACGCACGGCCGGCGGCGAGGGCAGCAUGGGCUGCUGAAAUGGGCCACUCCUCUCCUCGGCAGUGCAGCCCUUGCCGCCGCCGUAGAAGAGGAGGUCGCUGAUCGUCAUCAUGCUGUUGCUGCCCGGGUACGGCGGCGCCGGCGCCUCCUCCCGGUGAAGCGGCAUGAGCUCCUCCAAGAAGGACUCCUCAUCAAGCGGAUCCAUCCCUUAGUUGGUGUUAUGCUACUAGCUUUAGAAUAUGAUUGCUUCCCUCGCGCUUGCUUAAUACAGCCACGUCCACAGGCCCAACUUGCAGGUUGCAGCCUUGCAGGGGGUCACGGAAGCAACAAACCCAAGCGACAAUAAUUCCGCGGCACCACCUGGCUAGUAGGUACUCUACGGCUAGUUUUGGUGUCGCCACGUACUGGUCACGCAGAAAAGGGCAGACAAAACCUGAGAAUUGAAUGGAAUCUCCCCGUUUUUAAUUAGCCAGGCCCAUCUACGUACGUUGGCAGUUUCAAUUAUCGUCAGUGUCGUUUUCGAUCGCCAGAAUUCUGGUACUGUUUCGCGGCCACGGGCUGGCGGUGAUCGAGACCCGGCGACCAAUCCCCGAUCGAGCGAGCCGUUUGAGAUCGUGGGCACGCCUAUUUGCGAGAGUCAAGGGGGGCUUAACCUUGAUCCGGUUGUGAGUUUGUGACCGGGACGUUGGCAACAAACAAAAACAGUGCGCGGGCGCAUGGAACAAAACCGAGAGCUGUCGAAUGUUGUCAUGUGUGCAGAUUAGUACCAUGUAGACUUGCUGGAGCGCUACAUUUGCUUGGAAAAUAUCAGGUGAUGUAGAGCAUGAUAACAGCUCCCGCGAGCCGAGCCGUUUGAGAUCGUGGGCACGCCUAUUUGGAGAGUCAAGGGGGGCUUGUGACCGGGACGUUGGCAACAAACAAAAACAGUGCGCGGGCGCAUGGAACAAAACCGAAAGCUGUCGAAUGUUGUCAUGUGUGCAGAUUAGUACCAUGUAGACUUGCUGGAGCGCUACAUUUGCUGGGAAAAUAUCAGGUGAUGUAGAGCAUGAUAACAGCUCACGCGAGCCGUUGUAUCUUAGAUCCAAGGCUGGCGCCUGGCGCGUUGAUCUCCUGCAAAUUCGCCGAAACCUCAAGGAGUUUGACAUUUACACGCAAGUCUAGGACCUCGGUUGGUGACCCUUGGAUUACAGAUCCAAUGGCUCGCCGGAGCUCGUAUCACCGGAUAGCCUAAGGCUCCAUAUCAUCUGAUACUCUCACAUUUGCUUAUGUCGAUCAGUCUUUGGUUGCGGGGUGAGGUGCCAUGGCACACACCGGCGGAUGUACUGCAGCAAAUCACGGGGGCACGACAGGUUGGAGGUUGCAGGGCCUACGCGUCACUUGGCAUGCAUGCAUGUUUGCGGACCAGCUAUGCAUAUGCCCACGUGACCUGGAAGCUUUGGCACGUAGCAGGUGUGCUCAACUUUGUAAACAAAGACAAACAUCACCGUCAUACUCGGUACAAAGUUAGUUCAGAAACAAAAACAUAAAAAGACAGUGCCACCAGGACAGCUUUGAAGGACAUAGUACCUAGCGUAAUGCGGCAAAGGUCUAGACUAGUUGAUUGGAGGAAGCAGGGGGUCAGUGCCGCGACUCAUGGAAAUUAUGAAGUCCAUAGGGUCGACGUCCUUGGCACUAGCAAGCAAGCUUCACUGAAGAACGAAAUUGCUCUGCACACGGCAGUGCAUGGACAAAAUCUGAACGAUGCCCACCUUGUACGGUGCUGAUUUGCAAAAUGAUGCAAUCUAAUGGAUGACUUUAUCCACUGUUCAAGAAUCAGCUGAAAACGUAUCGUCCGUAUAUCACUGCUCACUGAAGAAUGACAACCAAUUUGGACAAGUACUCAGUAGGUCUGUUGGGGAAUAAUAUAUGUUCAAUUGUACACUUGUUACAAGUAGUUACUACCGGAAGAUGGUUUUUUACCGAGUGACCGCCGGUUUGCUGAGUGCAUUAUGCUAGCUGUUGACACCAGAUUUUGGCAUGGUCGAAAAUAUAAUUAAGAAGACCUCAAAUAGAAAAGUGUUCAAAGUGAGAAAGUUCCGUAUCAUCAAAAGGAGAAACUUUGAUAUUUGAGCCAUAGUCAUCCCGUCUCAUCUCUAAGGCCGAAAUUGUGUUCGAAGUACUGGGAUUUUGUAUCCAGAACACUAUUCGGCUGAUUACGCCCCAAGAUGGCCUCAUAUGGGAAAACUUUCUACAGGAAUUGUCUUCGUCUCGUCAUAACAGUCGAUUUAGAUAUAAAAACAUCUAAAUCGUAGUUCAUAUGCAAAAGUUAGAGUCAAAACAGUGUGCUUCAAAAGUGUGCCCCAGAAGUUCCGGGCAACUUCCGAGGAGGUUCCGGGCUAAACCAAAAGUUUGCACGCAGUGCGCCCCGAAAACUGGAGUUUUAACAUUAUUUGCAGAUUUGUGGGGCUGAAUUCAACCUUAAGAUGACCUCGGAAGAAAAAGUGAUCAACUGAAGAGUUUCUCUACAUUGCAAGAUCUACAACUUUGCUUUUGGGACCAUCGUGAUCCGAAGUCGUAUGUGUUCUGCAGAUUCAGUGCAAAAGGGCUACUUGAUAUAAUUUGAGCCCAGAAGUUCCGGUCCAGACCGGAAGUUUCGGCCCUCCUAAUCCGAAUUAGGUUAACUUUUGAUAUUUUGGACUGGAUUUGAGUCCUUUUCUUGUACGAAAAGUCCAUCCGCCUCAUAUAUAUGUAAGAGUUGACGGGCUAUUGAACAACACACAAUCGAGAAAUCGAUCUAUCAUAUUUACCUUUACUUUUAUCUUCUCCCUUGUUCUUCUUCUUUCUCGUUCUUCGUUCGUUCUUCUUCUUUGCAGGGCGGCGAAUCUCGAGUCCCUAGGGGCGAUCAGGUCGACCUAGGGAAGCCCAUAGCCGCCGUGCACCCCGACGGGGUCCCUCCCGAGCAUGUGGGGUUUCGGGUCCUCAAAAGCACCAGCCGGACUGCUUGUGUACCGCGCUCCCGGACGUGAGCUGCGGUGCAUCACCCUCGGCGUUGAAGGUACAUGGUGACGUGUUCGUGUGCGAACACUGGCCACUCGAAAAACAACUACCUAAACCAAGUGAUGAAGGAAAAUACUCGGCAAAAUCGAAGCACUUGGAAAAAUUGCCUCUUCGUUGAGUGUGAGACGAAAGAAGAAAAAACUCGCAAAACUGUGGCACUCCGCAAAACCCAACUAAUUUUAUGUAAAAGGGGAGUCCAUCCCCGGUUCCAUUGCUAAAGAACGGAAUAAACAUCCAUACAACAACUCCAAAAGCAGUUCGGAAGAAAAUAACUCAAAAAACUAGAGAGCAAAAAAGUGCAACAGAAAAAAGAAAUACAUCAAACUAAGGACAAGAUCAUUGAUCACUACUUCCUGGUAAAAGCGCAUGCACGCAUAUUAACCAGGAUUUUUCUGAAUCUCCAACUCAUCUUGUAAAGUUCAAGCCUGAACUUCGAAAAAAGCACGACUGACCUUCAUUGGGUGUGCAACCGUUGGUUGUGGAGACCAACAGAGAUCCAGCUGACAGAUUGUGCUCAGGUUAGUGCCUUUUGUCCCUACUCUAGGCUUCUCUUGAGAAUGAAAUUGGGGCAUUUAUUGUCCCAAGAUGUUGAUCUGGUUACAGAUAUCGAUUCCUGAGGUAGAAGAGAUUGAGGUAGCAGAAGAGCUUCGGGCGAGUUCUUUUGAUAGAUUUUUUGGGCUUCCAGAAAACAUUGCCCCGUACCCAGCUUAUUCUCGAAGCUCAACCAAAAAUAUAUUUUUACAAGUCUUAAUGAGUAGACUUCUAAAAAAUAAAGUUGGUUGGGCUUCUAGAAUAAGCUAGGUAAGGGGCAGCUUAUUCCGGCUUAUUCUAGAAGCCAGCAAACGAACUGGCCCUUCAUCUAUCAACUCCAGCUAACAUCCAAUGGUUUCUAUAGGAGUUUUUUCACGAAACUAGUGAAGUCCUCAAAUUUCUCUUUGCUCAAUUCUGCGGACAGAACCAUACAGUACCUGGCAGUUUUCAGGUAUUCCACCAUACAUGUUUGAUAGAUAGCCAAUGGAUGUUAUUAAGAAACAUGGGGUUCCUAAACUUCUAUAUACAUCAUAUAACAGUAGAUCAAACAUAAUUAAUGGCUGAAUUCCUAUUAUUAGAAAGCUAGAACCUAGCUAUAGAUAUAUAAUCAAAAUCAACUACACACCAAAAUGUUCCCUAAUACGAGGCCAAAUGUUUUUUUGGCUACCACACAAUUAAACAUGAGUUGAAUAGAUUCAUCCCCAUCGAAAAACACACAGUUUAAGGGUUUUAUGAUGUCACUUUUCCUCAAGUUAUUCAUAGUAAUAGUUUGUUCUAUCAGAACAGCGAGAGGAAAAUAAAAAAUUUGGAUGAACCCUAGGGGUCCAAAUAGUACGAAUAUACAUAAAAUGGCCCCCCCCCUAAACUUAAUCGCAUAGUAUAGGGGGCUAGUAGAUCAUUGCCUUUUGUUCUCUAAUAGCCCAAUGAGAGAGUCUAAGUCAUGUGAAAGCUCUAAGCUUUUUGCCAUUUCUACUAACUGGUACCAUUGAUCCAUAAGCCAACUAUCAAAAUUCCUUCUGAAAGUAAGCUUAAGCUAAUGUCCAUCCCAAAUGUUACUAAUGCUUUUAAAAGUCUCACUGCAAAUAACAUAGAGUAGCCCAAAUUGGAUGGCCAAAAGGGAGGUGCCAAGCCAGGUGUCUUCCCAGAAUCGGGUUUGAGCACCAUUAUCAAUUUGCAACCUAAAACCAAAUUAAAUAGCUUUCACUAUGGACAUAACCCCUUCCAAAACCUAGAGUAAAUGGGAAGGUGAAAAAAAAUAGGUCUGAUAGUGUUGUAUUUGUGGUCUAUAAUAAUUUUCCAAUUUUUCCUCCCCACAUAGUGUAUAUCUUAACCCAAGAACCCAACCGGCACAUAUAUAUUGUCAUCUUGCAAAUUCGGAACACCUAAACUUCCUAAUUGUUUAUUCAUACAUACUAGGCACUCUAAUUUAUAGGUGAAAUUUCCUCUACCACUCAAAGUCAUUCCAAAGGAAAUGAGACAUUUGAGUGUUUAUCAUCUCUGUCACCCACAUAGGAAAUUUUAGGAAUGAGAGAAAGUAAAUUGGGAUGUUUGCAAGAUAGGCAUGUGCAAGAAUAAGUCCACAUCUAUAAGAUAAGAGUAUACCUCUCUAUCUAGCAAUCCUUUUCAUAAUAUUAUCUAUAAGAGGUUUGAUAUCUUCUCUCAGGUAUGGAAAGACACAUCUACUUUGUCCUAGUUAAUCUACGAAAUCAGCUCUCCGUUAGAUUAGUUGAUUCCCCUCCGAGAAACUCUCUUGAAGCAAGAGAGAACUAGCUUGAGAUUGGUAGCUUGCUUAAUGUCAACAUUUUAUGGAAAAUAAUAGUAUCAUCGGCAGAAAGAUGGGUAGAGCCCCAAACUUAGUUCAUGAGAUGCAGGCUUAGCUAGCCUCAUAGUAAGAACAUCAACUAAUAAUUUAAAAAGUUAUUACCCUCCACAUUGUUGGUUGUAACUCCUAUAGAGGCUCCAUGUCUAAUAGGGUGUAUCCAGUGAGACCAUUUCCACCAAAUCCCCUAGCUCAGCUAGGAAAUCAAGAAUAACCAUAACAAAGGUUUUCUUUUAUAAUCCAUCUUAAGAACUAAACAUUUAUCCUUAGAGGAAUGGAAUGAAUGUAGCACCUCAUGGGCUAUAACUACUCUUUCCGAGAUAAUUACAACUUUAAGGAAAUUAGACUCGCUAUUAGUAAUCAGUCUAUGGAGAAUUGUAGAAAUUCGGUUAGUCGGAACUAUAGUAAAAACAUUUAAAUCUACAAGUAAGCAGACUAAUAGGUCUAUUUCUUCAUGUAAGUAGCCUCAUCCUCUUCUAGGAUGAAGGCAAAGAUAGCAAAAUUAAAUCAAUAAAUGCCAAGGAGGCAUUAUGAAAAUCUUUAAAGAGAUACUAAAUCAUCCUUAACUAAAUCCCAAAAAUGUUGAUAAAAUAAGAAAGGAAUCCCAUCAAGGCCUUGAAGGAAAUAUGUCCUAGAUGCAUCAAGACCUCUCAAGCAUUCAAGGGUACACCUAUGGACCACCGGUCCGAUACAUAUUAGGAAAACCAUUAAAAAUAUCCCUAGGGUUAAUACUACCUCUAAUUAGCACGUACAUGUAGCAGCAGCCAAGCUAGAAAGAAACGGAUCUAUGUGGUUCCUCGGUUUGUUCUGUAAGUUGGGUGUCUCUUUCUACUCAUAUGUACGAGUUGUUGGAUUUUCCUGAAGAAGAAAGGUGUUAUAGCACCACAGUAGAAAGUAUUUCCCUCCAUAAAGAAUUGAUGUAUACUACACAGCUUUUCUUCAUGUAGACUUUGUUGGGCCUUGCUACCUCUUGAGCAUGUGUUGGUUUUUUCUUGAAGAGGAAAGGGUGAUGCAGCAAAGUAGCAUAAGUAUUUCCCUCAGUUUUUGAGAACCAAGGUAUCAAUCCAGUAGGAGAUAAGAGCAUCUCCACCCACGCCCCCAGGAACGCCCCCCAGGCCACUUUUUUAGCACCGGCAGCAAAAAAUCCUCCCACUCACGCCCCCAAGUCCUCGUUUUUCGCCGGAUUGAAGCAAAAACAGCGCCGGCGACCGCAGCCCACACCCAGCCUACCGGGGGGCGCUUGGGACCGCCGGCACUCCCUUUUGCAUGUCGAAACCCCACAGGUUAGCCUCUCUUCCCUCUCUCUCUCCCCGCUCGCCCACAUGCAAAAGGAAUCUCGCCCACUUUUCCUCGCUUCUCUCCCCGCUCGCCGCUCGCCUCCUCACCGCACUGCCUCGCGCCACCCCGCCGCCCGCCUACUCGCCGCUCCGGCCGCCAGAAUCGCCUCCCCGAGCCCCAGGAAGCGGAGGAGGAGGAUGAGCGGGGAGAAGCAGACACGGCGGGCGGCCACGUGGAGCGCGUCGGAGCCGGCGUGCUUGGCUCCCUUGGCGAGGAGGAGCUCCGCGAGGGCGAGCAGCAUGCUCCCGGACUCGUCCUCGGCGUGGGGCAUGGCGUCCCGGGCGCCCCCUUCCUCCUCCUCCUCCCUCCUCUCCGUCCUCAUCGACGCCGGCUACGGAGGGCGCGCACGGCAAGGCACAGGCGGGCAUGGGCGCUCCCAGGCGCCCCCUUCCUCCUCCACCCUCCUCUCCGUCCUUGUCGGCGCCGGCCACGGAGGGAGCGCGCGGCCAGGCGCGGGCGCGGCCAGGCGCCCCCCUUCCUCCUCCUUCCUCCUCCUCCCUCCUCUCCUCGCUCCUCGAACUCGCGGGUGGUGUGGCUGCUGCACAUGCUAUGGCGGGGCUCGCGCUUGCGCGGCCGUGGCAGAGCUCGCGCUCGCGUGGAGGAGGGAGCUCGAUGGAGGGAUGGCGGUACGCAGCGGCGAGGCCCGUGCCAAGGAGCAUGCGGCGGACGGUGGCGGGCGUCCUCGAUGGUGCUGGAGACGGUGUCGAGCUGCGGUGCCGCCACGCAUCCUCGAAAUGCAUCUUGGGUGGGGGCGGCUGGGAAAUUUUGCCUCCCAUAGCCAAAAAUUCCUCCGGCGCGAUCCCAAGCGGCGAAAAAAGACCUCCUGGGGGCGCCAACGAGUGGAGAUGCUCUAACACGCAAGUCACCUAGUACCUGCACAAACAAUCAAGAACCUCUCAACCAACGCGACAAAGGGGUUGUCAAUCCCUUCACGGUCACUUGCGAAAGUGAGAUCUGAUAAAGAUAGAAGAUAAAUAUUUUAGGUAUUUUAGUUGUAUAGAUUGGAAAGUAAAGAUUGCAAAAUAGUAAACGAGAUGCGAUAGGAAAAGAGAUGCAAUAUAAUAAGGAAGAGACCCGGGGGCCAUAGGUUUCACUAGUGGCUUCUCUCAUCGUAGCAAGUAUUACGGUGGGUGAACAAAUUACUGUCGAGCAAUUGAUAGAAGAGCGCAUAGUAAUGAGAAUAUCUAGGCAAUGAUUAUGAAAUAUAGGCAUCAUGUCCGUGUUAAGUAGACCGAAACGAUUCUGCAUCUACUACUAUUACUCCACACAUCGACCGCUAUCCAUCAUGCAUCUAGAGUAUUAAGUUCAUAAGUAAAGAGUAAUGCUUUAGGCAAGAUGACAUGAUGUAGAGGGAUAAACUCAAGCAAUAUGAUAUAAACCCCAUCCUUUUAUCCUCGAUGGCAACAAGAUUGAACCCAAAGCUAAGCACUUCUCCCAUUGCAAGAAAGAUCAAUCUAGUAGGCCAAACUAAACCAAUAAUUCGAAGAGACUUGCAAAUAUAUCAAAUCAUGCAUAUAAGAAUUCAGAGAAGAACCAAAUAUUGUUCAUAGAUAAACUUGAUCAUAAAUCCACAAUUCGUCGGAUCUUGGCAAAGACACCGCAAAAAGUAUUGCAUCAAAUAGAUCUCCAAGAACAUCGAGGAGAACUUUGUAUUGAGAACAAAAGAGAGAGACGAAGCCAUCUAGGUAAUAAGUAUGCACCCGAAGGUCUGUGGUAAAGUACUCACACAUCAUCGGAGAGGCUAUGGUGUUGAUGUAGAAGCCCUCUGUGAUCGAAGCCCCCUCAGGCAGAUCGCCGGAAAAGGCCCCAGAUGGGAUCUCACAGGUACAGAAAGUUGCGGCGGAGGAAAAGUGGUUUUGUGGCUCCCCCUGAUGUUUUUAGGGUAUAAGAGUAUAUAUAGGCGAACAAAGUACGUCAGUGGAGCUCCGUGGGGCCCACGAGGGUGGGGGCGCGCCUACCCCCCUGGGCGCACCCUCCUGCCUCAUGGAAGCUUCACGGAGUUCCAGACUUCCACUCCAAGUCUCCUGGUUUGUGUUUGUUCCAAGAAAUAUCCUUGCGAAGGUUUCGUUCCGUUUGAUAUUCCUUUUCUGCGAAACACUAAAAUAGGCAAAAAAAACAUAAACUGGCACUAGGCCUCCGGUUAAUAGGUUAAUCCCAAAAAGAAUAUAAAAGAGCAUAUUAAAGCCCAUUAAACAUCCAAAACAGAUAAUAUAAUAGCAUGGAACAAUAAAAAAUUAUAGAUACGUUGGAGACGUUUCAAGCAUCCCCAAGCUUAAUUCCUGCUCGUCCUCGAGUAGGUAAAUGAUAAAAACAGAAUUUUUGAUGUGGAAUGCUACCUAACAUAAUUUUAAAUGUAGUUUUCUUUAUUGUGGCAUGAAUGUUUAGAUCCGAGAGAUUCAAGACAAAAGUUUAAUAUUGACAUAAAAAUAAUAAUACUUCAAGCAUACUAACCAAGAAAUUAUGUCUUCUCAAAAUAACAUAGCCAAAGAAAGCUCAUCCCUAAAAAUCAUAUAGUUUGGCCAUGCUUCAUUUCUGUCACACAAAAUGCUCCCAUCAUGCACAACCCCGAUGACAAGCCAAGCAAUUGUUUCAUACUUCGCCUUUUCGAAUUCUUUCAAAUUUUACGCAAUAUAUGAGCGCGAGCCAUGGACAUAGCACUAUAGAUGGAAUAGAAUGGUGGUUGUGGAGAAGACAAAGGGAGGAAGAUAGUCUCACAUCAACUAGGUGUAUCAAUGGACUAUGGAGAUUCCCAUCAAUAGAUAUUAAUGUGAGUGAGUAGGUAUUGCCAUGCAACGGAUGCACGAGAGCUAUAAGUGUAUGAAAGCUAAACAAAAGUAACUAAGUGGGUGUGCAUGUAACUUGCUUGCUCACGAAGACCUAGGGCAAUUUGAGGAAGCCCAUCAUUGGAACAUACAAGCCAAAUUCUAUAAUGAAAAAUUCCCACUAGUAUAUGAAAGUGACAACAUAAGAGACUCUCUAUCAUGAAGAUCAUGGUGCUACUUUGAAGCACAAGUGUGGAAAAAGGAUAGUAACAUUUCCCCUUCUCUCUUUUUCUCUCGUUUUUUGUUGGGCCUUCUUCUCUUUUUUUGUUUUUCGUCCAGAGUCUCACCCCGAUUUGUGGGGGAAUCAUAGUCUCCAUCAUCCUUUCCUCACAUGGGACAAUGCUCUAAUAAUGAAGAUCGUCACACUUUUAUUUACUUACAACUCAAGAAUUACAACUCGAUACUUAGAACAAAAUAUGACUCUAUGUGAAUGCCUCCGGCGGUGUACCGGGAUGUGCAAUGAAUCAAGAGUGACAUGUAUAAUAAAAUUAUGAAUGGUGGCCAUGCCACAAAUACGAUUUCAACUACAUGAUCAUGCAAAGCAAUAUGACUAUGAUGAAGCGUGUCAUAAUAAAUGGAACGGUGGAAAGUUGCAUGGCAAUAUAUCUCAAAAUGGCUAUGGAAAUGCCAUAAUAGGUAGGUACGAUGGUUGUUUUUAGGAAGGUAAAUGAUGGGUUUAUGGUACCGGCGAAAGUGGCGUGGCACAAGAGAGGCUAGCAAUGGUGGAAGGGUGAGAGAGCGUAUAAUCCAUGGACUCAACAUUAGUCAUAACGAACUCACAUACUUAUUGCAAAAAUCUACAAGUCAUCAAAACCAAGCACUACGCGCAUGCUCCUAGGGGAUAGAUGUUGGGGAACGUAGUAAUUUCAAAAAAUUUCCUACGCACACGCAAGAUCAUGGUGAUGCAUAGCAACGACAGGGGAGAGUGUUGUCUACGUACCCUCGUAGACAGCAACGAAAGCGUUGACGCAACGUAGAGGAAGUAGUCGUACGUCUUCCCGAUCCGACCGGUCCAAGCACCGUUACUCCGGCACCUCCAAGCUCUUAGCACACGUACAGCUCGAUGACGCUCCCCGGGCUCCGAUCCAGCAAAGCUUCGGGGAUGAGUUCCGUCAGCACAACGGCGUGGUGACGAUGAUGAUGUUCUACCGACGCAGGGCUUCGCCUAAGCACUACAAAGAUAUGAUCGAGGUGGAAUAUGGUGGCAGGGGGCACCGCACACAGCUAAGGAACGAUCACGUGGAUCAACUUGUGUCUCCUAGGGUGCCCCCUUGCCUCCGUAUAUAAAGGAUCCAAGGGGGGGGGGUGCGGCCGGCCCUAUGGAGGCGCGCAGGAGGAGUCCUACUCCUACCGGGAGUAGGACUCCCCUCCCCUUUUCCUUGUCCAAGUAGGAGAGGUGGAGGGAGAAUAGGAAAGGGGGGGCGCCUCCCCUCCCUCCUUGUCCAAUUCGGACUAGGGGGAGAGGGGGCGCGCAGCCUGCCCUGGCAGCCCCUUCCUCUUCUCCACAUUAGGCCCAUGAGGCCCAUUAACCCCCCGGGGGGUUCUGGUAACCCCCCGGUGCUCCAGUUUUAUCCGAUACUAAUCCGGAACGCUUGUGGUGUCCGAAUAUAGUCAUCCAAUAUAUCAAUCUUUAUGUCUCGACCAUUUCGAGACUCCUCGUCAUGUCCGUGAUCACAUCCGGGACUCCGAACUAACUUCGGUACAUCAAAAUGCAUAAACUCAUAAUAACUGUCAUCGUAACGUUAAGCGUGCGGACCCUACGGUUCGAGAAUAAUGUAGACAUAGAAAUAUCUCCGGUCAAUAACCAAUAGCGGGACCUGGAUGCCCAUAUUGGCUCCUACAUAUUCUACGAAGAUCUUUAUCAGUCAGACCACAUAACAACAUACGUUGUUCCCUUUGUCAUCGGUAUGUUACUUGCCCGAGAUUCGAUCGUCGGUAUCCAAUACCUAGUUCAAUCUCGUUACCGGCAAGUCUCUUUACUCGUUCCUUAAUACAUCAUAUCGCAACUAACUCAUUAGUUGCAAUGCUUGCAAGGCUUAUGUGACGUGCAUUACCGAGAGGGCCCAGAGAUACCUCUCCGACAAUCGGAGUGACAAAUCCUAAUCUCGAAAUACGCCAAGCCAACAUCUACCUUUGGAGACACCUGUAGAGCUCCUUUAUAAUCACCCAUUUAUGUUGUGACGUUUCGUAGCACACAAAGUGUUCCUCCGGCAAACGGGAGUUGCAUAAUCUCAUAGUCAUAGGAACAUGUAUAAGUUAUGAAGAAAGCAAUAGCAACAUACUAAACGAUCUGGUGCUAAGCUAAUGGAAUGGGUCAUGUCAAUCAGAUCAUUCAUCUAAUGAUGUGAUCUCGUUAAUCAAAUAACAACUCUGUGUUCAUGGUUAGGAAACAUAGCCAUCUUUGAUUAAUGAGCUAGUCAAGUAGAGGCAUACUAGUGACACUAAGUUUGUCUAUGUAUUCACACAUGUAUUAUGUUUCCGGUUAAUACAAUUCUAGCAUGAAUAAUAAACAUUUAUCAUGAUAUAAGGAAAUAAAUAAUAACUUUAUUAUUGCCUCUAAGGCAUAUUUCCUUCAGUCUCCCACUUGCACUAGAGUCAAUAAUCUAGUUCACAUCGCCAUGUGAUUCAACACUAAUAGUUCGCAUCACCAUGUGAUUAACACCCAUAGUUCACAUUGUCAUGUGACCUAUACUCAAAGGGUUUACUAGAGUCAGUAAUCUAGUUCACAUCGUUUAUGUGAUUAACACCCAAAGAGUACUAAGGUGUGAUCAUGUUUUGCUUGUGAGAUAAUUUUUAGUCAACAGGUCUGUCACAUACAGAUCCGUAAGUAUUUUGCGAAUUCUAUGUCUACAAUGCUCUGCAUGGAGCUACUCUAGCUAAUUGCUCCCACUUUCAAUAUGUAUCUAGAUCGAGACUUAGAGUCAUCCAGAUCUGUGUCAAAACUUGCAUCGACGUAACCUUUUACGACGAACCUUUUUGUUCACCUCCAUAAUUGAGAAAUAUUUCCUUAUUCCACUAAGGAUAAUUUUGACCGCUGUCCAGUGAUCUACUCUUAGAUCACUAUUGUACUCCCUUGCUUAACACAGUGUAGGGUAUACAAUAGGUAUGGUACACAGCAUGGCAUACUUUAUAGAACCUAUGGCCAAGGCAUAGGGAAUGACUUUCAUUCUCUUUCUAUCUUCUGCCGUGGUCGGGCUUUGAGUCUUACUCAACUUCACACCUUGUAAUACAGGCAAGAACUCUUUCUUUGACUGCUCCAUUUUGAACUACUUCAAAAUCUUGUCAAGGUAUGUACUCAUUGAAAAAACUUAUCAAGCGUUUUGAUCUAUCUCUAUAGAUCUUGGAGCUCAAUAUGUAAGCAGCUUCACCGAAGUCUUUCUUUGAAAAACUCCUUUUCAAACACUCCUUUAUGCUUUACAAAAUAAUUCUACGUUAUUUCCGAUCAACAAUAUGUCAUUUACAUAUACUUAUCAGAAAUGAUGUAGUGCUCCCACUCACUUUCUUGUAAAUACAGGCUUCACCGCAAGUCUGUAUAAAACUAUAUGCUUUGAUCAACUCAUCAAAGCAUAUAUUCCAACUCCGAGAUGCUUGCACCAGUUCACAGAUGGAUCGCUGGAGCUUGCACAUUUUGUUAGCAUCUUUCGGAUUGACAAAACCUUCUGGUUGCAUCAUAUACAACUCUUCUUUAAUAAAUCCAUUAAGGAAUGCAGUUUUGUUUAUCCAUUUGCCAAAUUUCAUAAAAUGCGGCAAUUACUAACAUGAUUCGGACAGACUCAAGCAUAGAUACGAGUGAGAAGCUCUCAUCGUGGUCCACACCAUGAACUUGUCGAAAAACCUUUUGCGACAAUUCUAGCUUUGUAGAUAGUAACACUACUAUCAGCGUCCGUCUUCCUCUUGAAGAUCCAUUUAUUCUCAAUUGCUUGCCGAUCAUCGGGCAAGUCAACCAAAGUCCAAACUUUGUUCUCAUACAUGGAUCAUAUCUCAGAUUUCAUGGCCUCAAACCAUUUCGCGGAAUCUGGGCUCAUCAUCACUUCCUCAUAGUUCGUAGGUUCGUCAUGGUCAAGUAACAUGACCUCCAGAACAGGAUUACCGUACCACUCUGGUGCGGAUCUCACUCUGGUUUACCUACGAGAUUCGGUAGUAACUUGAUCUGAGGUUACAUGAUCAUCAUCAUUAGCUUCCUCUCUAAUUGGUGUAGUAGUCACAAGAAUAGAUUUUUGUGAUGAACUACUUUCCAAUAAGGGAGAAGGUACAAUUACCUUAUCAAGUUUUGUACUUUCCUCCCACUCACUUCUUUCGAGAGAAACUCCUUCUCUGGAAAGGAUCCAUUCUUGGCAACGAAUUUGCCUUCGGAUCUGUGAUAGAAGGUGUACCCAACAGUUUCCUUUGGGUAUCCUAUGAACACAUAUUUCUCCGAUUUGGUUUUGAGCUUAUCAGGAUGAAACCUUUUCAUAUAAGCAUCACAAUCCCAAACUUUAAGAAACGACAACUUUGGUUUCUUGCCAAACCACAUUUCAGAUAGUGUCGUCUCAACGGACAUAGAUGGUGCCCUUUUAAACGUGAAUGCAGCUGUCUUUAAUGCAUAACCCCAAAACGAUAGUGGUAAAUCGGUAAGAAACAUCAUAGGUCGCACCAUAUUUAAUAAAGCAUGGUUAUGACGUUCGGACACACCAUUACAUGGUGGUGUUCCAGGUGGCGUGAGUAGUGAAACUAUUUCACAUUGUUUUUAACUGAAGACCAAACUCGUAACUCAAAUAUUUGUCUCUGCGAUCAGAUCGUAUAAACUUUAUUUUCUUGUCACGAUGAUUUUCCACUUCACUCUGAAAUUCUUUGAACUUUUCAAAUGUUUCAGACUUAUGUUUCAUCAAGUAGAUAUACCCAUAUCUGCUCAAAUCAUCUGUGAAGUUCAGAAAAUAAUGAUACUUGCCGUGAGCCUUAACAUUCAUCGGACCGCAUACAUCAGUAUGUAUUAUAUCCAAUAAGUCAGUUGCUCGCUCCGGAGAACGGAGUCUUAGUCAUCUUGCCCAUGAGGCAUGGUUCGCAAGCAUCAACUGAUCCAUAAUCAAGUGAUUCUAAAAGCCCAUCAGCAUGGAGUGUCUUCAUGCGCUUUACACCAAUAUGACCUAAACGGUAGUGCCACAAAUAAUUUGCACUAUCAUUAUUAACAUUGCAUCUUUUGGUUUCAAUAUUAUGAUUAUGUGUAUCACUACGAUGGAGAUCCAACGAACUAUUUUCAUUGGGUGUGUAACCAUAUAAGGUUUUAUUCAUGUAAACAGAACAACAAUUUAUUCUCUUGCUUAAAUGAAUAACCGUAUUACAAUAAACAUGAUCAAAUCAUAUUCAUGCUCAACGCAAACACCAAAUAACAUUUAUUUAGGUUCAACACUAAUCCCGAAAUUAUAGGGAGUGUGCGAUGAUGAUCAUAUCAAUCUUGGAACCACUUCCAACACACAUCGUCACUUCACCCUUAACUAGUCUCUGUUUAUUCUGCAACUCCCGUUUCGAGUUAGUAAUCUUAGCAACUGAACUAGUAUCAAAUACUUAGGGGUUGCUAUAAACACUAGUAAAGUACACAUCAAUAGCAUGUAUAUCAAAUAUACUUAUGUUCACUUUGCCAUCCUUCUUAUCUGUCAAUCACUUGGGGUAGUUCCGCUUCCAGUGACCAGUCCCUUUGCAGUAGAAGCACUUAGUCUCAGGCUUAGGACCAGACUUGGGCUUCUUCACUUGAGCAGCAACUUGCUUGCUGUUCUUCUUGAAGUUCCCCUUCUUUCCUUUGCCCUUUUCUUGAAACUAGUGGUCUUGUUAACAAUCAACACUUGAUGUUUUUCUUGAUUUCUACCUUCGUUGAUUUCAGUAUCACGAAGAGCUUGGGAGUUGUUUCCGUUAUCCCUUGCAUAUUAUAGUUCAUCACGAAGUUCUACUAACUUGGUGAUGGUGACUAGAGAAUUCUGUCAAUCACUAUCUUAUCUGGAAGAUUAACUCCCACUUGAUUCAAGCGAUUGUAGUACCCAGACAAUCUGAGCACAUGCUCACUAGUUGAGCGAUUCUCCUCCAUGUUUUAGCUAUAGAACUUGUUAGAGACUUCAUAUCUCUCAACUCGGGUAUUUGCUUGAAAUAUUAACUUCAACUCCUGGAACAUCUCAUAUGGUCCAUGACGUUCAAAACGUCUUUGAAGUCCCGAUUCUAAGCCGUUAAGCAUGGUGCACUAAACUAUCAAGUAGUCAUCAUAUUGAGCUAGCCAAACGUUCAUAACGUCUGCAUCUGCUCCUGCAAUAGGUCUGUCACCUAGCGGUGCAUCAAGGACAUAAUUCUUCUUUGCAGCAAUGAGGAUAAACCUCAGAUCAUGGAUCCAAUCCACAUCAUUGAUACUAACAUCUUUCAACACAAUUUUUCUCUAGGAACAUAUCAAAAUAAACAUAUGAAAGCAACAAUGUGAGCCAUUGAUCUACAACAUAGAUAUGCUAAUACUACCAGGACUAAGUUCAUGAUAAAUUAAAGUUCAAUUAAUCAUAUUACUUAAGAAAUCCCACAUAGAUAGACAUCCCUCUAAUCCUCUAAGUGAUCAUGUGAUCCAAAUCAACUAAACCAUGUCCGAUCAUCACGUGAGAUGGAGUAGUUUCAUUGGUGAACAUCACUAUGUUGAUCAUAUCUACUAUAUGAUUCACGCUCGACCUUUCGGUCUCCGUGUUCCGAGGCCAUAUCUGUAUAUGCUUGGCUCGUCAAGUAUAACCUGAGUAUUCCGCGUGUGCAACUGUUUUGCACCCGUUCUAUUUGAACGUAGAGCCUAUCACACCCGAUCAUCACGUGGUGUCUCAGCCCGAAGAACUUUCACAACGGUGCAUACUCAGGGAGAACACUUCUUGAUAAUUAGUGAGAGAACAUCUUAUAAUGCUACCGUCAAUCAAAGCAAGAUAAGAUGCAUAAAAGAUAAACAUCACAUGCAAUCAAUAUAAGUGAUAUGAUAUGGCCAUCAUCAUCUUGUGCCUGUGAUCUCCAUCUUCGAAGCACCGUCAUGAUCACCAUCGUCACCGGCACGACACCUUGAUCUCCAUCGUAGCAUCGUUGUCGUCUCGCCAAUCUUAUGCUUCCACGACUAUCGCUACCGCUUAGUGAUAAAGUAAAUCAUUACAUCGCGAUUGCAUUGCAUACAAUAGAGCGACAACCAUAUGGCUCCUGCCAGUUGCCGAUAAUUCGGUAAAACAUGAUCAUCUCAUACAAUAAUAUUUAGCAUCAUGUCUUGACCAUAUCACAUCACAACAUGCCCUGCAAAAACAAGUUAGACGUCCUCUACUUUGUUGUUGCAAGUUUUACGUGGCUGCUACGGGCUUAAGCAAGAACAAAUCUCACCUACGCAUCAAAACCACAAUGAUAGUUUGUCAAGUUGAUGCCAUUUUAACCUUCGCAAGGACCGUGCGUAGCCACACUCGGUUCAACUAAAGUUGGAGAAACAGUCACCCGCAAGCCACCUCUGUGCAAAGCACGUCGGGAGAACCGGUCUCGCGUAAGCGUACGCGUAAUGUUGGUCCGGGCCGCUUCAUCCAACAAUACCGCCGAACAAAAGUAUGACAUGCUGGUAGGCAGUAUGACUUAUAUCGCCCACAACUCACUUGUGUUCUACUCGUGCAUAUAACAUCAAACCAGAAAACCUAGGCCCGGAUGCCACUAUUGGGGAACGUAGUAAUUUCAAAAAAUUUCCUACGCACACGCAAGAUCAUGGUGAUGCAUAGCAAGGAGAGGGGAGAGUGUUGUCUACGUACCCUCGUAGACUGCAACGGAAGCGUUGACGCAACAUAGAGGAAGUAGUCGUACGUCUUCCCGAUCCGACCGAUCCAAGUACCAUUACUCCGGCACCUCCGAUUUCUUAGCACACGUACAGCUCGAUGACGCUCCCCGGGCUCCGAUCCAGCAAAGCUUCGGGGAUGAGUUCCAUCAGCACAACGGCGUGGUGACGAUGAUGAUGUUCUACCGACGCAGGGCUUCGCCUAAGCACUACAACGAUAUGAUUGAGGUGGAAUAUGGUGGCAGGGGGCACCGCACACGGCUAAGGAACGAUCACGUGGAUCAACUUGUGUCUCCUAGGGUGCCCCCUUGCCUCCGUAUAUAAAGGAUCCAAGGGGGGGGGGGGUGCGGCCGGCCCUAUGGAGGCGCGCAGGAGGAGUCCUACUCCUACCGGGAGUCGGAGUAGGACUCCCCUCCCCUUUUCCUUGUCCAAGUAGGAGAGGUGGAGGGAGAAUAGGAAAGGGGGGGCGCCGCCCCUCCGUCCUUGUCCAAUUCGGACUAGAGGGAGAGGGGGUGCGCGGCCUGCCCUGGCAGCCCCUUCCUCUUCUCCACAUUAGGCCCAUGAGGCCCAUUAACCCACCGGGGGGUUCCGGUAACCCCCCGAUGCUUCGGUUUUAUCCGAUACUAAUCCGGAACGCUUCCGGUGUCCGAAUAUAUUCAUCCAAUAUAUCAAUCUUUAUGUCUUGACCAUUUCGAGACUCCUCGUCAUGUCCGUGAUCACAUCCGGGACUCUGAACUAACUUCGGUACAUCAAAAUGCAUAAACUCAUAAUAACUGUCAUCGUAACGUUAAGCGUGCGGACCCUACGGUUCGAGAACAAUGUAGACAUGACUGAGACAUAUCUCUGGUCAAUAACCAAUAGCAGGACAUCGAUGCCCAUAUUGGCUCCUACAUAUUCUACAAAGAUCUUUAUCGGUCAGACCGCAUAACAACAUACGUUGUUCCCUUUGUCAUUGGUAUGUUACUUGCCCGAGAUUCGAUCGUCGGUAUCCAAUACCUAGUUCAAUCUCGUUACCGGCAAGUCUCUUUACUCAUUCCGUAAUACAUCAUAUCGCAACUAACUCAUUAGUUGCAAUGCUUGCAAGGCUUAUGUGAUGUGCAUUACCGAGAGGGCCCAGACAUACCUCUUCGACAAUCGGAGUGACAAAUCCUAAUCUCGAAAUACGCCAACCCAACAUCUACCUUUGGAGACACCUGUAGAGCUCCUUUAUAAUCACCCAUUUACGUUCUGACGUUUGGUAGCACACAAAGUGUUCCUCCGGCAAACGGGAGUUGCAUAAUCUCAUAGUCAUAGGAACAUGUAUAAGUUAUGAAGAAAGCAAUAGCAACAUACUAAACGAUCGGGUGCUAAGCUAAUGGAAUGGGUCAUGUCAAUCAGAUCAUUCAUCUAAUGAUGUGAUCCCGUUAAUCAAAUAACAACUCUUUGUUCAUGGUUAGGAAACAUAACCAUCUUUGAUUAACGAGCUAGUCAAGUAGAGGCAUACUAGUGACACUAAGUUUGUCUAUGUAUUCACACAUGUAUUAUGUUUCCGGUUAAUACAAUUCUAGCAUGAAUAAUAAACAUUUAUCAUGAUAUAAGGAAAUAAAUAAUAACUUUAUUAUUGCCUCUAGGGCAUAUUUCCUUCAGUAGAUUGGUAGGAAAAGACCAUCACUUAUCCCCGACCGCCACUCAUAAGGAAGGCACUCAAAGAACACCUCCUGCUUCAAAUUUGUCACACAAUGGUUACCAUACGUGCAUGCUACAGGACUUGCAAACCUCAACACAAGUAUUUCUCAAUUUCAAAAUUACUCAACUAGCGCGACUCUAAUAUCACCAUCUUUAUAUCUCAAAAUAAUUAUCUAGUAUCAAACUUCUCAUAGUUUUUAAUGCACUCUAUAUGAAAGUUUUUAAUAUACCCAUAUUGGAUGCCCAUCAUAUUUGGACUAAUUUUAUAACCAAACCAAUUACCAUGCUGUUCUAAAAGACUCUCAAAAUAAUAUAAGUGAAGCAUGAGAGAUCAAUAAUUUCUAUAAAAUAAAACCACCACCAUGCUCUAAAAAGAUAUAAGUGAAGCACUAGAGCAAAAUUAUCUAGCUCAAAAGAUAUAAGUGAAGCACAUAGAGUAUUCUAAUAAAUUCCGAUUCAUGCGUGUCUCUCCCAAAAGGUGUGUACAACAAGGAUGAUUGUGGUAAACUAAAAAGCGAAGACUCAAAUCAUACAAGAUGCUCCAAGCAAAACACAUAUCAUGUGGUGAAUAAAAAUAUAGCCUCAAUUAAAGUUACUUAUAGACGAAAACGGAAGAGGGGAUGCCUUUCGGGGCAUCCCCAAGCUUAGGCUUUUGGUUGUCCGUGAAUUUUACCUUAGGGUGCCAUUGGAAUCCCCAAGCUUAGGCUCUUUCCACUCCUUGUUCCAAAAUCCAUCAAAUGUUCACCCAAAAACUUGAAAACUUCACAACACAAAACUCAACAGAAAAUCUCAUGAGCUCCGUUAGUAUAUGAAAGAAAACCACCACUUUAAUAUGCUAUAAUUAACUUAUUAUUUAUUUAUAUUGGUGUUAAACCUACUAUAUUGCAACUUCUCUAUGGUUCAUACCCCCCAAUACUAGCCAUAGAUUCAUCAAAAUAAGCAAACAACACACGAAAAACAGAAUCUGUCAAAAACAGAACAGUCUGUAGCAAUCUUGAGGUUUCGAAUACUUCUGUAACUCCAAAAACUCUGAAAAAUUAGGAAUACAUAAAUAAUUUGUAUAUUGAUCUACCGCAGUUGGAAUUGGUAUUUUAUCGCUCUCUUCUGAAAAAUGAAAAUUAUUUUUGUGAGCGCAUACUUUCUGUUUUUAUCAGCAAGAUCAAGCAACAAUCACCCAAGAAGAUCCUAAAGGCUUUACUUGGCACAAACACUAAUUAAAACAUAAAAACACAAUCAUAACAGAGGCUAGAUAAAUUAUUUAUUACUAAACAGGAACAAAAAGUAAAGAAAAAAUAAAAUUGGGUUGCCUCCCAACAAGCGCUAUCGUUUAACGCCCCUAGCUAGGCAUUGACAAUUUCGAUGAUGCUCACAUGAAAGACAAGAAUUGAAGCACAAAGAGAGCAUCAUAUAGAAUGUGAAAAAUACAUAUAAGUCUAACAUACUUCCUAUGCAUAGACAUAUUAUAGGCAAACAAAUUAUCAUAGCAAACAAAAACUAGCAUAUGCAAGGAAGAGGAAAGAGACAAUAGCAAUCUCAACAUAACGAGAGGUAAUUUAGUGACAUGAAAAUUUCUACAAUCAUAUUUUCCUCUCUCAUAAUAAUUACAUGUAGGAUCAUAAUCAAUUUCAACAAUAUAACUAUCACAUAAAAUUUUCUCUUCAUGAUCCAUAUGCAUGCAAAGUUUACACACUUCUGAAAUAGUGGGAUUAUCAUAAAAUAAAGUCAUGACCUCUCCGAACCCACUUUUAUCAAAAACUUCAUAAGAUUGAACAUUAUCCAAAUAUGUGGGAUCUAAAGUUGACACUCUUCCAAACCCACUCUCAAUAUUAUUGCAAACAUUGUUAUCAAUCUCAUAUUCAUCAUGGGGCUUAAACAAAAUUUCAAGAUCGUAAGAAAAAUCACCCCAAUCAUGAUCAUUGCAACAAGUAGUAGACAUAGAAAAAUUAGCAUCCCCAAGCUUAGGGUUUUGCAUAUCAUUAACACAAUUGACAUUAAUAGAAUUUAUAAUAACAUCAUUGCAAUCAUGCUUUUCAUUCAAGGAGCUACCGUGAAUCACUUUAUAAUUUUCUUCUUUCAACACUUCAUCACAAUUUUCAGAUUCACGAAUUUCAAGCAAAACCUCAUAAAGAUAAUCUAGUGCACUCAACUCACUAGAAAUCGGUUCAUCAUAAUUGGGUCUUUUAAAAAGAUUAGCAAGAGGAUGAUGAUCCAUAACAAUAGAUAUUUAGCAAGCAAAGAUGCAAGCUAAUAGAAAGCACAUGGUAACACGAGCGAACAGAAGGACGAACGGAAGAAGGGUGAAUAAAACGGCAAAGGUGAAGUGGGGGAGAGGAAAACGAGAGGCGAAUGGCAAAUAAUGUAAUGCGAGGGAGUAGAGUUUGUGAUGGGUACUUGGUAUGUAUUGACUUGAGCGUAGAUCUCCCCGGCAACGGCGCCAGAAUUCCUUCUUGCUAUCUCUUGAGCAUGUGUUGGUUUUCCCUUGAAUAGGAAAGCAUGAUGCAGCAAAGUAGCGUAAGUAUUUCCCUCAGUUUUUGAGAACCAAGGUAUAAAUACAGUAGGAGAUAACACGCAAGUCACCUAGUAUGUGCACAAACAAUCAAGAACCUCGCAACCAAUGCGACAAACGGGUUGUCAAUCCCUUCACGGUCACUUGCGAAAGUGAGAUCUGAUAAAGAUAGUAAGAUAAAUAUUUUAGGUAUUUUUGUUGUAUAGAUUGGAAAGUAACAUUGCGAAAUAGUAAAGGAGAUGCGACAAUAAAAGAGAUGCAAUAUAAUAAGGAAGAGACCCGGGGCCAUAUGUUUCACUAGUGGCUUCUCUCAUCAUAGCAAGUAUUACGGUGGGUGAACAAAUUACUUCCAAGCAAUUGAUAGAAGAGCGCAUAGUUAUGAGAAUAUCUAGGCAAUGAUUAUGAAAUAUAGGCAUCAUUUGCAUGUUAAGUAGACCAAAACGAUUAUGCAUCUACUACUAUUACUCCACACAUCGACCGCUAUCCAACAUGCAUCUAGAGUAUUAAGUUCAUAAGAACAGAGUAAUGCUUUAGGCAAGAUGACAUGAUGUAGAGGGAUAAACUCAAGCAAUAUGAUAUAAACCCCAUCUUUUUAUCCUCGAUGGCAAUGAUACAAUACGUGCCUUGCUGCCACUACUGUCACUGGGAAAGGACACCGCAAGAUUGAACCCAAAGCUAAGCACUUCUCCCAUUGCAAGAAAGAUCAAUCUAGUAGGCCAAACUAAACCGAUAAUUCGAAGAGACUUGCAAAGAUAUCAAAUCAUGCAUAUAAGAAUUCAGAGAAGAACCAAAUAUUGUUCAUAGAUAAACUUGAUCAUAAAUCCACAAUUCAUCGGAUCUCGGCAAACACACCGCAAAAAGUAUUACAUCGAAUAGAUCUCCAAGAACAUCGAGGAGAACUUUGUAUUGAGAACCAAAGAGAUAGAAGAAGCCAUCUAGCUAAUAAGUAUGGACCCGAAGGUCUGUGGUAAAGUACUCACACAUCAUGGGAGAGGCUAUGGUGUUGAUGUAGAAGCCCUCGAUGAUCAAAUCCCCCUCCGGCAGAUUGCCGGAAAAGGCCCCAGAUGGGAUCUCACGGGUACAGAAAGUUGCGGCGGUGGAAAAGUGGUUUCGUGGCUCCCCUAAUGUUUUUAGGGAAAUAUGCCCUAGAGGCAAUAAUAAAGUUUUUAUUUAUAUUUACUUAUAUCAUGAUAAAUGUUUAUUAUUCAUGCUAGAUCUCUAUUAAACCAGAAACUUAGUACAUGUGUGAAUACAUAGACAAACAGAGAGUCCCUAGUAUGCCUCUACUUGACUAGCUCGUUAAUCAAAGAUGGUUAAGUUUCCUGACCAUAGACAUGUGUUGUCAUUUGAUGAACGGGAUCACAUCAUUAGAGAAUGAUACGAUGGAUAAGACCCAUUCGUUAGCUUAGCAUAAUGAUCAUUUAGUUGUAUUACUAUUGCUUUCUUCAUGACUUCUACAUGUUCCUCUGACUAUGAGAUUAUGCAACUCCCGAUCCCAGAGGAACACCUUGUGUGCUAUCAAACAUCACAACGUAACUGGGUGAUUAUAAGGAUGCUCUACAGGUGUCUCUUAAGGUGUUUGUUGAGUUGGCAUAGAUUGAGAUUAGGAUUUGUCACUCCAUGUAUUGGAGAGGUAUCUCCGGGCCCUCUCGGUAAUGCACAUCACUAUAAGCCAUGCAAGCAUUGUAACUAAUGAGUUAGUUGUGGGAUGAUGCAUUACGGAAUGAGUAAAGAGACUUGCCAGUAACGAGAUUGAACUAGGUAUGAUAAUACCGACGAUUGAAUCUCGGGCAAGUAACAUACCGAUGACAAAGGGAACAAUGUAUGUUGUUAUGCGGUUUGACCGAUAAAGAUCUUCGUGGAAUAUGUAGGAGCCAAUAUGAGCAUCCAGGAUCUGCUAUUGGUUAUUGAUCGGAGAUGUGUCUCGGUCAUGUCUACAUAGUUCUCAAACCCGUAGGGUCCGCACGCUUAACGUUCGAUGACGAUUUGUAUUAUGAGUAGUGCGAUUUGAUGACCGAAGUUUGUUCGGAGUCCCGGAUGAGAUCACGGACAAGACGAGGAGUCUUGAAAUGGCCGAGUGGUAAAGAUUCAUAUAUUGGAAGGCUAUAUUCGGACAUCGGAAAUGUUCCAAGUGAUUCUGGUGUUUUUCGGAGUACCGGGGAGUUACGAGAAUUCACCGGGAGAAGUAAUGGGCCUUAUUGGGCCAUAUAGGAAAAGAAGGAGGCAGGCCAAGGGGAGGUGGCGCACCCCCAUUGGUCCGAAUUGGACUAGGGGAAGGGGCGGCUUCUCCCAGGCCUUUUCCUACUCCCUCUCUAUUUCCCUCUUUCCUUCUCUCCUACUCCGAAAAGGAUAGGGAUUCCUACUAGGACUUGGAAGUCCUAGUAGGACUCCAUACUUUUGUCACGCCCCUAGAGGGCCGGCCUCUCUCCCUCCCUCCUUUAUAUACGUGGGUAGGGGGCACCCCAAAGGCACAUCAAGCCUUCUCUUAGCCGUGUGCGGUGCCCCCUCCACACUUACACACCUCUGUCAUAUCAUCGUAGUGCUCAGGCGAAGCCCUGCGCCGGUAACUUCAUCAUCACCAUCGCCAUGCCGUCAUGCUGACGGAACUCUCCCUCGUCCUCAACUGGAUCAAGAGAUCGAGGGAUGGCAUCAAGCUGAACGUGUGCUGAAGGCGGAGGUGACGUACGUUCGGUGCUUGGAUCGGUUGGAUCACGAAGACGUUCGACUACAUGAACCGCGUUACUAAACGCUUCCGCUUUCGGUCUACGAGGGUACAUGGACACACUCUCCCCGCUCGUUGCUACACAUAUCCUAGAUAGAUCUUCCGUGAUCAUAGGUAAAAAAAUUUAAAUACUGCGUUCCCCAACAGCUCCCUGACCAAUGUCCGCCAGCUAACAGGGUCAAGACACACAUCGUGCACAUGAUUACGCACCGAGAGGCACAGAGUGGCACGGCGAGGAGACCAGCCGACCACCACCACCUCCACCCGUGCCUCCUUCGAGGUGGUGGUCGUGGUUGGCGGGGCACCAGGUCGAGGCGAGUGGCGGAAGGCACUGGCCUACCAAAACAUUGCCAAAUUCCUCCCUAUGCGAAAAUAAUCAGAACCCGACGGAAACCACGUCUGAAGCUUUCUUUCUCCCAUGAGAUGUGGAUGUUCAUGGCAUUUUCUUUAUCCCUUCCAUCUUUUCCCAGUGGAGCAAUAAUGUUUUGAGGUGGUUGCCCAGAAAAAUCCUUACGCCGCUGCCGCCUGCUCCUCUGCUUGUCCCUAACACAGCCCCGCACAGGGGUCAACCCAGCGAGUUGGCCACCCUGCCAGGCUGUGACUGCUCUGAUUUUGAUCCCCAGCCGAGUCGUCGUUGGCCAGACGGAGCCACCGCCGGACUGCACAGAUUAGUAGAUUGAAGAAUUUGCAGCAAUAGAAGCAUUUGAACUUUCAGGUGAAGAAUUAGCAGAUUCACGUUCAAUGCAUUUCAAACAUGGUGGAAUGAAUUCAGCCUAAGCGGCACUGAUCUAUUGAGCAAGCGAUGAAUCACGUUCCUUCUAAAGAUCUUCAUAACUCACCCUUAGCUUCUCAAGAUCUUGCUUUCUUUGAAGAAAUUCAUAAGAAAGCUUCUCAUGAUCUGAGUGUUAUGAUGACUUUGAAGGUUGUCAAACUUAGACUGAAGUAUGUGAAGAUUAUCAGUCAGAAUUUGAUUUUGAUACAUUUCUUCACCCAACAAGUUAUCUCUUUUGUCUAGCAUAUUUUGAACCUUUUAAAAAGCAUUUUGUUGCUUUACAACAAUCUUAGCAAGUUUAGAAUAGUUGGGCUUGAGGUUUUCAUCAGAUUCAUCCUCACUUGAUUCAGAGGAGAGAUAUUUGAGUACCUUGGCACCUUUUGCCAUGAAGCAAUAGGUGGGAGCAUAGUCAUCAUCGCCAUCGUCAGCAAUGUUGGGAUAGUCAUUUUCCUCAGAGUUGAAGAUAGACUUGCUGACGAAAGAAGUAAUGAGGGCUAGGCUCGCCACACUAGAUUCCAACUCCUCAGAUGCCUCUUCUUCCUCAUUUUCCUUAGAUUCAGCUUCAGAGUCCAUUUCCUUGCCAAUGAAUGCCCGAGCCUUUUUGGAGCUUCUCUUCUUGUGAGAUGAGGACUUCGAAGAUUUUGACGAUGAGGAAUUUGAAGAUUUCUUUUUCUUCUUUGCGUCAUCAGAACUAUAAUCCUUGUAUUUCUUCUUCUUUGAUUCCUUCUCCUACUGAGGACAAUCAGUAAUGUAGUGACCAGGUUUCUUGCAUUUGUGGCAGGUUCUCUUCGUGUAGUCACGGGAUGAGGAAUCUGAUUUCAAGUCAUCACCUCUUAACGAUUUACCAAAGCGACCACGCCUUGAGAACUUCUGGAAUUUCCUCUCGAGCAUUGCUAGCUCUUGACUCAAUUCUUCAGGAUCACCAAGGCUGCUACCAGAAUCUUCUCCUUCAGAUUCAGAGACUGCCUUGGUCUUCAGUGCGCGUGAUCUGCCAUAGCUCGAUCCGUAGAGAUCUCUCUUCUCAGCAAGCUGGAACUCAUGAGUAUUUAGCCUCUCGAGGAUAUCAGCAGGAUCAAGUGACUUGUAGUCUCCAUGUUCUUGGAUCAUCAGUGCAAGAGUGUCAAAUGAGGAAUCCAAUGAUCUCAGCAAUUUCUUCACCAACUCAUGGUCGAUGAUGUCACUAGCACCAAGUGCUUGAAGCUCAUUUGAGAUCUCAGUGAGGCGAUCGAAGGUUUGCCGAACAUUUUCAUUGUCAAGUCUUUUGAAGCGGUUGAAGAGAUUGCGAAGAAUGUCAACUCGAGAGUCGCGUUGAGUUGAGACUCCUUCAUUGCCCUUUACAGCUUAUCCUAGAUAAGCUUAGCUAUCUCCAAAGCACUCAUUCUGCCAUACUACCCUUUGCUCAGAUGGCCACAUAUGAUGUUCUUAGCUUGAGGGUCGAGUUUCUUGAAUCUCUUCACAUCAGCAGCAUUGAUUGUAGGAGUGACGGAGGGAAUGCCAUUUUCCACAACGUACCAGAGAUCGUUGUCAAUUGCCUCAAGAUGAAUUCGCGUCUUAUUCCUCCAAUAGGGCUAGUCCGUCCCAAAGAAGGUAGGACACCCAGCCGAGACCUUAAUCAUGCCUGCAGUCGACAUAACUAAAACUCUAGGUGGUUAUACCAUAAUCACACAGAACAAGGGAGUACCUUGCUCUGAUACAAAUUCAAAGUGCGUUAUAUCGACUAGAGGGGGUGAAUAGGCAAUUUUUACAAAUUCUUCAUAGAGGAAUUUCAAGGUGAGUAAAUUCCUAAGCAACGAACUACUUGGCAGCAGAAUAGGUACUCAGGUGCAAGCAUAACAGAGCAGUAGCAUAGUCAUCAUGAUGAAAUGAAAACAAGCACAGAGUAGAAGUAGCGUGAGGAUAGGAUAAGCAGGCCGAAGACAAAUUGACUGAAGAAAUAGGAUUGAGGAAAUUGAGAAAGUCUUCAGUCAAAGUCUUCAAAGAGUAACGAUCAAGUAAUUCAACACAAGAAUGAGGAAAUGAAAGGGUUGAGCAAAUAGAACCAGUAGCUUGGUGAAGACAAUGAUUUGGUACACCAGUUCCAAUUGAUGUAACAAUCGUACGUCUGGUUGGAGCAGCUAGGUAUUUAAACCUGAGGACACAUAGUCUCGGACACACAGUCCUCACUGUAUUCUCCUUGAGCUAAGAUCACACAGACAUCGCCCAAUCACUCGUGGCAAGUCUUCAGGUGACUUCCAAACCUUCAUAGACUUGGUCACUCGGCGAUCCACAAUUUCCUCUUUGAUGCUCUAGACCAUGACACCUAACUGUCUGCAGGAUACACAGCCCUCAAAGGUAACAAGCAUCGGUUCCACACAGGAACAAUCUCUUCAGUGAUGCUCAAUCACUUUGGGUUUGUAGGUUUUUGGGUUUGGGUUUUCCUUAGUUGAUGAUUUUUGCUCAAAGUCCUCGGAGGAUGGGAUGCUCUCAAUGACAAGUGACAAUUUCUCUCAGAGAAGCAAACCAACUAGUGGUUGUAGGGGGCGGCUAUUUAUAGCCUAGGGAGCAGCCCAACAUGAUAAUACAUAAAUGCCCUUCAAUGAUAUGACCUUUAGGUGGGAAGAUAUUUUGGGAUAGCUGGCGCGUAGCACAGCAACAGUUGGAUAUUUGAGUAUCAAAUUCCCCAGGGCUAUCAUGUUCCUGACUUGUAGGCAAUCCGCACUGGCGAAUUCUUAACUCCUCAGUCAGGACAAAUUCCUCAGAGAACAGAAGAACUUUGUCUCUAUCACUGAAGAUAUUGACUAAACUGUAUGAGAUUUCCAAUGGCUUCACUCAAAAGGAUUGGGUAGGUGUAGGAUUUUGAGAUGAGCAUCACUUGGAAAGUUUUCCUUAGUUUUACCUCGACCCCCUUUAACAGUACGGUGUUUCCUAUGACUCAAGAAAGAGAAAAAUGAAACUACGAAAACGAAAAUCUUCACACUUCAUAUUCCUCAGAUGAAGACCAAGUCUUCACGGUCACACCAAUUUCUUCACUUUCAAAGUCUUGAAGAAAACCAAAGUCUUCAGCUGAAGACAUUCAUUUUUAGGGGUCGACUUUCAUCGUAAAUAUCAAACUCCUCAUAGACUUAUAGACCUGUGUACACUCACAAACACAUUAGUCCCUUUACCUAUAAGUCUUUAAUACACCAAAAUCACUAAGGGGUACUAGAUGCAAUUAUAAUCUUCCCCUUUUUGGUGAUUGAUAACAAUAUAGGUUAAGUUUUCAACGGGGAUAAACAUAUGAAGUGUAAAUACUGAUAUUGAGGAAUUUGAUUGCAAGAUAUAUAUAGAAGAACUCCCUUUGAAAUUGUGCAUAUUGUAGGAAUUUGCUUUGAAAUAGAAAAUGCACAACUUAGAGUAGAAUCAUGGAGAUCUCCCCCUAUAUCUUGUAAUUCAUACACGCAUUUAACAUAUGAUAUGUAGAAUUUGAAAUGCAUGAUGAAAUAUGGUGACCGAUAUAAUUCAGCAUGUGUGCAUUAACAUACUUGAGGAAAUAGAAUGCAGAAAACAGAGCAAAAGUAUUAGACCACCAUGGGGCUUAAGUUUACAACUCGAUCCAACAAACACUUCAGAAGAGCGAGAGUUGUAACUUAACAAAAAAUGCCCAUAUAAGAGACCCGCUUUAAUACUAACUCAAAUUUCUCCCCCUUUGUCAUCAAAUGACCAAAAGGGACGAAAAAUGAGGACUAACGCCCUUGAAGAAUAUCAUCACGAUGUCGAUGGAGGAGCGCCAGCGUUGUUGGGGUCGUUCAUUGACGUAGGGCCUGUUGUGGUGUCGUUCAUUGGGUUUUGAAAGUCAGCCUUGUAAUGAAUUGAAGACCUUGAUCUGAUGAAUCUCCUGAUAUAGGGAGCGUAAGGCUUCAACUCAAACGGUGACAAAGCAGCAUUGGUCAAAGUCCUCAUGAAGAAAUCAUGAUAGUUGAUAGGAAUACCAUGAAUGAUAUUGAACAGAAGAUUCUUCAUAAUGCCAACAACAUUUUCUUCAUCAGAGUUGUGGCCCUUGAUUGGACUGAGGGUUUUGGUCAAUAUUUUGUAGAUCGUCCUUUGCACAUAGAGCAAUUCCUUCACUAUGAAUCUGGUCCUUGGAGCUUGGCCAGGCCCAAGGCUUCAUCAGUACUUACAUCAGAUGGUUGGUGAGUUCAGGUUCAGCAUAGAUGAGCCUUGCACCUCCACUGGGUGGAUUGACUGGGAUGGCGUGAAGCAAUUCAGAGGCCGGAGCUUUGUAGUGAGUGUUUUCAGUCAUCCAGUCUAGCACCCAUGAAUUGACAUAUUCAACAUUUCUAGUGAUGUGUAGCAUGGCGAAGAAUUGAAGAAUGAGUUCUUCAUUCCAAUCGCAAACAGUGCAGAAAUUGAGUGGUCUAGCGUCAUGAAGAAAACUGAGGACUGGGGUGAUGCACGGUAGAGACUCCAUGUCCACAUGAGGAAGUUGCUCAUGGUCAAAAACUUUGUGCUUAUCAAACAACAAUGAGGAAUAGAAAUUCAUCUGGCUGGCAGUCCAAAAACGCUUGCGACAAAGUCAUGCCGAGUCAUAUGGAUUGUCGUCAGAGAAGAAAUGAUGCUCAGCAAAGAAGUCAUCAGCCUUGAACUUCUGCUUCUUGGUGUGAGGAUUCUGUGACUUGGGCUGAAGAUUAGCAGUUGAAGUCUUCACAACAUCUUGAAUCACAGUCUCUGGAGCCACAGGCUGAGGAAUUUUAGGAGCAGUGUCAUCAAUAGCAGCCUAGGCCACCAUUUCUUAAGCACUAGUUGUUGGGGAACGUAGUAAUUUCAAAAAAAUUCCUAUGCACACGCAAGAUCAUGGUGAUGCAUAGCAACGAGAGGGGAGAGUGUGAUCUACAUACCCUUGUAGAUCGACAGCGGAAGCGUUAUGACAACGCGGUUGAUGUAGUUGUACGUCUUCAUGGCCCUACCGAUCAAGCACCGAAACUACGACACCUCCGAGUUUUAGCACACAUUCAGCUCGAUGACGAUCCCCGUACUCCGAUCCAGCAAAGUGUCGGGGAAGAGUUCCGUCAGCACGAAGGCAUGGUGACGAUCUUGAUGUACUACUGUCGCAGGGCUUCGCCAAAGCACUACAACAAUAUUAUCGAGGACUAUGGUGGCAGGGGGCACCGCACACGGCUAAGAAUAUGAUCACGUGGAUCAACUUGUGUGUUUCUGGGGUGCCCCUUCCUCCGUAUAUAAAGGUUCAAGAGAGGAAGCCGGCCGGCCCCUAUGGUGCGCUAAGGAGGAGUCCUCCUGCUAGUAGUAGGACUCCUACUAGGAGGGGGAAAGAAGUGGGGAGGGAGAAGGAAAGGGGGGCGCCGCCCCCCCUCUCCUAGUCCCAUUCGGACCAGGGGGGAGGAGGCGCGCGGCCCACCUUUGGCUGCCCCUCUCUCUCUCCACUAAGGCCCAUAUGGCCCAUUACUUCUCCCGGGGGGUUCCGGUAACCCUCCUGCUUUCCGGUUUUCUCCGAAAUCACCCGGAACACUUCAGGUGUCCGAAUAUAGCAGUCCAAUAUAUCAAUCUUUAUGUCUCGACCAUUUCGAGACUCCUCGUCAUGUUCGUGAUCACAUCUGGGACUCCGAAAAACCUUCGGUACAUCAAAAACGUAUAAACUCAUAAUAUAACUGUCAUCGAAACCUUAAGCGUGCGGACCCUACGGGUUCGAGAACAAUGUAGACAUGACCGAGACAUGUCUCCGGUCAAUAACCAAUAGCGGAACCUGGAUGCCCAUAUUGGCUCCUACAUAUUCUACGAAGAUCUUUAACCGUCAGACCGCAUAACAACAUAUGUUGUUCCCUUUGUCAUCGGUAUGUUACUUGCCCGAGAUUCGAUCAUCGGUAUCCAAUACCUAGUUCAAUCUCAUUACCGGCAAGUCUCUUUACUCAUUCUGUAAUACAUCAUCUCGCAACUAACUCAUUAGUUGUAUUGCUUGCAAGGCUUAAGUGAUGUGCAUUACCGAGAGGGCCCAGAGAUACCUCUCCGACGAUCGGAGUGACAAAUCCUAAUCUCGAAAUACGUCAACCCAACAUGUACCUUUGGAGACACCUGUAGAGUACCUUUAUGAUCACCCAGUUACGUUGUGACGUUUGGUAGCACACAAAGUGUUCCUCCGGCACACGGGAGUUACAUAAUCUCAUAGUCAUAGGAACAUGUAUAAGUCAUGAAGAAAGCAAUAGCAACAUACUAAACGAUCGGAUGCUAAGCUAAUGGAAUGGGUCAUGUCAAUCAGAUCAUUCAACUAAUGAUGUGAUCCCGUUAAUCAAAUGACAACUCUUUGUCAAUGGUUAGGAAACAUAACCAUCUUUGAUUAACGAGCUAGUCUAGUAGAGGCAUACUAGUGACACUUUGUUUGUCUAUGUAUUCACACACAUGUAUUAUGUUUCCGGUUAAUACAAUUCUAGCAUGAAUAAUAAACUUUUAUCAUGAUAUAAGGAAAUAAAUAAUAACUUUAUUAUUGCCUCUAGGGCAUAUUUCCUUCAGUCUCCCACUUGCACUAGAGUCAAUAAUCUAGAUUACAGAGUAAUGAUUCUAACACCCAUGGAGCUUUGGUGUUGAUCAUGUUUUGCUCGUGGAAGAGGCUUAGUCAAUGGGUCUGCUACAUUCAGCUCCGUAUGUAUCUUGCAAAUCUCUAUGUCUCCCACCUGGACUAGAUCCCUGAUGGAAUUGAAGCGCCUCUUGAUGUGCUUGGUUCUCUUGUGAAAUCUGGAUUCCUUUGCCAAGGCAAUUGCACCAGUAUUGUCACAAAAGAUUUUCAUUGGACCCGAUGCACUAGGUAUGACACCUAGAUCGGAUAUGAACUCGUUCAUCCAGACUCCUUCAUUUGCUGCUUCCGAAGCAGCUAUGUACUCUGCUUCACAUGUAGAUCCCGCCAUGAUGCAUUGUUUUGAACUGCACCAACUGACAGCUCCACCAUUUAAUGUAAACACGUAUCCGGUUUGCGAUUUAGAAUCGUCCGGAUCAGUGUCAAAGCUUGCAUCAACGUAACCGUUUACAAUGAGCUCUUUGUCACCUCCAUAUACGAGAAACAUAUCCUUAGUCCUUUUCAGGUAUUUCAGGAUGUUCUUGACCGCUGUCCAGUGAUCCACUCCUGGAUUACUUUGGUACCUCCCUGCUAAACUUAUAGCAAGGCACACAUCAGGUCUGGUACACAGCAUUGCAUACAUGAUAGAGCCUAUGGCUGAAGCAUAGGGAACAUCUUUCAUUUUCUCUCUAUCUUCUGCAGUGGUCGGGCAUUGAGUCUGACUCAACUUCACACCUUGUAACACAGGCAAGAACCCUUUCUUUGCUUGAUCCAUUUUGAACUUCUUCAAAAUCUUGUCAAGGUAUGUGCUUUGUGAAAGUCCAAUUAAGUGUCUUGAUCUAUCUCUAUAGAUCUAUAUGCCUAAUACGUAAGCAGCUUCACCGAGGUCUUUCAUUGAAAAACUCUUAUUCAAGUAUCCCUUUAUGCUAUCCAGAAAUUCUAUAUCAUUUCCAAUCCGUAAUAUGUCAUCUACAUAUAAUAUCAGAAAUGCUACAGAGCUCCCACUCACUUUCUUGUAAAUACAGGCUUCUCCGAAAGUCUGUAUAAAACCAAAUGCUUUGAUCACACUAUCAAAGCAUUUAUUCCAACUCCGAGAGGCUUGCACCAGUCCAUAAAUGGAUCGCUGGAGCUUGCACACUUUGUUAGCUCCCUUUGGAUCGACAUAACCUUCCGGUUGCAUCAUAUACAACUCUUCUUCCAGAAAUCCAUUCAGGAAUGCAGUUUUGACAUCCAUCUGCCAAAUUUCAUAAUCAUAAAAUGCGGCAAUUGCUAACAUGAUUCGGACAAACUUAAGCAUCGCUACGGUGAGAAGAUCUCAUCGUAGUCAACCCCUUGAACUUGUCGAAAACCUUUUGCGACAAGUCGAGCUUUGUAGAUAGUAAUAUUACCGUCAGCGUCAGUCGUCUUCUUGAAAAUCCAUUUAUUCUCAAUUGCUUGCCGAUCAUCCGGCAAGUCAACCAAAGUCCAUACUUUGUUCUCAUACAUGGAUCCCAUCUCAGAUUUCAUGGCUUCAAGCCAUUUUGCGGAAUCUGGGCUCACCAUCGCUUCUUCAUAGUUCAUAGGUUCAUCAUGAUCUAGCAGCAUAAUUUCCAGAACAAGAUUACCGUACCACUCUGGCGCGGAUCUCACUCUGGUUGAUCUACGUGGUUCAGUAGUAUCUUGUCCUGAAGUUUCAUGAUCAUUAUCAUUAGCUUCCUCACUAAUUGGUGUAGGUGUCACAGAAACAGUUUUUUGUGAUGUACUACUUUCCAAUAAGGGAGCAGGUACAGUUACCUCAUCAAGUUCUACUUUCUUCCCACUCACAUCUUUCGAGUGAAACUCCUUCUCCAGAAAUUUUCCGAAUUUAGCAACAAAAGUCUUGCCUUUGGAUCUAUGAUAGAAGGUGUAUCCAAUGGUUUCCUUUGGAUAUCCUAUGAAGACACAUUUCUCCGAUUUGGGUUCGAGCUUAUCAGGUUGAAGCUUUUUCACAUAAGCAUCGCAGCCCCAAACUUUCAAAAACGACAACUUUGGUUUCUUGCCAAACCAUAGUUCAUAAGGUGUCGUCUCAACAGAUUUCGAUGGUGCCCUAUUUAACGUGAAUGCGGCCGUCUCUAAAGCAUAACCCCAAAACGAUAGCGGUAAAUCAGUAAGAGACAUCAUAGAUCGCACCAUAUCUAGUAAAGUACGAUUACGACGUUCGGACACACCAUUAUGCUGUGGUGUUCCGGGUGGCGUGAGUUGCGAAACUAUUCCGCAUUGCUUCAAAUGUACACCAAACUCGUAACUCAAAUAUUCUCCUCCAUGAUCAGAUCAUAGAAACUUUAUUUUCUUAUUACGAUGAUUUUCAACUUCACUCUGAAAUUCUUUGAACUUUUCAAAUGUUUCAGACUUAUGUUUCAUUAAGUAGAUAUACCCAUAUCUGCUUAAGUCAUCUGUGAAGGUGAGAAAAUAACGAUAUCCGCCACGAACCUCAAUAUUCAUUGGACCACAUACAUCUGUAUGUAUGAUUUCCAACAAAUCUGUUGCUCUCUCCAUUGUACCGGAGAACAGUGUUUUAGUCAUCUUGCCCAUGAGGCACGGUUCGCAAGUACCAAGUGAUUCAGAAUCAAGUGGCUCCAAAAGUCCAUCAGUAUGGAGUUUCUUCAUGCGCUUUACACCGAUAUGACCUAAACGGCAGUGCCACAAAUAAGUUGCACCAUCAUUAUCAACUCUGCAUCUUUUGGCUUCAACAUUAUGAAUAUGUGUAUCACUACUAUCGAGAUUCAAUAAGAAUAGACCACUUUUCAAGGGUUCAUGACCAUAAAAGAUAUUACUCAUAUAAAUAGAACAACCAUUAUUCUCUAAUUUAAAUGAAUAACCGUCUCGCAUUAAACAAGAUCCAGAUAUAAUGUUCAUGCUCAACGCUGGCACCAAAUAGCAAUUAUUUAGGUCUAAUACUAAUCCCGAAGGUAGAUGUAGAGGUAGCGUGCCGACCGUGAUCACAUUGACUUUGGAACCGUUUCCCACGCGCAUCGUCACCUCGUCCUUAGCCAAUCUUUGCUUAAUCCGUAGUCCCUGUUUCGAGUUGCAAAUAUUAGCAACAGAACCAGUAUCAAAUACCCAGGUGCUACUGCGAGCAUUAGUAAGGUACACAUCAAUAACAUGUAUAUCACAUAUACCUUUGUUCACCUUGCCAUCCUUCUUAUCCGCCAAAUACUUGGGGCAGUUGUGCUUCUAGUGACCAGUCUGCUUGCAGUAGAAGCACUCAGUUUCAGGCUUAGGUCCAGACUUGGGUUUCUUCUCUUGAGCAGCAACUUGCUUGCCGUUUUUCUUGAAGUUCCCCUUCUUCUUCCCUUUGCCCUUUUUCUUGAAACUAGUGGUCUUGUUGACCAUCAACACUUGAUGCUCCUUUUUGAUUUCUACCUCCGCAGCUUUCAGCAUUGCGAAGAGCUCGGGAAUAGUCUUGUUCAUCCCUUGCAUAUUAUAGUUCAUCACGAAGCUCUUGUAGCUUGGUGGCAGUGAUUGGAGAAUUCUGUCAAUGACGCAAUCAUCUGGAAGAUUAACUCCCAUCUGAAUCAAGUGAUUAGUAUACCCAGGCAUUUUGAGUAUAUGCUCACUGACAGAACUGUUCUCCUCCAUCUUGCAGCUAUAGAACUUAUUGGAGACUUCAUAUCUCUCAAUUCGGGCAUUUGCUUGAAAUAUUAACUUCAACUCCUGGAACAUCUCAUAUGCUCCAUGACGUUCAAAACGUCGUUGAAGUCCCGAUUCUAAGCUGUAAAGGAUGGCACACUGAACUAUCGAGUAGUCAUCAGCUUUGCUCUGCCAGACGUUCAUAACAUCUGGUGUUGCUCCAGCAGCAGGCCUGGCACCUAGCGGUGCUUCCAGGACGUAAUUCUUCUGUGCAGCAAUGAGGAUAAUCCUCAAGUUAUGGACCCAGUCCGUGUAAUUGCUACCAUCAUCUUUCAACUUUGCUUUCCCAAGGAACGCAUUAAAAUUCAACGGAACAACAGCACGGGCCAUCGAUCUACAAUCAAACAUACAUAAGCAAGAUACUAUCAGGUACUAAGUUCAUGAUAAAUUUAAGUUCAAUUGAUCAAAUUACUUAAGAACUCCCACUUAGACAGACAUCCCUCUAAUCCUCUAAGUGACCACGUGAUCCAAAUCAACUAAACCAUGUCCGAUCAUCACGUGAGAUGGAGUAGUUUCAUUGGUGAACAUCACUUGUUGAUCAUAUCUACUAUAUGAUUCACGCUCGACCUUUCGGUCUCCGUGUUCCGAGGCCAUAUCUGUAUAUGCUUGGCUCGUCAAGUAUAACCUGAGUAUUCCAUGUGUGCAACUGUUUUGCACCUGUUGUAUUUGAACGUAGAGCCUAUCACACCCGAUCAUCACGUGGUGUCUCAGCACGAAGAACUUUCGCAACGGUGCAUACUCAGGGAGAACACUACUUGAUAAUUUUAGUGAGAGAUCAUCUUAUAAUGCUACCGUCAAUCAAAGCAAGAUAAGAUGCAUAAAAGAUAAACAUCACAUGCAAUCAAUAUAAGUGAUAUGAUAUGGCCAUCAUCAUCUUGUGCCUGUGAUCUCCAUCUCCGAAGCACCGUCAUGAUCACCAUCGUCACCGGCGCGACACCUUGAUCUCCAUCGUAGCAUCGUUGUCGUCUCGCCAAUCUUAUGCUUCCACGACUAUCGCUACCGUUUAGUGAUAAAGUAAAGCAUUACUGCGUGAUUGCAUUGCAUACAAUAAAGCGACAACCAUAUGGCUCCUGCCAGUUGCCGAUAACUCGAUUACAAAACAUGAUCAUCUCAUACAAUAAAAUCAGCAUCAUGUCUUGACCAUAUCACAUCACAACAUGCCCUGCAAAAACAAGUUAGACGUCCUCUACUUUGUUGUUGCAAGUUUUACGUGGCUGCUACGGGCUUAAGCAAGAACAAAUCUUACCUACGCAUCAAAACCACAACGAUAGUUUGUCAAGUUGGUGAUGUUUUAACCUUCGCAAGGACCGGGCGUAGCCACAUUCGGUUCAGCUAAAGUUGGAGAAACUGUCACCCGCAAGCCACCUAUGUGCAAAGCACGUCGGGAGAACCGGUCUCGCGUAAGCGUACGCGUAAUGUCGGUCCGGGCCGCUUCGUCCAACAAUACCGCCGAACCAAAGUAUGACAUGCUGGUAAGCAGUAUGACUUAUAUCGCCCACAACUCACUUGUGUUCUACUCGUGCAUAUAACAUCAACACAUAAAACCUGGCUCGGAUACCACUGUUGGGGAACGCAGUAAUUUCAAAAAAAUUCCUACGCACACGCAAGAUCAUGGUGAUGCAUAGCAACGAGAGGGGAGAGUGUGAUCUACAUACCCUUGUAGAUCGACAGUGGAAGCAUUAUGACAACACGGUUGAUGUAGUCGUACGUCUUCACGGCCCGACCGAUCAAGCACCGAAACUACGGCACCUCCGAGUUUUAGCACACGUUCAGCUCGAUGACGAUCUCCGGACUCCGAUCCAGCAAAGUGUCGGGGAAGAGUUCUGUCAGCACGACGGCGUGGUGACGAUCUUGAUGUACUACUGUCACAGGGCUUCGGCUAAGAACCGCUACAAUAUUAUCGAGGACUAUGGUGGCAGGGGGCGCCGCACACGGCUAAGAAUAUGAUCACGUGGAUCAACUUGUGUGUUUCUGGGGUGCCCCUGCCUCCGUAUAUAAAGGUUAAAGGGAGGAAGAGGCCGGCCGGCCCCUAUGGCGCGCCAAGGAGGAGUCCUCCUCCUAGUAGGAGUAGGACUCCUACUAGGAGGGGGAAAGAAGUGGGGAGGGAGACGGAAAGGGGGGCGCCGCCACCCCCUCUCCUAGUCCAAUUCGGACCAGGGGGGAGGAGGCGCGUGGCCCACCUUUGGCUGCCCCUAUCUCUCUCCACUAAGGCCCAUAUGGCCCAUUACUUCUCCCGGGGGUUCCGGUAACCCUCCGGCUUUCCGGUUUUCUCCGAAAUCACCCUGAACACUUCCGGUUUCCGAAUAUAGACGUCCAAUAUAUCAAUCUUUAUGUCUCGACCAUUUCGAGACUCCUCGUCAUGUCCGUGAUCACAUAUGGGACUCCGAACAACCUUCGGUACAUCAAAAACAUAUAAACUCAUAAUAUAACUGUCAUCGAAACCUUAAGCAUGCGGACCCUACGGGUUCGAGAACAAUGUAGACAUGACCGAGACAUGUCUCCGGUCAAUAACCAAUAGCGGUACCUAGAUGCCCAUAUUGGCUCCUACAUAUUCUACGAAGAUCUUUAUCGAUCAGACCGCAUAACAACAUACGUUGUUCCUUUUGUCAUCGGUAUGUUACUUGCCCGAGAUUCGAUCGUCGGUAUCCAAUACCAAGUUCAAUCUCGUUACCGGCAAGUCUCUUUACUCGUUCUGUAAUACAUCAUCUCCCAACUAACUCAUUAGUUGUAUUGCUUGCAAGGCUUAAGUGAUGUGCAUUACCGAGAGGGCCCAGAGAUACCUCUUCGACGAUCGGAGUUACAAAUCCUAAUCUAGAAAUACGUCAACCCAACAUGUACCUUUGGAGACACCUGUAUAGUACCUUUAUGAUCACCCAGUUACGUUGUGACGUUUGGUAGCACACAAAGUGUUCCUCCGGCACAUGGGAGUUACAUAAUCUCAUAGUCAUAGGAACAUGUAUAAGUCAUGAAGAAAGCAAUAGCAACAUACUAAAUGAUCGGAUGCUAAGCUAAUGGAAUGGGUCAUGUCAAUCAGAUCAUUCAACUAAUGAUGUGAUCCCGUUAAUCAAAUGACAACUCUUUGUCAGUGGUUAGGAAACAUAACCAUAUUUGAUUAACGAGCUAGUCUAGUAGAGGCAUACUAGUGACACUUUGUUUGUCUAUGUAUUCACACACAUGUAUUAUGUUUCCGGUUAAUACAAUUCUAGCAUGAAUAAUAAGUUUUAUCAUGAUAUAAGGAAAUAAAUAAUAACUUUAUUAUUGCCUCUAGGGCAUAUUUCUUUCACUAGUGGACGGAACUUCUUCUGGAAUUGAGAGAAGAGAAACUUGACGUUCUUCAGAGCCCGUAUGAAUUUCUUUGGUUUGGACCGGGGACAGAGGAAGUUGAUGCAGAGGUGUUGUCAGUGGAGAAUUGGGGCGAUGGCUUUCCCAAUAGUCAUCAUUCUGAAUUGGAGUUGUUGACCCAAUGUCCACAUCCUCGUCUUCUUCAUCAAUUUCUUCAACGCCCGCCUGUUCAGCUGUGAACUGGGGCAUGGGCGAUGAUACCAGUGGAGUUGAAGGGAUAUCAUGCACUUCAAUUUUUAAUCCAACUGCUCUGACGUGACAGCAGAAGGAAUGUCUUCAUCCGAUUCACUAGGAAUCACAUAUUCCUCACCAAAGGUAACAAUCUCCUUUGAUGGAAUGCUUGAUAUUGGAACAACAUCUAUUGGGUUUGCAAAAGAGCUCAUCAAAGUCUUCACUUUCUUCGGUUCUGAAGACUCUAUGGAUGUAGAUGUUUUCCUUUUCUUCAUAGCUGCCUGCUCUGCAGCUUUGGUCUUCUUCGCUUUUGAUGCAGAAGGAAGGUUGAUGCUUAUCAUCUAUGCAGGAGGAGCAGAGGAAAUUGGUUCAGUUUCUUCAGGCACAACUGAUGCAGUUGCCCUGUCAUGUUCAGUUUCCUCAGGCACAGUAGCAGAUGCUUCAACUGGCCUACGUUGUUCAUCAGGCGUAACAGUGGAGGUUGCCCUGGCAAUUUCUUCAGUAGCUGGAAUUUCUUCAUCAGCCCUGGUGCUUUCAUUUUCUUCAACAGCCUGAUUUUCAUUAGCUGUGCUUGCAUGUUCUUCAGUAGUCUAAGCAGAUGUCUUGACCUAAGGAAAUUCUUGUUGCGAUGAAGCUGCAACAUUUGAUGUGAAUUUCUUCAUCAUGUUGAUGAAUCUUACUUUGGCUCCCAGCCAAUCAGCAUGAUAUGCAUCAAAUUUACAUAGUCACAAGUUCAUCGGGAGUCAUUGUCACAACAUUUUUCUUUAGUAAACGCUUAUUCUUGUACUGAGCUUUCUUCACUUGUCUGGCCUUUUCAAAUUUCCAUUUUUCUUCGCCAAUGAAGGCAUUGAGCAUUUGACUUUGGCAGGUGUGAGAUUCAGAUCAGGCAGAGGAGUGUUGGGGUCCUUAUGCCACAGAUCGAUGAAAUCGAGGAUCAACUUGGGAUCCAGCAGAAGUGGCACUUCACUGCCUUUGGCUCUAGCGGCCCAUGCUUGUCGAUCUCUGAUGAUUUCAGCCAAUUCUUCAUCAUCAGCUUCGUCUUCACUAGACGUUUCUGGAAAGGCGAUCUGCUUCUUGUGAGGACUUGGCCUCGUGCCUCGUCCAGCAAUGGCUUUUGUCUUCAGCAAGGUUGGAGAUGUUGAAGACUAGGGAGGAGCUGAAGAACUUGCAGAAACUCUUGAAGCAAUUGACAUUCCAAUGGUCCUUUGACAAGAGGCGAGAUGCACAGGUGUCGUGGACUUUGCAGCAGCAGCUGUGGAUUUUGCAGUGGGGACUAUAGCUGCUUUGGAGGAAGUAGCAUCAGGCACGAGCCGUGAGGGCUUUGAGGAGCUUGGCCAUGAGGGCAUUGAAGCUGAGGAACUGGGCUUAUGAGCAGGCUUCUUGGGCAUAGCCUUCUUGGGCUUGCUAGCAGAGGCCUCAGCAGCGGCAGUAGCAGAAUCUUCAUUGAAUUUCUUCACUGCUUCUUUGGCCAUUUUGGCCAACUUAGCUUGCCGCUUUGCCCACUCCUUAGGAAAUUCCUCACCUCUUUUGAUGCUAGAGGGAUCAGCAACUUGGCCUGGUGCCAAUGGAGGUCUUGGGCAUGGAGGGUGUACUGUGAAUUUCUUCAUGUACUUGGGAGUCACAUAUCUGUACUCCCUCCAUUCUCGUGCCCAUCUCCUCUCUAUCCUCUGAAUGCGCACUUUGCGCUCAUUCUUUGUCUCCUUGCCAUGAAUUGCUUCAUCAGUAGUGCAAUAUCCUGCAUAGAUGUCAUCAGGAAUCUCGAAAGCAGUAUUCACUUCCGGUCUCUUGCCUCCCUUCUGAGUUCUUUUGCCAUCAGCCAUUUUCUUCAGCUAAGGAUUUUGAACAAUUGAAUUCUCUGAUGAGGUAUGCAAUUUGUCUUCGAGGAAUGCUGCAAAUGAGUUAAGUUGAUGAGAACCUAGAGAUUCAGCAGCAGACAUGUGUACCUGUGAAUAGAGUAUAGUUGCAAAGAAUUUGGAGAGGUCAUGUGCGUUCUCAGAAGUUUUUCAAAACAAUCAAGUGAUACGUCUCCAACGUAUCUAUAAUUUUUGAUUGCUCCAUGCUAUAUUAUCUACUGUUUUGGACUAUAUUGGGCUUUAUUUUCCACUUUUAUAUUAUUUUUGGGACUAACCUAUUAACCGGAGGCCUAGCCCAGAAUUGCUGUUUUUUUCUAUUUCAGUGUUUCAAAGAAAUGGAAUAUCAAACGGAGUCCAAACGGAAUAAAACCUUCGGGAACGUGAUUUUCUCACCGAACGUGAUCUAGGAGACAAGGACCCUGCUCCAAGGAACAAAAGAGGCGGUCACGAGGGUGGGGGGCGCCCCCCCUAGGGCGUGCCCCCUGCCUCGUGGGCCCCUCGGUGCUCCUCCGGCGUACUUCUUCCUCCUAUAUAUACACACGUACCCCCAAACGAUCAGAACAGGAGCCAAAAACCUAAUUCCACCGCCGCAAAUUUCUGUAUCCAUGAGAUCCCAUCUUGGGGCCUAUUUCGGAGCACCGCUGGAAGAGGGCCAUCAUCACGGAUGGCUUCUACAUCAUCCUAGCCUCUCCAAUGAAGUGUGAGUAGUUUACCUCAGACCUUCGGGUCCAUAGUUAGUAGCUAGAUGGCUUCUUCUCUCUCUUUGAAUCUCAAUACAAAGUUCUCCCCCCUCUCUUGUGGAGAUCUAUUCGAUGUAAUCUUGUUUUUGCGGUGUGUUUGUUGAGACCGAUGAAUUGUGGGUUUAUGAUCAAGUCUAUCCAUGAAUAAUAUUUGAAUCUUCUCUGAAUUCUUUUAUGUAUGAUUGGUUAUCUUUGCAAGUCUCUUCGAAUUAUCCGUUUGGUUUGGCCAACUAGAUUGGUAGUUCUUGCCAUGGGAGAAGUCCUUAGCUUUGGGUUCGAUCUUGCAGUGUCCUUACCCAGUGACAAAACGGACAGCAAGGAACGUAUUGUAUCGUUGCCAUCGAGGAUAACAAGAUGGGUGUCGGUGUCAAAACCGGCGGAUCUUGGGUAGGGGGUCCCGAACUGUGCGUCUAGGCUGGAUGGUAACAGGAGGCAGGGAACACGAUGUUUUACCCAGGUUUGGGCCCUUUUGAUGGAGGUAAAACCUUACUUCCUGCUUGAUUAAUAUUGAUGAUAUGGGUAGUACAAGAGUAGAUCUACCACGAGAUCAAGGAGGCUAAACCCUAGAAGCUAGCCAAUGGUAUGAUUGUUGUACAUGGAGUUGAUUGCCUACGGACUACAACCCUCCGGUUUAUAUAGACACCGGAUAGGGUUAGAGUUACAUAGAGUCGGUUACAAUGGUAGGAGAUCUUGAAUAUCCGCAUCGCCAAGCUUGCCUUCCACGCCAAGGAAAGUCCCAUCCGGACACGGGACGAAGUCUUCAAUCUUGUAUCUUCACAGUCCAGAUGUCCGGCUGAAGGUAUAGUCCGGCUACCCGAACACCCCCUAAUCCAGGACUCCUUCAGUAGCCCCUGAACCAGGCUUCAAUGACGACGAGUCCGGCGCGCAAAUUGUCUUCGGCAUUGCAAGGCGGGUUCCUCCUCCAAAUUCUUCAUAAAAGAUUGUAAACACCAAGAGUAGUGUCCGGCUCCGCAAAAUAAGCUUCCACAUAUUGCCAUAAAGAGAAUAAUAUUAACACAAGUCAAAUCUGCUGACGUAUUCCGCAGUGCGUCAUCACACUACAGCCAAGUCCUAUACUCGAAUCAAUUUCACCUUUCCACCUCAGCGUGUUUUGCGAGGCAGUUUCCUUGGCACGUCUUGUCAAAGCAGAGAUCGUGUGCCCCCCUUUUACGGGAUUCUCAUCGAUACGGACGUGGGUAACCCAAUCGUGCCCGUUAGCAUGUUUUCUCGAUUAAAGGCGAGUCCCAAACGGUUACGGGGAGGGCUCCUGGUAUUCAACCUCUUAUAAAGAGACCAGGGCCUUACUCCUUUUAUCUCAAGCGAGUUCGCCCGUCGCCUCGAGUUCCAACACCCUAGGCUCCAGAUUCCAGGCGCUUCGGACCUUUGACAAUGUCCGGUUCUGACCUUCAAGGUCGAUGGAUGCCCUCCUCCGUCACGGAGGAGGACGUGCUAAAGUUGAGAGAGGCUAAGUUCUUGACCACCGAAAUUUCGCACAGGUUGCCUGCUCAAAGGCAGGCUAUCCCCAGUCCCCAGCCGGUGAGAGCAUAGUGUUCGUGCCUCACUUCCUUCGGGGGUUAGGCUUCCCGAUGGAUCCCUUUGUGAGGGGACUGCUGUUUUAUUACGGGCUGGAAUUUCACGACUUAGCUUCGGAGUCCAUCCUCCAUAUCUCCUCGUUUAUCGUUGUAUGUGAAGCUUUCCUCCGUGUUACCCCUCACUUCGGGUUAUGGCUCAAGACUUUCAAAGUGGAGCCGAAGAUGAUCAAGGGAUGGCACGCAGAGUGUGGAGGUGCUGUUAUAAGCAAAAGUGCUGAUGCUCCAUGGCCCGAGGGCUCUUUUCAAGAGGAGCUUGGCUUGUGGAAACGAGAGUGGUUUUAUAUCACCACUCCCCGGAGCACCAAGUGGGUGGCGCUUCCUGCCUUUUGCUCCGGUCCCCCACCACGACUAGCGUCAUGGGUUAAUAGAGGGUUAGAUUGGGGUUUGCCCAAAGAUGUGCCCUUGUUACAGGGCCGCAUUAAGGAUCUCUUGGAAGGAGACCUCACCUGGUCAAGGUGACGCAGGUCAUGCUGAUUCACCGAAUAUUGCCCGACAAACAUCGCUCCCUUCGCCUGUGGGAGUUUAAUCCAGAGGGACCACAAGCUCUCCAGAAUUUCAUGGGUGCAACGCCCGCGGAGAUGUAUAAACUGUUCUUCGGAUCACAAGGGAUGUGUCCGGAUUUAACCGAGGACGCAGGCCUAAGCUGCAAUCGCCCAGAUACUCAAGUAAGCAACCUUGUGCCCGGACCUUCUAUCCGUAUAAUUGUCAUAAACUUGCCCCUAAAAGAGCCGUCCUUUUAAACAAGAGUGGAUAGCGAAGGCAAAGCUGAUCAGGUGUCUGGCUCCCCUUCCUGAAACCAGGGCGGAUCCCGUGCUAGUCAGGAUGCUGGAGAUAAUGCCUUUGGAGGGGGAGGACAAGGAAGUUAUGGCCUCCUCGAAGGAGGCUGCUCCGAAGGGAGGAACCAACAAUUCCUCUCCUAAGGGGAAGAAGAGAGCCGCCUCUGACGACCCGGAAACCAUGGCCUCGAAGCGGGGGAGAAAAUCCUCGUCAGAGGGUCCGACGCCGGGGAGUUCCUCGGCCGGACUACGCCCUCAAGGGGAUCAGCCCUCCAGCAAGCCGUAAGUAGAGAAAGAUUUUCCUUUUGAGGGAUGAGGGAAAUCCUUGAUUUAUAUCCGAGAAGAUUAACCAAAUUUUUACCUUGUAGCUCGGACCUCAGCCCUUCUCAGCAGAGCUCGUCUUUGGGGGAUCUCCUUCCGGAGAUGAUGGAGAGCGGGACACCUCCCCCUGCCGUGCCGCCUAGCGAGGCGGGCGACCCUGAGGUGUCGUCACGGAGGGUUUCUCCGAAUCCGGCAGGGGCGGAAGAUAGCUGUCACACCCUAGCUAGUUAUGCAUUAGAGUGUUGCAUCAUGUUUACUCAUUCAUCAGAAACUUGAAAUGGGGAUGACAGAACCCCCAGUCCCCUCUGAAACCAACUAGGGUUUACUAAAAUAAUUUUUCAAUGAACCUGAAAUGCCCUUCUAAAAUGCCCAUCAUUUUUGCCUUGGUUCAGAACCUCUGCCAAAAGUGGUGCACAUUUUCCUAGGCCAUCCUAGGGUUUUGAAUUAAAUCAUAACUAUUUGAAUUUGGGCAUUUAAAAUUAUAUAAAAUAUUUAAAUGCUCAAAUAUCUCCAAACUAAAAUGUUUCAUGUUGGAAAUAAUCCAACUAUGGACCAGGAGUAGUUUGGUGAUUUUUGGAGUUGCCUAGGUAUUUUAUUUAAUUCAACAAAGUCGCAGUUAUAUUAAAUAAAAACAGAAAAUAAAGAAAGGGGAAGACUUACCUGUGCGGCCCAGCCCAGCCGGCCCAGCACUGUGCUGGCCCGUGCCAGCCAGCUGCUUCCCCUCGCCAGAGCAGGCAGGGAGGUGAGCAUGGCGCGCCCGAGCUCGCCACGCACCACCCAGCCUCUCUGCAUCGCCCUGGUCGCCGUUGCGCCGCGUGGAUCGUCUUCUGGUCGUCGCCCCGACCUCGCCGACACCCCAUACACUCUCUCCUUCCUCUCCCUCACUCUCCCUCUCUCACGGCCGAAGCUCACCGUCGCCGCCGUUCGCCUUAGCCACCGUCUCCGACCACCCCUCGCUUCCCCGACCAGCUCAGAAGCUCCGCCUCGACUCCUUCUUCCUCCCCACCGCUCCACGGGUCCCCGGAAGCCCUGCAUCGCCGCCACGUCGCCGUUCCCCUCUUCGGACUCCGACCACCGUCGCCGUCAAAUUCGUCGUCUCCGACGCGUCCCCGAGCCCGCUUCGACGCCCACUGCAACCGCGGUGAGCUACGCCACCGUUUCCCCCUUCUCCCCUGCUCUCUCCCGACCCCUAGGCCCUAGCCCCACCGCGGCCGAAAGCUUCACGCCGCCGGCGAUGUCGCCGUCGUGGCCACGAUCGCCGUAGCGCCCAACCGAGCACGCCAUCGUGCUCCACAUCUCACUAGGAGCACGUAGCACGCUCCAACACCCCCCUAACACCCUGCAACACCGUUCCCGUGCACGACCGAACCCCGGCCGCCGCAGCCGAGCUCGCCGCCGUCGACUCCGGCCACCCCGACCCCAACGGACUCCGCCAAGAGCCGCGGGUCGUCCUCGGCUUCACUCCGGUGGCCUCCGCGGUUCAUUUGGUGGCCGAAACGACCAAAACCACUAUCGCCGCCGCACUGAUGGUCGCCGCCGGCCAGAACUCCGGCGAGCUGACAUGGCCUAGUUAAUUAGCCACUAAACCACCACCUACUGACGCUGACAAGUGGGCCCCAGGGCUUAGUCAAAGCUAACCAGCCUGGGUCAACACGGGAUUAGCCCCUGUGUCACUGACGUGUGGACCCCACACGUCAGGUUUGACCCGAGCCAGCCCUGUUGACCUGCUGAUGUCACUGUGACGUCAGGCUGACGCAGUAAAUGAUAUUUCUGGAUUUAAAUUAAAUCAGGAAAUUCCAGAAUAUUAAUUAAACUUCAAAAAUUCAUAACUUUUAUUCUGUAACUCCAAAUUGGACAAAUUAUAUAUGAAAAAUGAUCAGAAAAAUCCAAUCUAUCCAUCUGUACUAUUUUCAUGCAUGAUCCAACAAGUUAAAUGGAUGUUUUAAUCAGAACAAGGAAAAGCACUUUAAAAGGCCAUAUUUGAAAUUGAAAUUUGAAUCUUUGAUUCAAAUUUGUUCAAACCCUUCUGGCUUUAGUUGCAUUAGCCCAACACACUCAUAUUGCCAUGUUUCAUGCAUGCAUCAUAUUGUUGCACAUUGUUUGGUGAUGCCUGUGUAUCGUUAUCCUUUACGACAGGAUCUGUCCCCGAGGAGUACCGUGACUACCCUAACGAAGAACCAUAUCCGUGCAUCGAACCAUCAGGCAAGCAACCAAUCAUUUGAUCAUAUCGAUACAAUCCCAUGUUCUCGCUCCUGCUCUCCUUUACUGCAUUAAGACAACGCGAUUUAAACUGCUGUGUGCUACGGUAGUUGAACCCAUUUCCUCUGCAUGACCUGUCAUUGCCACAGUAACUAGAUGAAACCCACUAGCAUGUGUAGGAGUUGAUUGAGCCAUAUGUAUGUGUUGUUCCUACCUUGCUAUGCCUGCUAUGCUUAGAGUCGUGUCAGGUCUGGUUCAUCUGGGUGAUGGGCUAGAGUGAAAUGAUUAUGUCGGUAAUGAGAGUGGUGUGGUGAACACGAUUUGGUAAAGGUAUCGAUGAGAGGCCAUGUAGGAGUACAUGGUGGGUUGUUUCAUUGAAGCCGACCUUAAGCACUGAGAUCUGUAUGUGUGAUUUAAGAAUCAGCUACUACCAUGCAUUGGGCCCGAAACCAAUGGACCCUCUCGACUUCUUAUUCACCCUAGUUCUCCGUCCAGGAGUUGCAAGUAGUUUCUGGUGUUUGUAGCCUACUGGAGGCCGUGGACAGCGCUGACCGUAGGGGUGGGCUGUGAUGCGGUAGGUACGUGGCCGGGUGUACCGAAUACCCGUUAGGUAUCUCGGGAACCCUGUUCACAUCGUUCGGGCCGUAUGGGAAACCUCGGCCGGACUCCCUGCGGAUGGAACCUGAAUAGGCGAUAAACCUGGACUGGAGGCUUAGGUGAUUAGGUAGGUCGUGGCCGACACCCACGUUGGGCUUCCGCUUGAAGGUUGCCGAGUACAUGUCGUGUAAACGACGGUAAGUGGUGAGAGCGUGUAUGAAGAAGUACCCCCUGCAGGGUUAACAUGAUCUAUUCGAAUAGCCGCGUCCGCGGUAAAGGACUACUUGGUUGCCUAUACAGUUCAUAGACAAGUAAAUGGAAACUACUAAAAGCCUCAAGAUAAGUGUGAGUGCCGAGGAUGGCUCCUCCGUAGGAGGACGGAGGUGGAUCCUCGGUAGUGUAUUGAAGUGGUGAAUAGUGGACUCGUGUGCGCAAAACUAUUUCAAGUUGAAGUAUCGUAGGAUAGCCUAGCCAAGAGUCAAAGCUGGCUUGCUGCAAUAACUCCACCAACCCUUCUUGAUACUAUGCAUGUAUGUAGGAUCUGAUGUAAGUCUUGCUGAGUACCUUUGUACUCAUGUUGCUAUAAUCUACAUUUUUACAAAAGACGCUGCAACCCCUUCUGAUGGGUUCUAUGUAGACGUUGACAUCAACGAGUAGGCUAAAGACCCAGGUGGUGACCCUGAGCUUGUGAAGGACCACAUAGUAUAGUCAGAGGCUUUCCAAGCCUCUUUUAUUUUACUAGUUGUCUGUACUCAGACAAGUUACUUCCGCUGCUGGCUUGUAUGAUUGUAUGACUUGUAUGUUGGGUCGUGAGACCCGUACCUUUGUGUGUAUGUUAUGUAUGGCUCACUGAGCCUUAAAUAAAGUACUUGUGUCAUAGAGUCAUGUUGUGAUGCUUCGUUGUAUUUGCACAUAUCGAGCAUAUUGUGUGUACGAUUGAAAUGCUUGGUAUGUGUGGGAUCUGACUAUCUAGUUGUUUAUCUUUAGUAGCCUCUCUUACCGGGAAAUGUCUCCUAGUGUUACCGCUGAGCCAUGGUAGCUUGCUACUGCUCUGGAACACUUAGGCUGGCCGGCAUGUGUCCUUCUUCGUUCCUGUGUCUGUCCCUUCGGGGAAAUGUCACGCUUUGAGUACCGGAGUCCUGUUAGCCCGCUACAGCCCGGUUUACCGGAGUCCUGCUAGCCCAGUGCUACAGCCCGGACCCACCUGCUGAUGACCGACACGUUCGAAGCUGGGUCAUGGAUGCCUGUCCCUGUAAGUCUGUGCCACUUUGGGUUUACGACUAGUCAUGUCAGCCCGGGCUCUUUAUCAUAUGGAUGCUAGCGACACUUUCAUAUACGCGAGCCAAAAGGCGCAAACGGUCCCGGGAAAAGGUAAGACGACACCCGUGGGGAUACCGUGCGUGAGGCUGCAAAGUGAUAUGAGGUGUUACCAGCUAGAUCGAUGUGACAUCGAGUCGGGGUCCUGACAAUAGCUAUGUGGCCCCCCGAGGUUCUCCGCGUCCGGCCUUCGAAAGAGGUCGUGGGACAAGUCCGGCAACGUCUGGUGCUCGGCCGGAGGAGCUAAAGAUUCUUCUGGGGCGAGCUUCUAUCUCGGAGGAGCACCAUGCAUUGAUGGGCACGGUGAUUUAAAGGAUCUCAUCCGCAGAGAGCGGAUUGCAUGAGGCCGUCAAAAGUUUACUGAUGGGUUUUGAGGUACAUUAGAUAAUGCACACUUUAGUCAGUUGCGCAUGAAUAAGAUGCGCCCUGUGUAGAUAGUAGCCCCUGAGACUCUGCGCGUCGUCAAGAAAUGACGGCACGCGAAGGAUCAUAAUCCCAGGUCUAAGAUGUCGCCUUUGAAUGUAGGCGGCAGGGUGUCCACAAUCGAGCUGAACUGAUGAUUUUGCCGAACUAAAGCGGCAACUGGACGUGGCAGAUGCAGACAUCGCGCUUGUUAGCAACCGGCUUGAUGAGGCUCAAGGUAUGUGAUUCCUCGGGCGGCAUCAGGUAAGAAGAGUUUUAUGCCAGUGUCUUACAAUGUGUGUGCUUGACGCAGAUGGUGCGACCGACGUGGAGAGUCUUAGGGCAGAACUUGCUUGAGCUAAAGAACAAGCCAGAGAAAGUGAUGCGGCUGCCAAGAAAGCCCUUGAAGAGCUGAGAGCCGAACAGGCUGCUCAUUGCCGAAGCAAGGAAGAGAUGGUCGAGAUGGCCGAAAAGUUAAAGAGUGCUGCAGACCGUUGCUGACUUCUUGAGAAAGAAGACCAGGCGAAACAGACGGACUUAGAGAAGGCCGUUGCCAAUGCCAAGGACGCGCACUCUGCGAUGAGAGCUGCGAAGGAGGAGCUGCGUCAGGCCGAACAGAUUGUGGCUGGAAAGUCCUUUAUGCUGCGAAGGAAAUUUUGUGAUCCGAAGUUUGCUCCGUUGGACCGGAUGUGGAGUGUGGAGGAUACCUAUCUGGAUUUGGCAGCGAGUGCUGCUGAUGAGACCAAACACUUUCGAGAUCAGAAAGAUUGCGAAGUGGAAAAGCUUUUCUGGUCGCAGUUUCACAAUCCAGAGCGUCCACUGGCAGUGGACGAUCGUUUGGCUCAAUGGGCCGAACUGAAUAGGUUGUCCGGACUCGCCAUGAAGUACGUCAUGGGUCAUCUGUGGCCGGGGAGAUCAGAGCCGAAGAGUUAUUUCAGCUUGGUGCAGCAAUUCCUUGACGCGGUGCCGCGUAUUAAUGCAAUGAAGAGGUCAGCAUGCAUAGAGGGCGCAAGGAUGGCUCUUGCCCGUGUCAAGACAUACUGGGCAGAGAUGGAGACCACCGUUGUUGCGUCCCGAGCUUCGAACAAAAGCCGAGUACCCUCCGAGCACUAUUUUCAGGAAGUCCUUGAAGGCGCUCGUGUAAUAGAGACGCAGUGCUCGAAAGAUGCUAUGUUAUGAUAGCAUAUGUAAUUAUAAAGUAAUAUUUUGAUAAACUGUAGUGGCCUUUUUAUACUUGUGCCUUCAAGUAUUGGGGACACCUCCUGUGCGGCCGUUUUAAGAUAUAUAUAUAUACAAAAUCUGAAAGAUGGCAGUCGUUGGCUUCAGCCCCCAUGCACAUAGUGUGGGGGUGCUCACAGAAGACGCAUUUUCACACUUAACCCAACGUCUUGGUCCUACAAAGGAGGUGAUAGCGCAGCGGGCCAAGCAACCGGACUAUAAUGCUUUCACACUUUCACUUAGCCAUAGGAGCUUGAUAGUGAGACUAUUUAGGUAGCCUCUUGGUGGCGACUGCGCUCGCCCGAGUUUGGGGCGCAUAUGUGCCUGACCAGGAAGCGACCCUUCGUUAAAGCAGAGGAAUCCGAUAGAUUCCGAUAGGUCAUCGAGUGGCUGACCAGUCUCACGCUACAUCAUGAUAGUCAGUUUUCGGCUUUCUCUACUGAGGUGCUCGCCCGGCUGAACCAGGGCACAAUCACAAUAGUUCUCCUGGUGCUACCUUAGCCGAUAGAGCGGAACGUAAGGUAGCUGAACUCAGGAGCCAGGCAACCCAACAUUUGACCAAAGACAUGAUUCGGAGCUGAUGCAUAUAAUGCCAAAACUCGCGACGCUGAACACUCCCUAAGGUGUUCGGUCUUUAUGAGUGCGGGCAAAACAACACUCUUUUUUAAAAAAGCCCCUAGUGUCCAGGUACGUGCAAAAAUUCUGACGUGGCCACAUGCCAAGACGCCAGCCUCCUCCUUUGGUUAUAUCAGAAAAACCAGGGGAUGUGUAUCAACAAGAGACACUAAAAAAGGUUUACGCAGGGUCUUAAUCAAAAAAGAAUCCUUUAGGACGGGUCCCUACUGCACGUCUGCGCCUGUGUCUCCGUUGUGCCGUAUCCUGGACGGGCGCCGCUCGACAUUCAUUUGUAAAAGAGAGGAACUGAGUUGAAAACGGGUCGUGUCGAACAAAAGUUUAAAACAAACAAAGUAUAGAGUAAAAUAUAUAAAAUUGAGCUUUAUUGUCUCUUAUUGUAUAUGCAUGGAGCCCCUAGUGGGGGUAUAUGGCCACUAAGCCUGCAUCAAUGAUGAUUUUGUCCCGAACUCGUCUAUCCGCGUUCGUGGUCUUUAAUGUCCUAUUUCGAAGUUUUUUGGCCGGUGAGGCCAUUUUACUGUGGGGCUGUCAAAGCGGCCGCACAGUCCUCCGCUUGGGGAGGUGCACUUUAUUGCUUCCCAUUCAAAGAGAUGAUGCCUUGUGGACCGGGCAUCUUAAGAGUGAGAGAUGCAUAAUGUGGUAUUGCGUUAAAGCGGGUGAAAGCUUCGCGUCCUAGUAGUGCUUGAUAGCGACUUCAGAACAGGACAAUAUGGAAGGUCAGCUUUUCGCGGCGGAAGUUAACGGCAGAGCCGAAUAUAACUUCGAGCCGGAGAAAACCCAUACAAUGGGUGUCCGGACCAGGUGUUACCCCUUGAAAGGAGGUUUUGCUGCGGCGGAUUCUUGCUGGGUCUAUCCCCAUGUGAUGGAUUGUAUCCUGAUAUAUCAGGUUUAGUCCACUGCCGCCGUCCAUAAGGACAUUUGAAAACCGGAGUCCGCCAAUUAUUGGAUCGAGUAUCAAGGCAGUCCAGCCAGCAUUCUUGAUAUUUCUAGAAUAAUCUAGCUGAUCGAAGAUGAUUGGUUUUGACAAGUAGUGGCGGGACCCCUUUGGGGAUAGGCCGUGUGGUGCGUACCUUUAUGGGCGCCGCACGUUUUGUUAUGUGAAGUAAGUUCACUGUUUUUACUUCUUGUGGGAAGUUCUUUUGUUUCCUGGUGCUCUGCUUUUGGGGUUCGUCCUUGUCUUCACUUGGUGUGUCGAGCCCCUUGUGUUCGGCAUUGAGUCUGCCGGAUUGUUUGAAAACCCAACAAUCUUUGUGGGUAUGGUUAGCAGGCUUCCCAGGAGUAGUGUGUAUCUGACAUAUCCUGUCCAGGAUUUUAUUUAAGUUGGAUGGAUCGUCCCUGUUAUCCUGGAGGGGUGGUUUUGUCUGAUUUUGUCGUGAACCUUUGAAUCCGGCAUUGACUGCCGUGCUCUUCGGACUUUUUUCCUUAGUCCGGCGACGGUCCUUGUUGCGUCGCGGUUUUCCGUUUCCAUCCCUAGUUUCGGAUGUACUUUUGGGUCGCUGGGGCUGCACCUUGCCAACUAGCUGUCCUCUCCUGCAAAAAAGCGGGUCAUGAGGCUUGUUAGUGCGGCCAUUGUUCUUGGCUUUUCUUGGCCGAGGUGUCUGGCAAGCCAUUCGUCUCGGACGUUAUGCCUGAAAGUUGCUAAGGCUUUGGCGUCCGGACAGUCGACUAUCUGAUUCUUUUUAGUGAGGAAUCUAUUACAGAACUGCCGAGCUGAUUCUCCGGGCUGUUGAGUUAUGUGACUAAGAUCGUCUGCAUCCGGAGGGCGGACAUAGGUCCCUUGAAAAUUUGCUCGGAAAGCAUCCUCGAGCUCUUCCCAACUUCCAAUUGUGUUUUCAGGAAGGCUUUUAAGCCAAUGUCGGGCUGUCCCUUUAAGCUUAAGGGGUAAAUAUUUUAUGGCGUGGAGAUCAUCUCCUCUAGCCAUGUGUAUGUGGAGGAUAUAAUCCUCAAUCCAGACUCCAGGGUCUGUUGUUCCAUCAUAUGCCUCUAUGUUUAUGGGUUUGAAUCCCUCUGGAAAUUCAUAGUCCAGGACCUCAUCGGUGAAACAUAGGGGGUGUGCGGUGCCCCUGUAUUUGGGUGUGCCGGAUUUUGAUUAUGGCUUCAUAGCACUGCUUAUGAGAGCUUGCUUUCUUGGCCCAUAAAUGGACCUGACUGGGCCAUGAUGCGAAUCCUUAAGUGGGUUGCAUGCAGAUUUAGGUGCGGCGCCGCUUGCCGCUUUAUGGGAUCGUCUAUCUGACCGUGUGGCUUUCUCAUUUUUUGAAUGUGAGGGCUCUAGGGCCUCUUCGUCGAAUUCAGGCAGUAGCUUUCUUUUCGGAUAGCUUUUAGUGCGGCGACUGUCGCCGUAUUUAUCUGCGGUAUUGAUUACUUUGCUCCAUCUAAUCCUAGAGUGCAUCUUCCGCUGUUUUUAACUUCCGCUUCUGCUUUUUUAGGUUGUGUGUAGUUGCAACGAGCCUCUCCUGGAGAUUCUUCUGCUCCAUGGGUUUAUCUGGCGUGAGGUCGUCCGGAAUGCCGUUUUCGCUGGAGGAGGGAUGUUCGGUUUCUCUAUCCGUGUUGCCCUGUUCGGACGGUUGCUCUAAGGCCUGCUCGUCGUCUACCGGCUCGUCCUGCUUUAUGGCUGGGUUUUUAUCGAGGCGGGGCUUGGGUCGGCGUUUACGCUGACGCUUUGAUUGCUUUUCGGGGGGUCGAUCUCCCGUUCCAUCCCCUUUUUCCUUGUUGUCGCUUCCUUUAGGGGUAUCCACCAUGUACACAUCGUGAGAUGAGGUGCUGUCCAAUGCCCUAUGGGCGUUGGUUCAUCGGUAUCUCCUGCAUCGUCAUCCAUGCUGUCGAUGUCUCCGGAGUCUAAGUUGAGCACGUCGUUUAAAUUGUCGACCGUGGCUACCAAGUGGGUGGUGGGUGGGCUUUGAAUUUCUUCAUCGUCCCUAUCCCAUCCUCGCUGACCGCAGUUCGUCCAGGGCUCUCCUGAUAAAGAGAGAGACUUGAGAGAAUUCAGGAUAUCGCCAAAAGGCGAGUGCUGAAAGAUGCAUGUGGCGGUGAAAUCCAUUAUCGGCGCCCUAUCGGGUUCGAUUGGCAGGGGCGCGGGGGGUUCGGAGUCCGGGGAGGAGUCCGGGUCCUCGGAGUCACGGGUCGUACAGAGUGCGGGGCUAGCGUUCGGCUCGAUCGCUUUUGGGAUCGCAGCCCCCGAGGUGACGUCCAACCGAUCAUCCUCGAUUGGCGCAAUAGGCUCCGAGUUAGGGGUCGGAACCGAUGCGUGUGCGGCCUCCAGGACACUGUCCGGGGGCAGAGCUAGAUCAUGCCCCUCGAGGUAGUGCGACGCGCUUGGCCGUGGAUCGAACCGUUCGAAGAUCAAGUCUCCGCGGAUGUCAGCCGUGUAGUUUAAGCUUACAAACCUGACUUGAUGGCCAGGCGCGUAGCUUUCGAUCUGCUCCAGGUGGCCGAGAGAAUUGGCCCGCAGAGCGAAGCCGCCGAAGACGAAGAUCUGUCCGGGGAGAAAAGUAUCACCCUGGACCGCAUCGUUGUUGAUGAUCAAAGGAGCCAUCGGGCCUAAUGGCAACGACACAGAGGAACUCUCAAUGAAAGCACCAAUGUCGGUGUCAAAACCGGCGGAUCUCGGGUAGGGGGUCCCGAACUGUGCGUCUAGGCCGGAUGGUAACAUGAGGCAGGGAACACGAUGUUUUACAAAGGUUCGGGCCCUCUUGAUGGAGGUAAAACCCUACGUCCUGCUUGAUUAAUAUUGAUGAUAUGGGUAGUACAAGAGUAGAUCUACCACGAGAUCAAGGAGGCUAAACCCUAGAAGCUAGCCUAUGGUAUGAUUGUUGUAUAUGGAGUUGAUUGCCUACGGACUACAACCCUCCGGUUUAUAUAGACACCGAAUAGGGUUAGGGUUACAUAGAGUCCGUUACAAUGGUAGGAGAUCUUGAAUAUCCGCAUCGCCAAGCUUGCCUUCCACGCCAAGGAAAGUCCCAUCCGGACAUGGGACGAAGUCUUCAAUCUUGUAUCUUCACAGUCCAAGAGUCCGGCUGAAGGUAUAGUCCGGCCACCCGAACACCCCCUAAUCCAGGACUCCCUCAAUGGGGUUUAUUUCAUAUUGCAUGAAUUUAUCUCUCUACAUCAUGUCAUCUUGCUUAAGGCGUUACUCUGUUUUUAACUUAAUACUCUAGAUGCAUGCUGGAUAGCGGUCGAUGAGUGGAGUAAUAGUAGUAGAUGCAGAAUCGUUUCAGUCUAAUUGUCACAGAUGUGAUGCCUAUAUACAUGCUCAUGCCUAGAUAUUCUCAUAACUAUGCUCAAUUCUGUCAAUUGCUCAACAGUAAUUUGUUCACCUACCGUAGAAUACUUAUGCUCUUGAGAGAAGCCACUAGUGAAACCUAUGGCCCCCGGGUCUAUUCUCAUCAUAUCAAUCUCCAUCACUUUAAUCUUGCUUUGCUUUCUACUUUGCUUUUAAUUUUUACUUUGCAUCUUUAUACCAAAAAUACCAAAAAUAUUAUAUCUAUCAGAUCUCACUCUCGUAAGUGACCAUGAAGGGAUUGACAACCCCUAAUCGCGUUGGUUGCGAGUAGCUAUCAUUUUGUGCAGGUACGAGGGACUUGAGCGUGGCCUCCUACUGGAUUGAUACCUUGGUUCUUAAAAACUGAGGGAAAUACUUACGCUACUCUGCGGCAUCAUCCCUUCCUCUUCGGGGGAAACAAACGCAAGCUCAAGACGUAGCAAGAAGGAUUUCUGGCGCCGUUGCCGGGGAGUCUACGCACAAAGUCAACAUACCAAGUACCUAUCACAAUCUCUAUCUCUCGCUCUACAUUAUUUGCAAUUUGCCUCUCGUUUUCCUCUCCCCCCAAUUCACCCUUGCCGUUUUAUUUGCCCUCUCUCUCUCUCUCUAUCCUCCCUCUCUAUUUACCUCUUUUGCCCCUUUGCUCUUGUUUGCUCGUGUGCUAGUUUGCUUGUUUGUCGCGAUGGCUCAAGAUACUACUAAAUUGUGUGACUUCACCAAUACCAAUAAUAAUGAUUUCCUUAGCACUCCGAUUGCUCCUCUUAAUGAUGCUGAAUCUUGUGAAAUUAAUACUGCUUUGUUGAAUCUUGUUAUGAAAGAUCAAUUCACUGGCCUUCCUAGUGAAGAUGCCGCUACUCAUCUGAAUAGCUUCAUUGAUUUAUGUGAUAUGCAAAAGAAAAAAGAUGUCAAUAAUGAUGUCGUUAGAUUGAAGCUAUUUCUUUUUCGCUUAGAGAUCGUGCUAAAGCUUGGUUUUCGUCUUUGCCUAAGAAUAGUAUUGAUUCAUGGAACAAGUGCAAAGAUGCUUUUAUCUCAAAGUAUUUUCCUCCCGCUAAGAUCAUCUCUCUUAGAAACGAUAUUAUGAACUUUAAACAACUUGAUCAUGAACAUGUUGCACAAGCUUGGGAGAGAAUGAAAUUAAUGAUACCUAAUUGCCCUACUCAUGGUUUGAAUUUUUGGAUGAUCAUACAAAAUUUUUAUGCCGGAUUGAAUUUUGCUUCUAGAAAUCUUUUAGAUUCGGCCGCGGGAGGCACUUUUAUGGAAAUCACUUCUAGAAAUCUUUUAGGAGAUGCUACUAAACUCCUAGAUAAUAUUAUGGUUAAUUAUUCUCAAUGGCAUACUGAAAGAUCUUCUAAUAAAAAAGUGCAUGCGAUAGAAGAAAUCAAUGUGUUGAGUGGAAAGAUGGAAGAACUUAUGAAAUUAUUUGCUACUAAGAGUGUCUCUUCUGAUCCUAAUGAUAUGCCUUUGUCCACUUUGAUUGAGAAUAACAAUGAAUAUAUGGAUGUGAAUUUUGUUGGUAGGAAUAAUUUUGGUAACAAUGCUUAUAGAGGGAAUUUUAAUCCUAGGCCAUAUCCUAGUAAUCCUUCUAAUAAUUAUGGGAAUUCCUACAACAACUCAUAUGGAAAUUAUAAUAAGAUGCCCUCUGAAUUUGAGAAUAGUGUUAAAGAGUUUAUGAAUUCACAAAAGAAUAUUAAUGCUUUGCUUGAAGAGAAAUUGCUUAAAGUUGAUGAUUUGGCUAGAAACGUUGAUAGAAUUUCUCUUGAGGUUGAUUCUUUAAAGCUUAGAUCUAUUCCUCCUAAGCAUGAUAUCAAUGAGUCUCUCAAAGCCAUGAGAAUUUCCAUUGAUGAGUGCAAGGAAAGAACCGCUAGGAUACGUGCUUCCAAAGAUGCCUUUAUUAAAGCAUGUUCCUCCAAUUCCUAUGAAAAUCAAGAUGAAGAUCUAAAAGUUAUUGAUGUGUCCCCUAUUAAAUCUUUGUUUUGCAAUAUUAAUCUUGAUGAAAAUGAAUAUGAUCUUCCUUUACCUAGAAGGCGUUCUAAAAAUUCGGAGUAUUUAGAUAUUAAUGAUGAAAUUGAUGAAACUGGGAUUGAAAGAAAUAAAAAUCUAGAUGUUACUAAACCCACUAUAUUGGAUUUCAAGGAAUUUAAUUAUGAAAGUUGUUCUUUAAUUGAUUUUAUUUCCUUGUUGCAAUCCGUUCUAAAUUCUCCACAUGCUUAUAGUCAAAAUAAAGCCUUCACCGAACAUAUUGUUGAUGCCUUGAUGCAAUCUUAGGAAGAAAAACUUGAGUUGAAAGUUUAUAUCCCUAUAAAACUCUAUGAUGAGUGGGAACCAACUAUUAAAAUUAAAAUUAACGAUCAUGAGUGCUAGUGACUCUACUAUUCCCAAGACUUUGUGUGAUUUGCUAGAUUUCCGUAAUUUUGAUGAUUGCUCUCUAAACUUGCAUCUUGCGGAUUCCACUAUUAAGAAACAUAUGGAAAGGAUUAAUGAUGUUCUUAUUGUUGCAAAUAGGAAUUAUGUGCCCGUAGAUUUCAUUGUUCUUGAUAUAGAUUGCAAUCCUUCUUGCCCUAUUAUUUUUGGUAGACCUUUCCUUAGAACGGUUGGUGCGAUUAUUGAUAUGAAGGAAGGAAAUAUUAGAUUUCAAUUUCCAUUAAAAAGGGCAUGGAACACUUUCCUAGAAAGAAAAUAAAAUUGCCAUAUGAAACUAUCAUGAGAGCCACUUAUGGAUUGCCUACCAAAGAUGACAAUACCUAGAUCUAUCCUCGCUUUCAUGCCUAGCCAGGGGCGUUAAACGAUAGCGCUUGUUGGGAGGAAACCCAAUUUUAUUUUUAUUCCUUGCUUUUUUCUCCUGUUUAGUAAUAAAUAAAUUAUUUAGCCUCUGUUUUGGUUGUGUUUUUUGUGUUUAAUUAGUGUUUGUGCCAAGUAGAACCGUUGGGAAGACUUGGGGAAAGUCUUGUUGAACUUGCUGUAAAAAACAGAAACUUUAGCGCUCAUGAGAACUGCUUUCAUUUUUAUUUGAAGAGUGCUAUUUAGUUAAUUCUUUUUUGAAGAUGAUUAAUAGAUAAAUUCCUCACGUCCAGAAAUUUAUUUUACAAUUGUUGGAGUUCCAUAUCCUGAGGUAGCUACAGAUUACUAGAGACUGUUCUGUUUUUGACAGAUUCUGUUUUUUCGUGUGUUGUUUGCUUAUUUUGAUGAAUCUAUGGCUAGUAAAAUAGUUUAUAAUCUAUAAAGAAGUUGGAAUACAUUAGGUUUAACACCAAUAUAAAUAAAGAAUGAGUUCAUUACAGUACCUUGAAGUGGUCUUUUGUUUUCUUUCGCUAACGGAGCUCACGAGUUUUCUAUUUUGAGUUUUGUGUUGUGAAGUUUUCAUGUUUUGGGUGAAUUCUUUUGAUGGAUCAUGGAACAAGGAGUGGCAAGAGCCUAAGCUUGGGGAUUCCCAUGGCACCCCCAAGAUAAUCCAAGGACACCAAAAAGUCAAAGCUGGGGGAUGCCCCGGAAGGUAUCCCCUCUUUCGUCCACUUCCAUCGGUAAUUUACUUGGAGCUAUAUUUUUAUGCACCAACAUGAUAUGUGUUUUGCUUGGAGCGUCCUGUAUUAUUUGUGUUUUUGUGUCUUAGUAUGCCACAAUCAUCCUUGCUGUACACACCUUUUGAGAGAUCCAUACAUGAAUUAAAAUUUGAUAGAGUACUCUACGUGCUUCACUUAUAUCUUUUGAGCUAAGUAGUUUUGCUCUAUGUGCUUCACUUAUAUCUUUUGAGCUAAGUAGUUUUGCUCUAUGUGCUUCACUUAUAUCUUUUGAGCAUUAUAAUUUUGCUCUAUGUACUUCACUUAUAUCUUUUAGAGUACGGUGGUGGAUUUGUUUUAAAGAAACUAUUGAUCUCUCAUGCUUCACUUAAAUUAUUUUGAGAGUCUCUUAAUAGCAUGGUAAUUUGCUUAAUAAUAAUAUGCUUGGUAUUCAAGAUUUGUGAAACUUUCUUUUGAGUGUGUUGAAUACUAAGAAAAGAUUGAAGCAUGAUAAUUGUUUUGAGAUAUGGAGGUGAUUAUAUUAAAGUCAUGCUAGUUGAGUAGUUGUGAAUUUAAAGAAUACUUGUGUUAAAGUUUGUGAUUCUUGUAGCAUGCACGUAUGGUGAACCGUUAUGUGAUGAAGUCGGAGUAUGAUUUAUUUAUUGAUUGUCUUCCUUAUGAGUGGCGGUCGGGGACGAGCGAUGGUCUUUUCCUACCAAUCUAUCCCCCUAGGAGCAUGCGCAUAAUACUUUGCUUUGAUAACUUCUAGAUUUUUGCAAUAAGUAUAUGAGUUCCUUAUGACUAAUGUUGAGUCCAUGGAUUAUACGCACUCUCACCCUUCCACCUUUGCUAGCCUCUCUAAUACUGCACACUUUUCGCCGGUAUCAUACACCUACCAUAUACCUUCCUCAAAACAGCCACCAUACCUACCUAUUAUGGCAUUUCCAUAGCCAUUCCGAGAUAUAUUGCCAUGCAACAUUCCACCGUUCCGUUUACCAUGACACACUCCAUCAUUGUCAUAUUGCAUAUCCCGGUACACCGCCGGAGGCAUUAAUAUAGAGUCAUAUUUUGUUCUAAGUAUUGAGUUGUAAGAAAAAUAAAAGUUUGAUGAUCAUAAUUAUUAGAGAAUAUUCCCAGUGAGGAAAGAAAGAUGGAGACUAUGAUUCCCCCAUAAGUCGGGAUGAGACUCCAGACGAAAAAAAGAGGCCAAAGAAGCCCAAAUAAAAAGAGGCCAUAAAAAAGGAGAAAAGACCCAAAUAAAAAAAUUGAUGAGAGAAAAAGAGAGAAGGGACAAUGUUACUAUCCUUUUACCACACUUGUGCUUCAAAGUAGCACCAUGAUCUUCAUAGUAGAGAGUCUCUCAUGUUAUCACUUACAUAUACUAGUGGGAAUUUUUCAUUAUAGAACUUGGCUUGUAUAUUCCGAUGAUGGGCUUCCUCAAAUUGCCCUAGGUCUUCAUGAGCAAGCAAGUUGGAUGCACACCCACUUAGUUUCUUUUUGAGCUUUCAUAUACUUAUAGCUCUAGUGCAUCCGUUGCAUGGCAAUCCCUACUCAAUCACAUUGAUAUCUAUUGAUGGGCAUCUCCAUAGCCCGUUGAUACGCCUAGUUGAUGUGAGACUAUCUUCUCCUUUUUGUCUUCUCCACAACCACCAUUCUAUUCCACCUAUAGUGCUAUGUCCAUGGCUCAUGCUCAUGUAUUGCGUGAAGAUUGAAAAAGUUUUGAAAAAGUUAGACUAUGAAACAAUUGCUUGGCUUGUCAUCGGGGUUGUGCAUGAUUUAAAUAUUUUGUGUGGUGAAUAUAGAGCAUAGCCAGACUAUAUGAUUUUGUAGGGAUAACUUUCUUUGGCCAUGUUAUUUGAGAAGACAUAAUUGCUUUAUUAGUAUGCUUGAAGUAUUAUUAUUUUUUAUGUCAAUAUAAACUUUUUCUUGAAUCUUUCGAAUCUAAAUAUUCAUACCACAAUUAAGGAGACUUGCAUUGAAAUUAUGCCAAGUAGCACUCCGCAUCAAAAAUUCUCUUUUUAUCAUUUGCCUACUCGAGGACGAGCAGGAAUUAAGCUUGGGGAUGCCUGAUACGUCUCCAACGUAUCUAUAAUUAUUGAUUGCUCCAUGCUAUAUUAUCUACUGUUUUGGACUAUAUUGGGCUUUAUUUUCCACUUUUAUAUUAUUUUUGGGACUAACCGAUUAAUCGGAGGCCCAGCCCAGAAUUGUUGUUUUUGCAUAUUUCAGUGUUUCGAAGAAACGGAAUAUCAAACGGAGUCCAAAGGUAAUAAAACCUUCAGGAAAGUGAUUUUCUCACCGAACGUGAUCCAGGAGACUUGGACCCUGCUCCAAGGAACAAAAGAGGCGGUCACGAGGGUGGGGGGCGCGCCCCCUGCCUCAUGGGCCCCUCGGUGCUCCUCCGGCGUACUUCUUCCUUCUAUAUAUACACACGUACCCCCAAACGAUCAGAACAGGAGCCAAAAACCUAAUUCCACCGCCGCAACUUUCUGUAUCCACGAGAUCCCAUCUUGGGUCCUGUUCCGGAGCUCCGCCGGAAGCGGGCCGUCAUCACGCAGGGCUUCUACAUCAUCCUAGCCUCUCCGAUGAAGUGUGAGUAGUUUACCUCAGACCUUCGGGUCCAUAGUUAGUAGCUAGAUGGCUUCUUCUCUCUCUUUGAAUCUCAAUACAAAGUUCUCCCCCUCUCUUGUGGAUAUCUAUUCGAUGUAAUCUUCUUUUUGCGGUGUGUUUGUUGAGACCGAUGAAUUGUGGGUUUAUGAUCAAGUCUAUCUAUGAAUAAUAUUUGAAUCUUCUCUGAAUUCUUUUAUGUAUGAUUGGUUAUCUUUGCAAGUCUCUUCGAAUUAUCCGUUUGGUUUGGCCAACUAGAUUGGUAGUUCUUGCCAUGGGAGAAGUGCUUAGCUUUGGGUUCGAUCUUGCGGUGUCCUUACCCAGUGACAGAAGGGGCAGCAAGGCACGUAUUGUAUCAUUGCCAUCGAGGAUAACAAGAUGGGGUUUAUUUCAUAUUGCAUGAAUUUAUCUCUCUACAUCAUGUCAUCUUUCUUAAGGCGUUACUCUGUUUUCAACUUAAUACUCUAGAUGCAUGCUGGAUAGCGGUCGAUGAGUGGAGUAAUAGUAGUAGAUGCUGAAUCAUUUCGGUCUACUUGUCAGGGACGUGAUGCCUAUAUACAUGAUCAUGCCUAGAUAUUCUCAUAACUAUGCUCAAUUCUGUUAAUUGCUCAAAAGUAAUUUGUUCACCCACCGUAGAAUACUUAUGCUCUUGAGAGAAGCCACUAGUGAAACCUAUGGCCCUCGGGUCUAUUCUCAUCAUAUCAAUCUCCAUCACUUUAAUCUUGCUUUGCUUUUUUACUUUGCUUUUACUUUUUAAUUUGCAUCUUUAUACCAAAAAUACCAAAAAUAUUAUAUCUAUCAGAUCUCACUCUCUUAAGUGACCGUGAAGGGAUUCACAACCCCUAAUCGCGUUGGUUGCGAGUAGCUAUCGUUUUGUGCAGGUAUGAGGGACUUGAGCGUGGCCUCCUACUAGAUUGAUACCUUGGUUCUCAAAAACUGAGGGAAAUACUUACGCUACUCUGCUGCAUCAUCCCUUCCUCUUCGGAGAAAACCAACGCAAGCUCAAGACGUAGCAUCAAGCUUAAGGAAUUUGACCAGGGGUGUCUUGAGGAAUUUCACCAAGCGGUCUUUGACUUAGGUUCCAGAGUUGUAUAUAUUGAAAAUCCACACAAUUGAGAAAUAUUGAGGAAAAAUGUUGCUUAGAGGAACAAAUCAAGAACAUAUGCAAGUGUGGUGUUUAAGAGUGUGGAAGUUGAAGAAUAAACACCUUUGAUGAAGUAAAAAUAAAUUUUAUUUACAAGGGCAGUAAAAAUAAAUUUUAUUUACCCUUGAUGAAGAACACGACGAACUGGGAGUUGAAGUUGUGAAGUUCGUCCAUUCAGAUCUUGCACGCCCUAACUUGGCGGCGGAAGACAGCUACGGCGGCGGUGGAGUGAAGAUUUCCGCAGCCGGCGCGAGUACGAUGGCGACGAGGUCGAGGCAGUGAAGCUCUUCCUCACCGGCGAUGAUGGAUCGUAGCGGCGGCGCUAGGUCAGAGAGCUCAAGCGAGGGGGGUGAGGUCGAGCGGGGUAAAUGAGGUCAAAGGAGGUUGAGGGGUAUUUAUAGCCGAGGUGAAAAACCGUUCGUCUGAGGAAAAUAGACGAACGUGCCCCUGACCCUUCUCAUCCUAGUGACAUGUGUCACCCACGUACUGUGAAGUGGAGAUCGUGUGAGACCGUGGGUGAAUAGAAUAAUCUCAUCGUGGGGUGCGGAACGGUUAGAGCGACAAAAGCCAAAAAUUUAGAUAAGAAUAUUUUGAAGUUUCCUUUGCAAAUUUUUCAGCUGACAUGGACACAAUGAAGAUUUUGAACGGGUUUCAAAUAGAACGCCAUGAAGAAUUUGUGAAUAGACUGGGUUGAGUUUAGCAUAGAGGGGGAUGCGUCCGAUCACAUUCACUUAGCAGAAAAGUCAACUUGAAGAAUUAGCAAUAAGUGAAUGCUGUAGAUGUCACACCCUAGCUAGUUCAAGCAUUAGAGUGUGCAUCAUGUUUAAAUUUCUCUUAAAUUUGAAAUGGGGAUGACAGAACCCAUAGCACCCCCCCUGGAAUAACUCGGGUUUACUAAAAACAUUUUCAAUGAACCUGAAAUGCCCUUCUAAAAAGCCCACCCUUUUUGUUUUGGGUUAAAACCUUUGACAAAAAUGGUGCACAUUUUUCUAGGACAACAUAAGGUCAUUGGAUUAAUUCUUAUAGUAUUUGCAUUUGGGCAUUUAAAUGCUAUAAAAUAUUUUAAAUGCUCAAAUAAUCAUAAACUAAAAUGUUUGCUGUUGGAUAUAUUCUAAGCAGUGGCCAUGACUAAUUUUAUGAUUUUUGGAAAUGCCUUGGCAUUUUUAAUAAAGCCCUGAAGUUACAGAAAUAAUAGAAUAAAUGAAAAACAGAAAAGGAUAGAGAGAACAGAGACUUACCUGGCGUAGCCCACUUGGCCCACCGGCUCGGCCCAGUCCAUUGGCUCCUGCCAGUCGUCGUCCUCCUCUCGCCAGGAGGACGAGAAGCACGUGGCCGGCGCCCGCGGCCACACGCCGGCCACCUCCUGCUUCUGCCGAUGCCCCGGACGCGCCUACGAGUGCCACACAAUACCCCACGUCCCCCUCUCAUUCUCCCCACUCUCCCCGUGGCCUCUCCCCACUAGUAGGGAAAUCCUUAUACAUAGAAUCUUAGCAGCAGCGCGGUAUAAAAAUAGACGCUACUACUAAUUAGCAGCAACGAGCUUUAGAAAAGAGCGCUGCUAAUGACUGAGUAGCGGUAGCGCUCUAGGUGAAAAGAGCGCUACUACUAUAAUUGCCACGGUGUUGCCUCUAGGCUAGAUAUAGUAGUAGCGCCCUUCCCGUGGACGCGCUACUGCUAAAGAACUUAGUAGCAGCGGUUUUGCUCAAAACUCGCUGCUGGUAAGUAUGACCGCAACUAAUUAAGUUUAGUCCCAUACUACUAAGCGAACAAAGUGUUUACCACCUUAAAUAUGUUGCUUCUCAACCUAUCUCGAGCACUUGGUCUUCAUUGAACUAUAUGUGUAUGAUUUGUGGUUGCAAUAUGAAUCCUCGCCUGUGCCUAUACAGGUAUAGUGAGGAUUCAUGUUGACUAUUUAGAUUAUACACAAAAAGAUCAAUGAUGACCAAUGUAUAUUUUUGAUGUUUUUACUAAACAAAAGAAAUAACUUCUUCCAUUAGUAGUAGCGGUUUUUCCCAAAACUCGCUGUAGAUAAGUUAGCUAUAGCGCGUUUUCUGUACGUGCGCUACUACUAGUUCGAGUUAACCACCCCCCGCAUCAAAAUUUCGCUAAGUCCUCCUUCCCCCCCCCACUGGCCUGUUCCCCUACUCCCUGUCGCCNNNNNNNNNNNNNNNNNNNNNNNNNNNNNNNNNNNNNNNNNNNNNNNNNNNNNNNNNNNNNNNNNNNNNNNNNNNNNNNNNNNNNNNNNNNNNNNNNNNNNNNNNNNNNNNNNNNNNNNNNNNNNNNNNNNNNNNNNNNNNNNNNNNNNNNNNNNNNNNNNNNNNNNNNNNNNNNNNNNNNNNNNNNNNNNNNNNNNNNNNNNNNNNNNNNNNNNNNNNNNNNNNNNNNNNNNNNNNNNNNNNNNNNNNNNNNNNNNNNNNNNNNNNNNNNNNNNNNNNNNNNNNNNNNNNNNNNNNNNNNNNNNNNNNNNNNNNNNNNNNNNNNNNNCCCGCCACCGUCUCUCCCUCUUUAAGCCCCCCACCCCUCCCCAACCCCCUCUCUCUUUGCUUAGUUAGUAGAUGAUUUUAGUAGUAGUAGAUGCUAAUUUAGGGUUCAUAGAUAAUGAUUUUUAGAAGUAGUGGAUAGAUGUUAAUUAGUAGUAGAUGUAUAAUUAGCAGUAGUACAUGUUAAUUAGUAGUAGAUGUAGUAGUUAGAUGUUAAUUAGUAGUAGUAGAUGUGCUAGUUUCUUUCUAUUUAUAGUAAGUUUAUAUUUAGUAAGAACUAGUUGAAUUAAUAGAACUAGUUUAGUUUUAGUUGAACUAGUUAAGUUUUAGUUGAACUAGUAUAGUAAGUAAAUUAAUAACUAGUUGAACUACUUCAUUUUUAGGAAGAACUAGUUUUUUUCUUUUUAUACUAAGUUUAUAUUUAGUAAGAACUAGUUGAAUUAAUAGAACUAGUUGAACAUGCCAUAUUUGGUGUUAUUUUUUAGUUUAAGCUAUUAUUUCAUGUUUUGGUUACACCUCCGAGUGGCCUAUCUUUUGCCGGAGUGUUGAUUAAUUUCCGUUCCGGCGUGACUUGUGCUAGAAAAUGUGGGAAAUAUCGAGUGGCCUGGAUUUUCUUUGAGAAAUAAUGAUCUAAUUUAGGUUUUUUAGUACAUAUAUUUAAUUGUACAAGUUUAAUCUUUGAAUUAUGAACGAAGGAAAUGUCGUACUCGGACGGCGACAGUCUCCCGGGGGAGUGCAGCUGGUGCCACGACGAUCGAGGUAUGUGCGACAGGUUCAUUGAGCUGGACGAAGUUCGGCGCUUCAGCAUUAAGCUCGAGGAGACCUUCGAUGUUGAAACGGUACGCAACAACAACAAGUGUUUUUUCGUAAUUAAGCAUGACUUCAACUAUUUCAACGUCUAAUUUUCAUCCUUUACAAUUCGACUAGCUUAUCCCAUGCCAUGCAAGACGCUAUGUCUUGGAGAGGAUGGGUUUUGAAGACCAUGAAAUUUUUUAAACAAAGAACAUACACCUAAGGACCCAUCAUGAUAUCGAUUUUGAAGUAAAUCUGUAUAAUUCUCAGAGCGUAACCCAUUUUGGUUGUCAAAAUUGGGAAGCACUUUGCAAAAUGUAUGGUUUUUAUGAGGGUAUGAUUGUCACCAUGGAUCUUGGUCAUCCUGACAUCAAGCAAGACAAUAUGGACAUUUGGGUCCUUGUUGAUACGCUUCCGAUUCUACCGCAAUGUGAGUUUCUCAAACAUAGUUAUUAAUUAAUUUAUAUUGUUUAUUUCAAAAUAGUUGACAACUUAUUUCCAUUGACAGCUUAUUUCGAAUCUUCAAAGAAUGUGCAGAAGAUGGUAGACAAAACCCACUACACUGAUCGCUCCGAAUUAACUUAUAAGGAGAAAAAUCAUCUGAUUGCUUAUUGUACUUUUUUUGAGAAUUACAAUACCUAUUGUCGAACUCCUCCAAAUUAUGGUGAAUAUGUGCCACUAGUGCACGUGUUGAACCACGAUAACUUCUAUGGAGAUACCCUGGUAAGAUAUUUUACUAUUACGACAUCCGUGCAUCUUUUGCAUACUUCGAAAACUAGUACAUCAUUGCUAACUACGAAGUUAUUACUAUAUUUUUCAACAGAAAAUCCCGAUGGAUUGUGUGCCUCAUCUGAUGUAUUACAAUGGUCGCCUUGAAGUUCUGAACCUAUAGCCAGGUCAUCCUAUGGAUCUCACCUGUGCAUAUCGAAUUUCUGAAACCGGUGAACACAUGCUAAUCAAAGAGUGGAAAAAAUGUUUAGACAUUCGUAAGGAGGUUCUUGGAAGCAACAUUAAGCGAAAGGCAAGAAUUGGAGACAGGAUAAUCUGCAUUCUCCAUAAUGGAGAGCGAGGGGCUAUCUUGUUUUUUGCUAUUUUACCUUAGAGAAUAUAGUAGGUCCUAAGAGAAUGCAGUAGGUCCUAUGAGUUACAAUAUGUUUAUUAUGUGAUACAAUGUGUUAGAGUUGAAGAUGUCAGGAGUACUUGUGAUUACGACUAGUGACCAAUGAUAUGAUGAUGAUGAUGAUAAGUUGUUAAUGAUAUGAUGAUGAUGAUAUUUAUUAUAUCAUUGGGUGAAAGAACCGCGACUUAGUUUCAAGUGGAUGUCCGUCCACUUGAAACUAGUCCACACGGUUCUUUCACCCCGUGAUGUAAUAACUCAUUAUGAUGUAAAAACAAUUUGUAAAUUCCUGUUGUAUGAAAAUUUGUGUAAAGGUGUACGAAUACAACAUGAAAUAAAAAAGAAAUAAAAUAUGAAAUAAUAGUAGCAGUGCGGGCAGAGAGAAGCGCUGCUACUAAUUACCAGCAGCGCUCCUCCUGGAACUCGCUGCUACUAAGUCGAUUUAGCCAUAGCGUGGGUGGAGGCAUGCUACUGCUAUUCGUUAGCUGUAGAGCCUUAUCAGUAGCGCACCACCCCGCGCUACUGAUAGGUCUAAAACCCGCGCUGCUUCUAGCCUUUUCCCUAGUAGUGCCCCCCUCUCUGGCUCUCUCCCCAUUCCCUGCCGAGCGCAGCCGUCGCCGCCAACAAGCUCCACCGCAGCCACCGCCGUCCACUCGUUGCCUCGCCGUGCCAAGAAGCUCCACCGUCGUCCGCUACUUUGCCUCGACCCAUCCCCGAGCGCUCGCUCGCCCCAGAGACGCUGCACCGAGCUCGUCUUCAACCUCGGUCACCGGAGAUCCCCCUCGCCGCCCCGCUCGCUCCAGCUCUCCCCUGAGCUCGCCGUUCGCUCCCCUGCAACCGCAGUGAGCUACUGACCCGUUUCCCCCUCUCCCCGCGCUCGUCCGCGUCCUCUAACCACCAUGGCCAUCGGAGCCGAAGCUCGCCGCCGCCACCGCACAUCGCCGUCGUGGCCACAGCCACGUUGGGUCGCAACCGAGCACGUCUUCGUCUUCAACGCAGUCGCACGCCCUCGCCGUGCCUUCUAGCGACUAGUUCAACCUCACCCGAACUCCGGCCUCCGCGGACGUGCUCUCCACUGUCGUCUCCGACCACCCCAGCUCCACCUACUGCCACCACUCGAUGCGGCUCACUCCCCGCAUCACGUAGAUGGUCUCCGCCGUCCUUUUGGUCGCCGGAGUGCAAAACCCGAGCACUCCGCCGCGUCUGGCCUCGCCGGCGGCUAAACGCCGGCGAGUUUGACCCCUUUGACCGUGGACUAACGCGUGGGCCCAGGUUGACUCCCCCCCUGAGCCUAUGACAGGUGGUGUCGGCCUACUAAUUAGUUUAGGAUUAGUGUUAACUAAUUUUAAUUAGUUUAGUCACUGACAUGUGGGCCUAGGCCCCACUGACAGUUUAUUAGUACUAAUCUAAUCCUGUUAAUUAGCUAAGACACUGACAGACAGGGCCCACCAGUCAGGUUUGACCUGGCCGACCCAGUUGACCCACUGACGUCACACCUAUGUCAUGCUGAUGCAUUAAUUCAAUUACUGGAAUUAUUCUUAUAUAGGAAAUUCCAGAAAAUAGACAAAACUUCUAAAAAUCAUAGAAAAUCAACCAGAGCUCCAAAUCCAACAAAUUAUAUAUGAAAAAUGAUCAGAAAAAUUCAAUCUAUCCAUCUGUAAUGGUUUCAUGCAUGACAAAACAAGUUAACCUUGCUGUUUAAGCAGAAUAAGAUAAUGCACUAAUAAGGCCAUGUUAAAUGAGCUAACAUUUGAAUCUUUGAUUCAAAUGAGCUCAUUCCUUUCUAUUUUAGCUUGCAUUAGGCCAAGACACUUUCAUUUUGCCAUGUCAUAGCAUGCAUCAUAUUCUUGCAUAUUGUCAUGUGUUGAUCAUGUUCAUUGUGUCUUUCGUGGUAGGUUCUGCCUUUGAGGAUAACCCCGAGUAUCCGUCUGAAGGGCAGUACCCUACUACCACUACAAUAGGAAAGGAACCCAUUGAUCAUUCCGAUACAAACCCAUGUUCUCGCCUCUGCUCUUGUUUACUGCAUUAAGACAACGCGAUUCAAACUGCUGUGUGCUAUGGUAGUUGAACCCUUAUCCUCUGCAUGACCUGUCAUUGCCACAGUAACUAGAUGAAACCCACUAGCAUGUGUAGGAGUUGAUUGAGCCAUGUUUGUGUUUCCUACCUUGCUAUGCCUGCUAUGCUUGGAGUUGUGUCAGGUCUGGUUCAUCUAGGUGAUGGGCUAGAGUGAAAUGAUUAUGUCGAUAAUGUGAGGGAUGUGUUGAACAUGAUUUGGUAAAGGUAUCGAUGAGAGGCCAUAUAGGAGUACAUGCCCACUUCCAUGGUAAUUCAAACUCCGGGUUCCAAAUGGCAAACCUCUAGAGUAACCCAUGGGAACGAAAUUCUAGUUGAGAGACUUGUCUUCCUUGCAUCCUUAAUAGCUCUCAAGUCCUCGGACAUAAACAUCAUUUUGGGUAUGGACUGGAUGUCAGCUCAUUAUGCUAAGAUUGAUUGUGCCACUAGAACUGUUCAACUUACUCAUCCAUCGGGCAAGACAGUCAAUGUCUUAACUCGAGUGGCCAAGGGCCAGCUUUACUCCCUAAAUGCCAACCCCCUUCCAGACCUUGAGGAUAUUCUGGUAGUCCGAGACUUUCCGGAUGUCUUUCCAGAAGAACUGACAGGUGUUCCACCUGACAGGGAUGUCGAGUUCAUGAUAGACCUUGUUCUAGGAACCGUUCCAAUUUCUAGAAGACCCUAUAAGAUGUCACCCUUAGAACUAGCCGAGCUUAAGAACCAACUCAAUAAGUCCUUGAAAAAGGGUUUCAUCCAUCCUAGUUCCUCUCCUUGGGCUUGCCCCGUCCUCUUCGUCAGAAAGAAGGAUGGAACAGAUCGGAUGGUUGUAGAUUACCGACCUGUCAACUUGGUCACGAUCAAGAACAACUAUCCGCUUCCCAGGAUCAACGAUCUGUAUGAUCAGCUCGCUGGAUCCUCAGUCUUUUCCAAGAUGUAAUUGAGGUUGGGCUACCAUCAAAUCAAAGUCAGAAACGGGGACAUUCCCAAAAUGGCCUUUGUUACUCGCUAUGGCCAAUACGAGUACACCGUCAUGCCUUUCGGUUUAACCAAUGCCCCAACCACCUUCUCAUGGUUAAUGAACUCGGUCUUCAUGGAGUAUUUGGAUAAAUUCAUCGUAGUUUACCUCGAUGACAUACUCAUCUACUCCAAGAAUGAAGAGGAACAGGCCGAACAUCUAAAGCUGGUAUUGACGAAACUUCGAGAGCAUCGCCUUUAUGCCAAAUUCUCCAAGUGUGAAUUUUGGUUGCCAGAAGUGACCUAUCUAGGCCAUGUAAUCUCUGGUAAGAGUAUUGCUAUCAAUCCCGAGCGAGUUCAAGCUGUCCUUGAUUGGACUCCACCUGAGACGGUCAAGCAAGUUCGGAGCUUCCUUGGCUUAGCGAGCUAUUACCGCCGCUUCAUCGAGAAUUUCUCCAAGGUUGCUAAACCUCUAAUUGAACUCCUCAAGAAAGAUAAAAAGUUUGAGUGGACCCCACAGUGCGAGUUUAGCUUUCAGGAAUUGAAAAGACGCCUGACAUCUGCUCCCGUACUGGUACCACCAGAUUUCUCCAAGGACUUUAUUAUCCAUUGUGACACCUCGCGACAAGGACUAGGUUGCAUACUCAUGCAAGAUCGUCAGGUAAUUGCCUAUGCUUCACGGCAAUUACACCCAUAUGAGGAAAACUAUCCCACACAUGAUCUAGGGCUUGCAGCCGUAGUCCAUGCACUCAAAACUUGGCGACAUUACCUCCUCGGUAAUCGUUGCGAGAUCUUCACCGAUCACCAAAGUUUGAAAUAUAUCUUCACCCAACCGGAUUUGAAUCUCAGGCAAAGACGUUGGGUCGAGUUGAUCUCGGAUUACGACUUAGCAAUAACUUACACCCUGGGCAAAGCCAAUGUCAUUGCUGAUGCGCUAAGUCGUAAAUCUUAUUGUAACAACCUGAUGUUACAAUAAAGUCAACCACUUCUCCACGAGGAAUUUCGUAAGCUCAAUCUUCACAUUGUUCCUCGAGGAUUUCUAUCCACCCUGGUGGCAAAGCCUAACCUUUCGGUUCAGAUCAUAACCGCCCAGCGGUAUGAUAAGGGAGUAUCCCGGAUUAAGGAAAACAUCGCUAGCGGAGUUGCUAAAUGUUUUUCCAUGCAUGAGCGAGGUGUUGUCUUCUUCGAGAACCGCUUGGUGGUUCCCAAGAAACAACAUUUACGCCAGUUGAUUCUUAAGGAAGCUCAUGACUCCCCUCUCACCAUUCAUCCCGGUAGUACUAAAAUGUAUCAAGACCUACGCCAGAGGUUUUGGUGGACUAGGAUGAAGAGAGAAAUCGCUCAAUACAUUGCUAACUGCGACGUUUGUCGUUGUGUUAAAGCAGAGCAUCAAUGGCCUGCUGGCACCCUUCAAUCUUUGGCUAUUCCUGAGUGGAAAUGGGAUAAAAUCAGUAUGGAUUUCAUUACUGGGUUUCCCAGGACCAAGAGAGGGAAUAAUGCCAUCUUCGUCGUGAUCGACCGUCUUUCCAAAGUAGCCCAUUUCCUACCUGUUCGUGAGAGUAUCACCGCUAGCCAGCUAGCUGAUUUAUACAUCUCUCAAAUAGUGUCUCUUCAUGGUGUCCCAUUGGAAAUUAACUCAGACCGUGGAAGUCUCUUCACCUCUCGAUUUUGGGAAAGUUUCCAAAAUGCUAUGGGAACUCGUCUCUCUUUUAGCACCGCCUUCCAUCCUCAAUCAAGUGGUCAAGUAGAGCGAGUCAAUCAAAUUCUGGAAGAUAUGCUCCGAGCUUCUGUCAUCUCAUUCGGAAUGGGUUGGGAGAAAUGCCUUCCAUUCGCGGAGUUUGCUUAUAACAAUAGUUAUCAAGCUAGCUUGGGCAAAGCUCCUUUCGAAGUUCUCUAUGGACGAAAAUGUCGAACGCCUCUUAACUGGUCAGAAACCGGGGAAAGACAACUCUUUGGCCCAGAUAUGAUUCAGAAAGCAGAAGAGCAGGUUCGCGUUAUUCGUGAGAAAUUGAAAAUAGCCCAAUCUCGUCAAAAGAGCCAAUAUGAUCGUAAACAUAAGCUCAUGACUUAUGAAGUCAGCGAGAAGGUUUACCUUCGGGUUACUUUGUUAAAGGGAACCCAUCAUUUCGGUAUCAAAGGCAAAUUGGCUCCUCGUUACAGCAGACCCUUUCGCAUUCUUGACAAACGAGGAGAAAUUGCCUACCAAUUGGAACUACCUUCGCAUCUUUCCAGAGUUCACGAUGUCUUCCACGUUUCUCAACUCAAGCAUUGCUUCGCGGAUCCUAUCCGUGGAGUGGACCACGAAAUGCUUGAUCUACAAGAUAACCUCUCAUAUCGGGAAUAUCCCGUUCGUAUCCUUGAUCAAGCCGAGCGUACCACUCGGCGCCAAAAUAUCAAGUUUCUCAAGGUUCAAUGGUCACACCAUUCCGAGAAAGAGGCCACUUGGGAAAGGGAGGAUCGUGUUCGACUCGAGUACCCCACCUUCUUCCCGGAGGAUCCUAAAUCUUGGGACGAGAUUCUUUUGAGUGGGGGUGAGUUGUCACACCGUAGCUACUUCAAGCAUUAGAGUGUGCAUCAUGUUUAAAUUUCUCUUCAAUUUGAAAUGGGGAUGACAGAACCCCCAGCACCCCCCUUGGAAUAAUUCGAGUUUACUAAAAACUUUUUCAAUGAACCUGAAAUGCCCUUCUAAAAAGCCCACCCUUUUUGUUUUGGGUUAAAACCUUUGACAAAAAUGGUGCACAUUUUUCUAGGACAACAUAAGGUCAUUGGAUUAAUUAUUACAGUAUUUGCAUUUGGGCACUUAAAUGCUAUAAAAUAUUUGAAGUGCUCAAAUAAUCAUAAACUAAAAUGUCUGCUGUUGGGUAUAUUCUAAGAAGUGGCCAUGAUUAAUUUUAUGAUCUUUGGAAAUGCCCUGGCAUUUUUAAUAAAGCCCUGAAGUUACAGAAAUAAUAGAAUAAAUGAAAAACAGAAAAGGAGAGAGAGAACAGAGACUUACCUGGCGCAGUCCACUUGGCCCACCGGCUCGGCCCAGUCCACUGGCUCCUGCCAGUCAUCCUCCUCCUCUCGCCAGGAGGACGAGAAGCGCGUGGCCGGCGCCCGCGGCCACAUGCUGGCCACCUCCUGCUUCCGCCGACACCCCGGACGCGCCUACGAGUGCAACGCACUCCCCCACGUCCCCCUCUCAUUCUCCCCACUCUCCCCGUGGCCUCUCCCCCCUCUCUGGCUCUCUCCCCAUUCCCUGCCGAGCGCAGCCCUCUCCGCCGACAAGCUCCACCGCAGCCACCGCCGUCCACUCGUUGCCUCGCCGUGCCAAGAAGCUCCACCGUCGUCCGCUACUUCACCUCGACCCAUCCCCGAGCGCUCGCUCGCCCCGGAGACGCUGCACAGAGCUCGUCUUCAACCUCGGUCGCCGGAGAUCCCCCUCGCCGCCCCGCUCGCUCCAGCUCUCCCCCGAGCUCGCCGUUCGCUCCCUUGCAACCGCAGUGAGCUACUGACCCGUUUCCCCCUCUCCCCGCGCUUGUCCGCGUCCUCUAACCACCAUGGCCAUCGGAGCCGAAGCUCGCCGCCGCCACCGCACGUCGCCGUCAUGGCCACAGCCAUGUUGGGUCGCAACCGAGAACGCCUUCAUCUUCAACGCACUCGCAGGAGCCCGUAGCACCCCCGCAGGCCCCUCGCCGUGCCUGCUAGCGACUAGUUCAACCUCGCCCGAACUCCGGCCGCCGCGGACGUGCUCGCCGCCGUCGUCUCUGGCCACCCCAGCUCCACCUACUGCCACCACUCAACGCGGCUCACUCCCCGCAUCACGUAGAUGGUCUCCGCUGUCCUUUGGUCGCCGGAGUGCAAAACCCGAGCCCUCCGCCGCGUCUGGCCUCGCCGGCGGCUAAACGCCGACGAGUUUGACCCCUUUGACCGUGGACUGACGCGUGGGCCGAGGUUGACUCCCCCCUGAGCCUAUGACAGGUGGGGCCGGCCUGCUAAUUAGUUUAGGAUUAGUGUUAACUAAUUUUAAUUAGUUUAGUCACUGACAUGUGGGCCCAGGCCCCACUAACAGUUUAUUAGUACUAAUCUAAUCCUGUUAAUUAGCUGAGACACUGACAGACAGGGACCACCAGUCAGGUUAGACCUGGCCGACCCAGUUGACCCGCUGACGUCACACCUAUGUCAUGCUGACGCAUUAAUUCAAUUACUGGAAUUAUUCUUAUAUAGGAAAUUCCAGAAAAUAGCCAAAAUUUCUAAAAAUCAUAGAAAAUCAACCAUAGCUCCAAAUCCAACAAAUUAUAUAUGAAAAAUGAUCAGAAAAAUUCAAUCUAUCCAUCUGUAAUGGUUUCAUGCAUGACAAAACAAGUUAACCUUGCUGUAUAAGCAGAAUAAGAUAAUGCACUAAUAAGGCCAUGUUAAAUGAGCUAACAUUUGAAUCUUUGAUUCAAAUGAGCUCAUUCCUUUCUGUUUUAGCUUGCAUUAGGCCAAGACACUUUCAUUUUUCCAUGUCAUAGCAUGCAUCAUAUUGUUGCAUAUUGUCAUGUGUUGAUCAUGUUCGGUGUGUCUUUCGUGGUAGGUUCUGCCUCCGAGGAUAACCCCGAGUAUCCGUCUGAAGGGCAGUACCCUACUACCACUACAACAGGCAAGCAACCCAUUGAUCAUUCCGAUACAAACCCAUGUUCUCGCCUCUGCUCUUAUUUACUGCAUUAAGACAACGCGAUUCAAACUGCUGUGUGCUACGGUAGUUGAACCCUUAUCCUCUACAUGACCUGUCAUUGCCACAGUAACUAGAUGAAACCCACUAGCAUGUGUAGGAGUUGAUUGAGCCAUGUUUGUGUUUCCUACCUUGCUAUGUCUGCUAUGCUUAGAGUUGUGUAAGGUCUGGUUCAUCUGGGUGAUGGGCUAGAGUGAAAUGAUUAUGUCGAUAAUGUGAGGGAUGUGUUGAACAUGAUUUGGUAAAGGUAUCGAUGAGAGGCCAUGUAGGAGUACAUGGUGGGUUUUUUCAUUGAGGCCGUCCAUAAGAACUGAGAUCUGUAUGUGUGAUUUUAAGAAUCAGCUACUAUCAUGCAUUGGGAUCCUUAAUUGACCCUCUCGGCUUCUUAAUCAUCCUAGUACUCUGUCCAGGAGUUGCAAUUAGUUUCUGGUGUUUGUAGGUUAUGUGUUGGCGGUCGUGCGUAGCGCUGACCCUAGGGGUGGGCUAUGUUGCGGUAGAUACACCGUGGCACGGUGUACCGAGUCAGCCGUUUGGUGUCUCGGGAACCCUGCUCACAUCGUUCGGGGCCGUAUGUGGAAACCUCGGCCGGACUCCCUGCAGAUGGAACCUGAAUAGGCGAUAAACCUGGACUAGAGGCUUGAGUGUUUAGGUAGGCCGUGGCCGACACCCUCGUUAGGCUUCCGCUUGAAGGUUGCCGAGUACAUGUCGUGUAAACGGCGGUAAGUGGUGAACGCGUGUAUGAAGAAGUACACCCCUGCAGGGUAUAAAACUAUUCGAAUAGCCGCGUCCGCGGUAAAGGACUACUUGGUUACCUAUAUAGUUCAUAGAAAAGUUAAUGGAUACUACUAAAAGACUCAAGAUAAGUGUGAGUGAGGGAGUCCUGGAUUAGGGGGUGUUCAAGUAGCCGGACUAUACCUCCAGCCGGACUCCAGGACUAUGAAGAUACAAGAUUGAAGACUUCGUCCCGUGUCCGGAUGGGACUUUCCUUGGCGUGGAAGGCAAGCUUGGCGAUGCGGAUACUCAAUAUCUCCUACCAUUGUAACCGACUCUGUGUAACCCUAACCCUAUCCGGUUUCUAUAUAAACCGAAGGGUUGUAGUCUGUAGGACAUCAACUCCAUAUACAACAAUCAUACCAUAGGCUAGCUUCUAGGGUUUAGCCUCCUUGAUCUCGUGGUAGAUCUACUCUUGUACUACCCAUAUCAUCAAUAUUAAUCAAGCAGGAGUAGGGUAUUACCUCCAUCGAGAGGGCCCGAACCUGGGUAAAAACAUCGUGUCCCUUGUCUCCUGUUACCAUCUGGCCUUGACGCACAGUUCGGGACCUCCUACCCGAGAUCCGCCGGUUUUGACACCGACAUUGGUGCUUUCAUUGAGCGUUCCUCUGUGUCGUCUCCUUUAGGCCCGAUGGCUCCCUUGAUCAUCAACAACGAUGAGGUCCAGGGUGAGACUUUUCUCCCCAGACAGAUCUUCAUCUUCGGCGGCUUCGCACUGCGGGCCAAUUCGCUUGGCCACCUGAAGUAGAUCGAAAGCUACGCCCCUGGCCGUCAAGUCAGGUUGGGAAGCCUAAACUACAUGGCAGACAUCCACAGAGAUUUGAUCUUCGACGGAUUGGAGCCACAACCAAGCGCGCCGCACUGUCUCGCGGGGCAUGAUCUAGCUCGGAAACAAAUACAUAAACUGUUUUGAAUUUUUUUUGAAUUUACUGUUCAUAGAGGGUGUAGGGGCAUCCAGGUACUGAAAAUCCUAUCUCGAAAACAAAUACAUAAACUCAUAUUAUGACGGAGGCAGAAGCGGAGUGUUCACCAGAACUAAAGACAUCUUGAACAGUAGGCUGAAAAAAAGAAACCAACAAAGUUAUUCGAUUGAUGAGAUGAUUAACAAAUAUUAUGACAUAUCGUUCCUAUAUAAUAGGAUAUGUCAGCGACGGUAAAGUGCUCCAUUUGCGAAUAGGGAUUCUAUCCGUAUUCUGCCAUGCUCGAUGUAGCAGUAGCACUAUAGAAGUUGCGCCAUUAUGCUCACCAUGUGUAGGGCCUAAUUGUGUGUUCUUUGGGCUGCAAAACACCCAUGUGCUCAUAUUCAAAAUGGAAAAUUCUGUUUCCGCGUCUGUUCUAUCGGAAAACAUCUUCCAUUUCCGCAUAAAACAAUUCAUUUCCAUUUCACUUUUUCAAAUUUCAAUUUCCACUUCCAUUUUCCCUCACCAUUUACUCUUGUCCGCAGGAAAGGCUGAAAGUUUCCGCUCCAUUUACCCCUACUUGGCUACUCAUGAGGUUGGAGUGUGUUAAUUUGGGUUCGUAAUAGUAGGGUCAGCACAGUUAUCCAUGUCGCGACCCAUGCACCAGCAGUUUCCUAACCCCUCACUCAGUAAUUGGCUUUAGUGUGCAGCGUGCAAUUCCUGAUGCCUCCCAAGCCUACAUUACGGCCAACUCAUGUCAAUUUUGUGAUCUAUGUCUUCAUUUUUUCUUGUAUGCAUGAAAUUGCAACUCUAUGCCUAGAAUGGUUGAUUGUGACAGCAUAAGUUAGCUCCAAUCAAGGCUGUAUUAUGCGCUAGCAGGCUAUGUUUUUAUGGAAAAAAUUGGAGAAAAAUGUUAUAUAUAUUGAGCCACACUGGUAGAAAAAGGGCCUAUAGUCCCGGUUCGUAAGGGCCUUUAGUCCCGGUUCCUAAACCAGGACUAAAGUGUCGGUACUAAUGCCCCGACCCUUUUAGUCCCGGUUCAAUCCAGAACCGGGACUGAUGGGCCUCCAGGUGGGCAGUGCGCAGAGCCCAGGCAGGAGACCCUUUGGUCCCGGUUGGUGGCACCCACCGGGACAAAUAGGCAUCCACGCGUUAGCAUUUCUGUGGCUGGGGUUUUUGUUUUUUUUUGAAGGGGGUGGGGGGUUUGGGGGUUUUGGGGGGGUUAAUUUAGGUGUUUCAUAUAUUGUGUUAGCUAGCUAUAAUUAAUAGAGAGAAGUGUCCUCUCUUAUGUCCGUGCUUGGUCGACGCUACGUACUAUACAUACGUAUAGAGAGGACUAGACACGCUAGCUAGCUAGUAAGCAAACGAAGGAAACAGAAGAUCGUCAUGAACAUAUAUGCAUACAGAGAGAAGUGAUAUCGACCACCUCUCCUUCUCCGAGAGAUUGGUCGAACAACAAGUUCUCGUAUAUCUAUCUGACACUACCGGCUACAUAUAUACAAUAAUUAUCUCUUACAAAUAUAAUCAUACGGACUCAGGGUCCACAUAGAAUUCUCCGUCUUCAGGGAUCACGUGGUCAAGAAAGAAUGCCUCCAAAUCUUCUUGAAUUGCUCGCAUGCGAGCUGGUGCUAGGAGUUCAUCCCGCUUCCGAAACAUCUAAUUUAAAGAAGGGGGUCAAUAUAUAUAUAUAUAUAUGAAUGAAUGAAACUCAACACAAAUGAUGGUAAUAAAAUAAAAUUGUGAAUGUUGUUAUUUACAUACUUCAUAUUGUUCGUCAGUGUAGCCCUGCUCACAGGUCGUGUGGCGGAUGGACUCGCAAACGUAGUAUCCACAGAAAUCAUUCCCUUGUUCCUGCCACAACCACUUUACAAGAAAUAGAGGUUAAUCAAACUGAUAAGCAAGAAUGCCAAAUGGUAUUGAUGAAACUAGUGCUUGAAUGACUAGUAGAUGCACUUAAAAUGCUACUAUAGUACUUACUUUCGGGUGUCUAAAUUGCAGCUCCUUCGGCAGUCCCAGAGCUUUUCUGGUGAAUUUUCUCCAAACCCUGCCGGACAAAGAAAACAAUUACUUGAUAUAUGAGGAAAUGAACAAAGUUGCUGAUAUGGUGGAUAAUGAUCGAUUUAACUUACUUCUCGAGUAUUUGAGUCAUGUCUGCAUAGUCCUGGGGAUCUUUUCGUCUUGAGUCUAAGACGGUUACUAGUCCCUGCUUAAGCUUAAUCUCUAGGAGAAUAUAGUGGAAACUGCACACGCAUGCAUAACUCAUCAAUUACGUUACUAUAACCUUGACUAAUAUAUAAGGGAAACCGAAUACGCACAAGACAUUAACACUCACUUGAAGUUGUAAGGAAAGAGUAUUAUAUCUUUGUUUUCAUUUAUUACGAACGAUCGUAGGAAGUUGGCCUCGGUAGCUGCGGCAUGAAAUUUAACCUGAGUUGCAUCUAUGAGAUAUGUGUUAAUGAACCCAAUAUCACCGACUUGUCUUUUCUUCAAUUCGGCGAUCUUCAAUCUGCAUAAUAUAGUGAGGAUGAUUAUAAAUACAUGCAAUGAAAGAGCUAAGCUAUAUAGAGAAACUUAAUGACAGAAGUAGUACUACUUACACACAAUAGCAGGCGACCGUUGUUUUAUCGAGGGCCAAUUGAUUGAAAAAGUGAUAGAACUCCUCAAAUGGAACAUGCAACAGUUCAAUUCCAACGAGGUCAUGCUCCUUUUUAACUUUCACAUACAAUGUACUCCUCCCCCCAGAGUCUCUGCAGAUUUUCAAGUACCAAUCAUGCAAUCUUCGGAUCAUCGUUGAUAGAGAUCUUUCAUCUUUGACGAGAGGCUUCCCGUACUCGUAUCUUUGUAUCUGCACGUCCAUGGGUUCAUAAUGUACUUCGUCGGGCAGGUAAUCUGCAAGAUUGCUAUAACUGGGCACCAUCCUCGGAUCAUUAGCAAUGUUGUGGCUAGGCACCUUGAGCGGGGGGCACGAUUGCUUCGCUUGUUCGCCGAGCUGGGCAAUUUGUUUCCCAGCUCGUCGUUCUUUCAGCCUUUGAUCACUGACUGUACUUCCCGACCGCUCUGCUUCGGCAAAUUCCUUUCCAAUAAUGCGCUCAUAGUUUCCUUUCGGCGGAGACUUCGGUGGUUUUGUCAGGGCAGCCAGAGUGCACUUCACUUUCACCGGAUCUACCUUCUCCUCCGGAGGUGGAUGUCUCUUUGCUCUCAACCCUUGAAACCAGUCAUCCACUUCGGUUCACGUGAUCUCGGCGUUCUCCUCCGGGGUCCUCUCAUAUGGUAACUUCUCUGGAGUCUUCACAGAAGGACCGAAUCUGUAUGUCCUCCCGCCUCUGGUUGUACUGCUAGACGUCGACCGAGUAGACGGAGCGGUUGUCUUCUUUACUUUCUAACGAGGCGGAGGAGAAGGACUACGACGCACCAGAGCAGCUAGAGCGGUGGCAGGUCUCUUCCACCCAUGCUAACGAGGCGGAGAAGGAGGAGGCUGGCUGCUCGGGCGCGUCGACACAGGAGGAGAAGGAGGCGGAGUGAUGCCACGCGCCGGAGAAGGAGCUGGCCGAGGGCCCUGAUCGUCACUCGCCGAAGGAGGAGGUGGUGGAGGAGGCGGAGUGCCCUGACUUGCCGGAGGAGGAGGAGGAGGCGGAGGCGUCCAGUUCGGAAGGUUGAUGAGCUCCUUCCGCCAUAGGCAUGGAGUCUUCAGAGCAGACCCCAGCCGAGUCUCCCCUUCACCGGUAGGGUGGUCAAGCUGGAGGUCCUCAAAUCCCUCCGUUAUUUCAUCCACCAUCACCCUAGCAUAUCCUUCUGGAAUUGACCGACAGUGAAAAGUUGCGCCGGGUUCAGUAGGAUAAACAGAGCCAACAGCCACCUUCACCUUCAAAUUCAUCCAUUGCGUCAUAAGGUGGCAAUUUUGAGACUCCGUGAUAGCAUCCAAGGGAUAGCUGGCAGGAGCCGUCAAGGCAUGCUCCGGCUGAAGCAGCUCGGUGGAAGCCACGCUGCUUCUGCGCUGAGAUGGCGGGGUAGCUUCAGGGGAGGCUUCGGCAGUACGUUUGCUGUGAUUUGCUUCUCGUUCCUCUAUCACGUCUACCCUUGCUUGCAGCGCCUACAUUUGGGUCCGCUGCACUUUUUUCCUCCUCUCAUGGGACUUGUAACCGCCUGCGUCCGGAAACCCAACCUUCCACGGAAUGGAGCCUGGCGUGCCUCGUGUCCGUCCAGGGUGCUCAGGAUUCCCGAGGGCCAUUGUGAGCUCGUCGUUCUCUUUGUCUGGACAGAACGUCCCUUCCUGCACUGCUUCGAUAUACUGCUUAAGCUUCCUGACUGAUAUGUCCAUUUGCUCGUUCGUCCAAAUGCACUUCCCUGUUAUAGGGUCCAAGGUUCCGCCAGCCCUGAAGAACCAAGUCCGGCAACGGUCUGGCCAGUUAAUUGUCUCUGGUUCGAUCCCUUUAUCAACCAGAUCAUUCUCAGUCUUGGACCACUUAGGCCGGGCUACGAGGUAGCCACCUGACCCCGUGCGAUGGUGAAGCUUCUUCUUCGCAGCAUUUUGCUUGUUUGUCGCGGACAUCUUCUUACUCUUUUCCGAUGUCUUGUGGGCAACAAAUGCGGGCUAGUGAUCUCUGAUCUUCUCAUAUCUGCCCUUGAAUUCUGGUGUCUCAUUAUUUUUGACAAACUUAUUCAGCUCUUUCUUCCACCUCCUGAAUAGUUCUGCCAUCCUCUUAAGAGCAAAAGACUUGAUUAAUUUCUCUUUAACUGGGUUCUCUGGAUUAUCCUCUGGCGGUAGGGUGAAAUUUGACUUCAGCUCAGUCCAAAGAUCAUUUUUCUGCAUAUCAUUGACACAAGACACCUCAGGGUUUUCUAUAGCCGGCUUAAACCAUUUCUGGAUGCUUAUCGGGAUCUUGUCCCUAACCAGAACCCCACACUGAGCAACAAAUGCGCUCUUUGUCCGGAGGGGUUCAAUCGGUUGGCCGUCGGGCGCAAUUGCUAUGAUCUCAAACUUUUCAUCCGAGCUCAACUUUUUCUUCGGGCCUCGUCUCUUUACCGAAGUUGUGCUCGAUCUGGAGGGCUAGAAAAAAGAACAAAGACUUAAUUAAUAUGUGUACAUACAAAAAACAAUGAAUGCAUCAAUCAGCUAGUCAGCACAGGCUUAACUAAUAUAUAUACCUGGCCGGACUCGGUUCGGUCACCGGAGUCGUCAUCACGGUCUCCUUCUUGCACCGGCAUUGGGUCACUGGAGCCGUCCUCAUGUUCUUCUUCUUGCACCGGCAUUAGGUCACCGUAGCCAGCUUGUUCACCCUCUCCUUCCAGACCAUCGGUUUCGUUGACAAAAAACGAGACGGCAUCACUUCCUUCUGCGAUUAUGUCCCUCAACAACGCUUCUUUUACUUCGUCUAGGGCGGUGUCCAUAGUUUCUACAAAUAUUUACAACAUGGCAAUUAUUAUUCAAACAUGACAGAUGGAUAUAUUAGUGCCAAACGUAGAACUAGCUACCUAAUCAUAGUAAGCUAUCAGGAGGGGGUAUAUAUCGACAACGACGACACUACAUCUAUGUCCCUCGACGACCCUCAUUCCCGAUAAAAAAAAGAGGAAGAAGAAGAAAAAAAAUAGGAGAAGAAAGAACUCCUCUAUUCUUUCUUCUCCUAUUUUUUUCUUCUUACUCUUCUUUUUUUAUCCUCUUCUUCCUCUAAUGUUCGAGAGGAUCGCCGAGGGGUCGGGAGGUUGCGUAGUGUCAAAGGAUUCAACAAAACCAUGUCUUCAUCAUUAGGCGAAAGUAACAUGUGCAUGAUGGUACGAAGCUCUUCAAAGUUGUUCUGGAACGGAGUCCCAGAUAGGAUAAUUCACUUUUUGGUACAAAGUUCACCAAGAGCCUUCCGAAUAUCGCUAUUUGGAAGGCCUUUGCUGAAUUCGUACCAAAAGGCGGAUUAUUCUAUCCGGGACUCCAUUCUAGAACAACUUUGCAGAACUUCGUACCAACAUGCCUUGGUUACUUCCGGCUAAUGAUGAAGGCAUGGAUUUCUUCAAUACUUUGACACUAGGAAACCUCUCUCGACCCCUCGGCGAUCGUCAACCCCUCGAACCCUCAACGACCCUGGAACCCUCGACCCCUAGACGACCCUCUUCUUCCUCUCAUUUUCGAGAGGAUCGCCGAGGGGUCGGGAGGUUGCGUAGUGUCAAAGGAUUCAACAAAACCAUGUCUUCAUCAUUAGGCGAAAGUAACAUGUGCAUGAUGGUACGAAGCUCUUCAAAGUUGUUCUGGAACGGAGUCCCAGAUAGGAUAAUUUGCUUUUUGGUACAAAGUUCAGCAAGAGCCUUCCGAAUAUCGCUAUUUGGAAGGCCUUUGCUGAAUUCGUACCGAAAGGCGGAUUAUUCUAUCCGGGACUCCAUUCCAGAACAACUUUGCAGAACUUUGUACCAACAUGCCCUGGUUACUUCCGGCUAAUGAUGAAGGCAUGGAUUUAUUCAAUACUUUGACACUAGGAAACCUCUCUCGACCCCUCGGCGAUCCUCGACCCCUCAAACCCUCGACGACCCUGGAACCCUUGACCCCUUGAACCCUCGACGACCCUGGAACCCUCGACCCCUAGACGACCCUGGAACCCUCGACCCCUAGACGACCCUGGAACCCUCGACCCUCGACCCUAUAGAACCCUCGAACCCUCGACCCUGAAACCCUCGACCCUUGACCCCUUAACGACCCUCGACACUCUACCCUAGUUCCCGACCCUCGACCCCUCGGCGAUCCGUGACACCCUCGUUCCCGAUAAAAAUUAAGAAGAAGAAGAAGAAGAAGAAGAAGAAGAAGAAGAAGAAGAAAGAGGAGAAGAAGAAGAAAGGAAUAGCUAGAGGAGAAGAUCGAAGAAAAAAAAGAAGAAAAAAAGAGGAGAAGAAGAAAGGAAUAGUGGAGAAGUAGAAAAAAUAGAAUAUAUUCUAUUUUUUCUACUUCCCCACUAUUCCUUUCUUCUUCUCCUCUUCUUUUUCUUCUUUUUUCUUCUUCUUAUUUAUUUAUCCUCUUCUUCUUCUUGUUUAGUUCUCUCGACCCCUCGUCCCUCUCUUGACCCCUCGACGACCCUCGUCCCUAAUAACAUUUUUUUCUCCCCUCGACACCUCUCGACCUCUCGUCCCACUCUCGACCCCUCAUCAUCAUCUAUCACCCCCUCGUUUUCUUUAGCAUAUAUCCAUGAACAAAAUAGAGGAGAAGAUCGAAGAAAAAAAAGAAGUCUUCCUCUUCUUAUUUUCCUUUUUCCACUCCUUCCUUUUCUUCUUCUUCUUCUUCUUCCUUCUUCCUUCUUCCUCUUUUCUUCCUUUUCCUUAUUUUACUUUUUCCUCUACACUAACCUAAUUAAAAUGCACUAACCUAAAAUCGAUAUCUACUAACAAACUAAAUAAAAAAUUAAUACAUAUAUGAAAAAACAUAUAUAAACAAAAAAAUGCUAUGAACAUUAUAUUCAUACAUACAUAUAUAGCCACACCCAUUCAUCAUAUAGCUAUAAACAAAAAAAUUAAUACAUAUAUGAAAAAACAUAUAUAAAAAACAGAGCCUCGACGGCGGCGGCUCACAACGGGGGCGNNNNNNNNNNNNNNNNNNNNNNNNNNNNNNNNNNNNNNNNNNNNNNNNNNNNNNNNNNNNNNNNNNNNNNNNNNNNNNNNNNNNNNNNNNNNNNNNNNNNNNNNNNNNNNNNNNNNNNNNNNNNNNNNNNNNNNNNNNNNNNNNNNNNNNNNNNNNNNNNNNNNNNNNNNNNNNNNNNNNNNNNNNNNNNNNNNNNNNNNNNNNNNNNNNNNNNNNNNNNNNNNNNNNNNNNNNNNNNNNNNNNNNNNNNNNNNNNNNNNNNNNNNNNNNNNNNNNNNNNNNNNNNNNNNNNNNNNNNNNNNNNNNNNNNNNNNNNNNNNNNNNNNNNNNNNNNNNNNNNNNNNNNNNNNNNNNNNNNNNNNNNNNNNNNNNNNNNNNNNNNNNNNNNNNNNNNNNNNNNNNNNNNNNNNNNNNNNNNNNNNNNNNNNNNNNNNNNNNNNNNNNNNNNNNNNNNNNNNNNNNNNNNNNNNNNNNNNNNNNNNNNNNNNNNNNNNNNNNNNNNNNNNNNNNNNNNNNNNNNNNNNNNNNNNNNNNNNNNNNNNNNNNNNNNNNNNNNNNNNNNNNNNNNNNNNNNNNNNNNNNNNNNNNNNNNNNNNNNNNNNNNNNNNNNNNNNNNNNNNNNNNNNNNNNNNNNNNNNNNNNNNNNNNNNNNNNNNNNNNNNNNNNNNNNNNNNNNNNNNNNNNNNNNNNNNNNNNNNNNNNNNNNNNNNNNNNNNNNNNNNNNNNNNNNNNNNNNNNNNNNNNNNNNNNNNNNNNNNNNNNNNNNNNNNNNNNNNNNNNNNNNNNNNNNNNNNNNNNNNNNNNNNNNNNNNNNNNNNNNNNNNNNNNNNNNNNNNNNNNNNNNNNNNNNNNNNNNNNNNNNNNNNNNNNNNNNNNNNAAUUUGUGUGAAUCACUAGUUUAUGAAUAACUUUACUAUAAAAAUAGAUUUUUUUUCUAUUUAUUUUUUAUUUAUACUUAAAACUAAAUACUUAUAGUUUUUUAGUGAUUUCUUUUUGAUUUUAGGUCACAAAAAUUAUAAACUUUCUGUUAGUGGCAUUAGUUUGAAAAUUUUGAAUAGUUUAAAUUUGUAUUUUUUAAAAUUUGUGUGAAUCACUAGUUUAUGAAUAAUUUUACUAUAAAAAUAGAAUUUUUUUUCUUUUUUGCUAUUUAUUUUUUAUUUAUACUUACAAUUAAAUACUUAUAGUUUCAUUUUAGGUCACAAAAAUUAUAUUCUUUUUGCUAUUGAAGAAUAUUAUAGUUUUAUUUGAGUUGAUCAUAACAUAAUAUUUUAAUUGAUUGUUUUUAUUUUCAUAAAAGUUUUGUAGUUCAUUCUGUUUGCUAUUAAUUCAUUCUUUGAGCUAAAUGACCCUGAAAUUGGAAAGCAUUUAAAAUGAACUUUGAAAAAGUUGAAAGUUGGGAUGGUAUCAUAAUUUCACCCACAUAGCAUGUGCAUGUACAAAACGGACAAUGGUAGCAUGUUCGUGUGUUACAAAGUUGGCAUGGUAUCAUCAUAAUAGUUGCGGGAGAUAGUCUUCACUUUUUCUUCGCUUGUGUCAUUUGCUUAUUACGCCGUAACCAUGGAUAAUCUUCAUUGUCUAUCAGGAUGCUUGAGUCAGCCUUGACAUUGAAGGGAGGAAUUUCAUGAAACUUUUCAUAAUCUUCAGACAUGUCUGGCUUGCCGUCCACUCCCAGGAUGUCCCUUUUUCCUGAAAGAACUAUGUGGCGCUUUGGCUCAUCGUAUGAUGUAUUCGCUUCCUUAUCUUUUCUUUUUCUCGGUUUGGUAGACAUGUCCUUCACAUAGAUAACCUGUGCCACAUCAUUGGCUAGGACGAACGGUUCGUCAGUGUACCCAAGAUUUUUCAGAUCCACUGUUGUCAUUCCGUACUAUGGGUCUACCUGUACCCCGCCGCCGAACAGAUUGACCCAUUUGCACUUAAAUAAAGGGACCUUAAAAUCAGGUCCGUAGUCAAGUUCCCAUAUGUCCACUAUGUAACCAUAAUAUGUAUCCUUUCCGCUCUCGGUUGCUGCAUCAAAGCGGACACCGCUGUUUUGGUUGGUGCUCUUUUGAUCUUGGGUGAUCGUGUAAAAUGUAUUCCCAUUUAUCUCGUAUCCUUUGUAAGUCAAUACAGUCAAAGAUGGUCCCCUGGACAACAAGUACAACUCAUCACAAAUAGUGUUGUCACCUAUGAGACGUGUUUCCAACCAACUGCUGAAAGUCCUGAUGUGUUCACAUGUAAUCCAGUCGUCGCACUGCUUCGAGUAUUUGGAGCGUAGACUGUUCUUGUGUUCAUCGACAUACGGGGUCACCAAGGUAGAGUUCUGUAGAACUGUGUAGUGUGCUUGAGACCAAGAAUAUCCGUCCCUGCAUAUUAUUGAGUCUCUUCCAAGAGUGCCUUUUCCAGUCAGUCUCCCCUCAUACCGCGAUUUAGGGAGACCUAUCUUGUUAAGGCCAGGAAUGAAGUCAACACAAAACCUGAUAACCUCCUCUGUUUGAUGGCCCAUGGAGAUGCUUCCUUCUAUCCUAGCGCGAUUACGGACAUAUUUCUUUAGGACUCCCAUGAACCUCUCAAAGGGGAACAUAUUGUGUAGAAAUACGGGCCCCAGGAUGAAAAUCUCGUCAACUAGAUGAACUAGGACGUGCGUCAUGAUAUUGAAGAAGGAUGGUGGGAACACCAGCUCGAAACUGACAAGACAUUGCUCCACAUCACUCCUUAGCCUUGGUAUGAUUUCUGGAUCGAUCACCUUCUGAGAGAUUGCAUUGAGGAAUGCACAUAGCUUCACAAUGGCUAAUCGGACGUUUUCCGGUAGAAGCCCCCUCAAUGCAACCGGAAGCAGUUGCGUCAUAAUCACGUGGCAGUCAUGAGACUUUAUGUUCUGAAACUUUUUCUCUGGCAUAUUUAUUAUUCCCUUUAUAUUCGACGAGAAGUCAGUCGUGACCUUCAUACUGAGUAGGCAUUCAAAGAAGAUUUCCUUCUCUUCUUUCGUAAGAGCGUAGCUGGCAGGACCUUUAUACUUCUUCGGAGGCAUGCCGUCUUUUUUGUGCAAACAUUGCAGGUCCUCCCGUGCCUCAGGUGUAUCUUUUGUCUUCCCAUACACACCCAAGAAGCCUAGCAGGUUCACGCAAAGGUUCUUCAUCACGUGCAUCACGUCGAUUGAGGAGCGGACCUCUAGGACUUUCCAGUAGGGUAGGUCCCAAAAUAUAGAUUUCUUCUUCCACAUGGGUGCGUGUCCCUCAGCGUCAUUCAGAACAGCUAGUCCACCGGGACCCUUUCCAAAGAUUACGUAGUGUAAAUCAUUGACCAUAGCAAGCACGUGAUCACCGGUGCGCAUGGCGGGCUUCUUCCGGUGAUCUGCCUCGCCUUUGAAAUGCUUGCCUUUCUUUCGACAUUGAUGGUUGGUCGGAAGAAAUCGACGAUGGCCCAGGUACACAUUCUUACUGCAUUUGUCUAGGUAUAUACUUUCAGUGUCAUCUAAACAGUGCGUGCAUGCGUGGUAUCCUUUGUUUGUCUGUCCUGAAAGGUUACUGAGAGCGGGCCAAUCGUUGAUGGUCACGAACAGCAACGCCUUAAGGUUAAAUUCCUCCUAUCUGUGCUCAUCCCACGUACGUACACCGUUUUCAUUCCACAGCUGUAAAACUUCUUCAACUAAUGGCCUUAGGUACACAUCAAUGUCGUUGCCGGGUUGCUUAGGGCCUUGGAUAAGAACUGGCAUCAUAAUGAACUUCCGCUUCAUGCACAUCCAAGGAGGAAGGUUAUACAUACAUAGAGUCACGGGCCAGGUGCUGUGAUUGCUACUCUGCUCCCCGAAAGGAUUAAUGCCAUCCGCGCUUAAAGCAAACCAUACAUUCCUUGGGUCCUUUGCAAACUCAUCCCAGUACUUUCUCUCGAUUUUUCUCCACUGCGACCCGUCAGCGGGUGCUCUCAACUUCCCAUCUUUCUUUCGGUUCUCACUGUGCCAUCGCAUCAACUUGGAAUGCUCUUCGUUUUUGAACAGACAUUUCAAUCGUGGUAUUAUAGGAGCAUACCACAUCACCUUCGCAGGAACCCUCUUCCUGGGGGGCUCGCCGUCAACAUCACGAGGGUCAUCUCGUCUGAUCUUAUACCGCAAUGCACCACAUACCGGGCAUGCGUUCAGAUCCUUGUAUGCACCGCGGUAGAGGAUGCAGUCAUUAGGGCAUGCAUGUAUCUUCUCCACCUCCAAUCCUAGAGGGCAUACGACCUUCUUUGCUGCGUAUGUACUGUCGGGCAUUUCAUUAUCCUUUGGAAGCUUCUUCUUCAAUAUUUUCAGUAGCUUCUCAAAUCCUUUGUCAGCCACAACAUUCUCUGCCUUCCACUGCAGCAAUUCCAGUAUGGUACCGAGAUUUGUGUUGCCAUCUUCGCAAUUGGGGUAUAACCCUUUUUUGUGAUCCUCUAACAUGCGAUCAAACUUCAGCUUCUCCUUUUGACUAAUGCAUUGCGUCCUUGCAUCGACAAUGACCCGGCGGAGAUCAUCAUCAUCGGGCACAUCGUCUGGUUCCUCUUGAUCUUCAGCAGCUUCACCCGUUGCAGCAUCAUUGGGCACAUCGUCUGGUUCCUCUUGAUCUUCACCAGCUCCCCCCGUUGCAGCAUCACCGUAUUCAGGGGGCACAUAGUUGUCAUCGUACUCUUCUUCUUCGCCGUCUUCCAUCAUAACCCCUAUUUCUCCGUGCCUCGUCCAAACAUUAUAGUGUGGCAUGAAACCCUUGUAAAGCAGGUGGGAGUGAAGGAUUUUCCAGUUAGAGUAAGACCUCGUAUUCCCACAUUCAGUGCAUGGACAACACAUAAAACCAUUCUGCUUGUUUGCCUCAGCCACAUCGAGAAACUCAUGCACGCCCUUAAUGUACUCGCGGGUGUGUCUGUCACCGUACAUCCAUUGUCGGUUCAUCUGCGUGCAUUAUAUAUAAUUAAGUGUCCAAAUUAAUAGAAGUUCAUCAUCACAUUAAAACCAAAGUGCAUACAUAGUUCUCAUCUAACAACAUAUAGCUCUCUAGAGCAUCUAAUUAAUUAAACCAUACAUUGAAACUAUGUAAAACAUUUCAAUGCGAAAACAAAUGCGAUCAUAAUCGCAACCAAGGUAACAAUUGAUCCAACGGCAUAAUGAUACCAAGCCUUGGUAUGAAUGGCAUAUUUUCUAAUCUUUCUAAUCUUCAAGCGCAUUGCAUCCAUCUUGAUCUUGUGAUCAUCAGCGACAUCCGCAACAUGCAACUCCAAUAUCAUCUUCUCCUCCUCAAUUUUUUUUAUUUUUUCCUUCAACAAAUUGUUUUCUUCUUCAACUAAAUUUAACCUUUCGACAAUAGGGUCGGUUGGCAUUUCUGAUUCACAUACAUCCUAGAUAAAUAAAAUCUAUGUCACGUUGGUCGGCAUAAUUUUCAUAAACAAUAAAUGAACCAAUAGCUAUAAAGAUAAUAUACAUACCACAUCCGAAUCAUAGACAGGACGAGGGCCGACGGGGGCGGAUACCAAAACCAUCGCACUAUAUAAGAUGCAAUAAUAAAUGUAAGAAAACGAUACAAGUAUCUAUCUAAACAUACAAGUAAGAAUAUUUUUCCUUUCAGAAAGAAGAUAAGAACAAGAGGCUCACCACGAUGGUGUCGGUGAUGAGAUCGGCGCGGGUGAUCGACGGCGGUGAAGACGGGGACGGGGCAUGACGGACCGCUAAAUCUAGACAAAUCUCGAGGAAAAUGGAGCUUGGAGGUCGAGCUUGGAGAGGAGAAAGCUUAAGUAGUGUCGCUCGGGCAUUCCAUCGAACACCUCAUGUGCAUAGGAGGUGAGCUGGAGCACCACAAAGCUCUCUCCCCCUCGGCCAGAAAAAACAGAGCAAUGUGCUCUGCUCUUGCGCGAGGGGGUAUAUAUAGGCACCUCAUUGGUCCCGGUUGGUGACAUGAGUCGGGACUAAAGGGGAGCCUUUGGUCCCGGUUCAAGCCACCAACCGGGACCAAUGGUGGUGGGCCAGGAGCGAGGCCCAUUGGUCCCGUUUCAUCCCAUAAACCGGGACCAAAAGGUCCAGAUGAACCAGGACCAAUGGCCCACGUGGCCCGGCCGGCCCCCUGGGCUCACGAACCAGGACCAAUGCCCACAUUGGUCCCGGUUCUAGACUGAACCGGGACUAAUGGGCUGACCCGGCCUGGACCAUAGCCCUGUUUUCUACUAGUGCCAGUUGGAUACUAGGGUGACACCUAUGACACACUUACUAUUUUUUCUGGCGACGGUGCACCUACCCACUUUGCAAGUAAUCUCAGGGCAUGUGAGCAGUACGGAAGAUAUGAAGUGGCUCCUUACUGUUAGUGCAUCCUGGUAAAUUGUGGUGUUGAGUUUGUGCCAAAGAAAGUUUCUUAGAGGGAAAGUGCCCAACACCCACUCUCCAUUUGCUUUGAUCGAAACCAAAUGCCUUCCAACCAUUUUCUAUGAAGAGAAAAGAGCAUAGUACUGCCGCAGCUCAGGCCUAACAAUUGUAGAAAAUCAAAAGUCAAUUGAUGUCAAAUUUAUUAAACCAUCACCACGGCAGGAAUGCCCAGCAGUGGUUGGUGCAAAAAGCCUAGUAGUGACGGGUCAGGCUCUCAAGGCCGCUCGCCACUGACCUCCCGCCAUAGCUUUGUUAUGGCACAGUGUUGUAGUGGCGCGUGUGCGUUAUCGCCCGGCACAACUAUAAUAACUACCGAGUUAUUUGUUUGUAUGUACCCGCCACUGCUUUGUCUCUGCUUGCCACUGUUGUGCGUAUUAGUAGUGCUAGGCACCUUUGCCGCCCGCCACUGGUAGAAUGGUAGUGAUGUUGUUAUAUAGAGUAAUUGCUGUCGUGGCAUCAUUUUAAUGGUGCUAAAGCAGUAUUUUGCACUCGAUUAUUCCACUGGGAUCAAACAAUCGUAUUACAAUGGUGAUACAAUAAUUAGGAGUAUUAAUGAUGCAAACAUACAGUAUAAGAAGUGUAGGGCAACAAAUAAAUAUGCGUGUCUUAACUCAUAUAAUGAACAACGAAUCAAGAUGUUCUGAAGCAGUGUAUCGCUCGUAAUCGAUUACCGUAAUAUGUCUUCGACUCGAUUAAGUCGUUCUUCAUCUCGCUCUAAUUGGCAGUGGAAUUUCCAAUCCUCAUUUACAACCUCUUUGUUGAUGAUUUUGGCCAACAUCUUUAGGAGGCCCCCAUACUCUGCUAAUAGUUUUUCUAUGUCCAUGUCCCUCUCCAUCUCUUCAUACCACUUGAUGAUCUGGCUAUCACUAUCAAAUAUUUGCUUUUCUUCAAAAUGUGGUCCAUGAUAGCCAUAGCAUAGUAGCCAGACCUAUGAGAGGUUUUCACAUUUUGUUUUUGAUAGCAACAAGCGCUAGUGAAGAACUUGAAUUUUGAAAGUUCUGUUAUCGUCUCUCUGAAGUUUUUACACUUGGUGACAGCAUCAUUUAUAACCUUCUUCAAUCUGGUCCGUUGGUUUUUAGGUUGUCUUUUUGAAUCGAUGAAAUAAGUCAAGCCCUGCAUCGGCAAUAGUGCGAUUACGAUCCAAUGUCGGUCGCUGCGCAAAAAAAUGAAGAAAUUAGCAUUGAUGAGAUCAAACCACAAGGCCAUUUAUAUGUUUCAAAAUAAAUGAGUGACAACUUACUUGUUGUAGUAUGGCACUAGAUGUGUCCGUAUGUGGAUGAUUGACGAUAAAGAACGGGAAAAAGUAGUCUGAGAUGACCUCCUAGCCUUCUGCGGCUUCCAGGUUGUUGCAGUGCAUGUAAAAAGGAUCAGGAAACUUUACUAUGCGGGAGUAGGGCAUUUGUAGCUCGAUGAAGCACCUAAAGCCGCAUUAACUCUGAGGAGACUGCACUGACGGAGAAGAUAUUUGCAUGGAUGACCUCAUUAAAGGCCAGAUCAAUGAUGUCUGCCGGAAACUCCUAGACAAAACUAUAACCUUCUAUGACCUUGACCGUGUAUCCAUGUUGGCCUUCUUUUCAUUUAUCUACAACAUGGGCGUGUAGAACUUGAAGAUCAAUCAGAGAGUCCGGUAUAAGCAGUUCCCUAGGCUUAUACAUAUUCUUUUUCCGCCCUUUGUGGAUGACAACAUGCAUAGGUGGUUUGUGUGCCGAUGAUCCGCAACUGUCACGUGCAUUCUUCUCCCCUGAAUGCGGAAUAUCUGGCACUACGUCUCUGAUGUUGGCAUAUCUGUGGGGAACAUCCUCUAUAUCAUUUAUCGGCCAGUUAAGCAGGUGGCUCUAGGUCACUUGCCCUAACAUUGUGAUGCCCUCUUCAGGGGGAUGUGGCAACGACCAAUAUUCAAGGCCCGUCACUACCUCCUACAUCUGCACCCUCGUCAUGUCAAGUGCCGGGAUGACCCUGUGCAUCAUUCUGCUACCAUUGGUAAAUGGGGUGAUUUGCCCCUUGGCAACCUUGUCUUUACCCCACCGACGUUGGCUUGUGGUCAACAUGGAAUAAAGUGGGAUGCUCGUGGCUGUUAGGUGAUCCUAGGUGUAUGCUGCAGGGUAGGACUUGGCAUGUUGUGCGGAAACAUUUCUGCUAACCUCUUCUUGAGUGUUGCGUCUAUUACUGCAUCUAAGUUAGUUUUGAUUAUGUCUAGGUGUAUCCUUCUGUAAUUUUUUAGUUCUUUGGUUUCGGGGUAGGCGUCGUCCUACCACAUCUUACCCAUGCCCAAUACAUGCCUAGUCUUGGUCUUCCUGUUAGGCCCAAAACCCUCGUUCAUUGUCCGGGUAAGAGGGUCAUCAUACCUAUUGCUGUAGGGAGAUUCAUGAGGGCGAGGUCCAAAUUCCUACUUUAUUUUUCUCCACAAAAAAUACAUGUGUUUUGGUAAACGAUUAUUAAAUUACGUAAAAAUAAGUUGUGGGGACUAAAUUAUUAGUGGUGAUUGAUGUUACCAAGUUCUCCUCUGUCGAGCAAAGUUUCUGCGUCGGGAGGACCAACUCCUUACUGUCUGUGUCUUGCACUGCACGGGCCCAUAGAAAACAGAAGUCAUGAGCAGGAUCGCAAUUUUCCGAGAACGGAGGCGGUUUACCUGCGGCUAUAAAGUCUGCGGCCUCCUUCUCCCACUUUGGUAUAGCAGCUUUGUAACCACCAGGGCCCAAACGGUGGUUACCUAGCAGAUUUUUUGGUAAAUUUCGAAAAUGGAAAUGAAUCGAUAUUUGGUCAAAAUAGUGACACUCAUAUUAAGUACUGCAAAUCAACACACAAAUUUGUGGCUGUGCAAUCGAACUCCACAAAUAAUGCUUGUAAACAACAGUUAUGAAAAAACAUAAAAUACAAUACCUCCACCGAAAAUUUCGGCAUGAGCUUUGCUAAAAGUAUGGCAUAUUGAGUAUCAGGAAUUUGCGAAAUGGAAAUGACUCAUUGUUUCGUCAAAACAUUGGCACUCAUAUUAAGUCCUGCAAAUCAAACACAACCAUCUGAUUUGUACAUCGAAUGACACCAAACCACAUGUUUGUAACAGGUACAUCUAAGAACAUCUAAGAUCUAACUCCUCUAUAUGGCAUUUCAUGAACACGUUACAAUUCUGUACAGUAGUGGUAUAUUAUGGAUGUGAAAAAUACCUUUUGACAGGUUUGGAGAAGAGCUUGCGAAGCCGGCGACGGUGUUGGAGGAGAUGGGGUUCGUUACGACAGCCGCGAGGGUCGAGAGGUGCCAAUGCAUGGUGGCGAGCCAUGAAAGCUGUAAGAAUAUACAGAAAAGGUGAUAGAUGGUCCCCCGGGUGCAGCCCUUUGGAACUUUGAAAAUAAAGGCCCUCACAGUUGUUAAGCUUGAUACUAACCAUGUAGUUGUACAAGACUUGUUUAAGCCAACCACACAAGGUAGUAUUGAACCCUCUCAACUUAUGGCAUUCCAAUAGGACGUCCCAAUUGCCCUUGUCAUACGACUUUCUCAAAAUCAAGUUUAAUCACUACCCGAACUCUCUUCUUGACAUGAGUAUAAUUAAGUAACUCAUGAAGAGACAACACCCUGUCCAUAAUAUUUCUGCCUUUAACAAAGGCAUUUUGGGUGGGGCUAAUGAGUUUCUCAGCAUAUUUCUCUACUCUUCGGUCCACUACUUUGGUGUUGAGCUUGUAGGGACCCCAAGGAGGCAAAUAGGCCAAAAUUGUUGCAUAUGGUCAAGACCAGAGACAAUGGGUAGGAGCUUAAUAACCAUGUAACUCGGAUGUUGGACAUCCAAAGUACAUUUAUGAAAAGUACCAAACAACUGCAUGAUUUCAUGCUUGACAGUAUCCUUACAACAUUGAUAACAUUCUACAAGGAUAUUGAGGGGCCCAGGAACCUUAUUAACAUCCAUGGCAAACAAAUCAUCCUUUCGUUUUUAGUAAACUCGUGAGUUAAGUCAGCAUUUGUCGUCAAGGUUAAGCUUUUCAUCGGUCCUCCAAGUAUCAGGGUCAAUAUGAAAUUGAUUUCCGAUGGCUGGACCAAACAAUUAUUUAUAGAAGUUACUGGCAUGUGUAUUAUAUUGACAGUGCCCAGAAUUUCAACCUCCCAAAGAUAGGGUCCUAAAAAGUUCUAGAGCGGGACCUGGACCUCCCUCCCUCCCCCGAUGCCACCCGCGAGGCGUCAGGGAGGUUUCUCGAUCACCGCCGCUGCACCCCCCUCUUCCUCCCUCCUCCACCCUUGCCGCCGCCAAGGGGCGUGGCCAGGCGAAGCCCGGGCAUCGUCUGCGGCGACGGGGCUCAUUCGUCCCCCGCUCGUGGGCUAUGGCGCGGGCUAGAUCUCCCGGCUGGGCACGGCGCUCGAUGCCGGGCAUGGCGGCACGACGGCGCUCGAUGCCGGGCGUGGCGUUCGACGGGCGGCGUGCGCCAUGGUGGUGAUGUGGGCCAGUGGUGGCGUUGGCGGCGGUGCUUCCGGCAGCGCGCUUUGGUGCCGCGUCCGGUGCGCGGGUCGCGGGCGACCCUCUCGCCAUGGUGCUCUGGUGGGGGGGCAGCAGAGGUGGUGGGCUGCUCCCACCCAGUCGGGCCAUCGCGGCUGGGUGGCGGCACUCGGCUCGGGUGGAUCCCCUCGUGGCUUCUUCAGGCAGCGGCGGCGACAGCUCAGUAACCCUCCCUCUCCGGCUUCUAGAGACGGACGAUGCCUCCUGAUGUUCUGGGCCUUCGAAGCAGGGGCGGAACACAGUUCCGGGGGGAAGUUGGAGCUGACACAGGUGUCGGUCAUGGCAAUGGGAAACUUCUCCGCCUUCCCCUUCCCCUGGUCGAUGUUGUCGCGGACCUUCUCGAGGGAGCUUUGCCAGCGGCGGUUUGGUGGUUGGGGUCGUGAAUCUUGACAAAGUCGUGGACAUUGGUGGCUUCGACGUGGUCUCAUGGCGGGGCGGCGGCCCUGGUGGUGGGAGUCGCAUUGGUCGUGGGCGGAUUGCACGGAAUGCGGGCAGGCUACUAUGGCCGCUCGGGCGGCAUGGCUGUGGGUGUUGGCGGACCGGGGUGGCGGCGGGGGAGCUGAAGCACCGGGGUACAUCACCUACCCAGUACCGAUCUGGUCGACGGUGACGGCGUCCGUGGGCAUCAUGUUUCUCCUUGCAGGCUUCGUCGUGGUGCUUCUUCUCCCUUCAUCUUACUCCGGGUGAAAACUUGAUCUUUGGAUCAGAUGGUGGCGAUGUUCUUGCUCGUGCCCUUCCUGGAGGCACCGUCUUGGAGUCCUCGGUCCGGCGUGUCCGUCGCACAUUCUCUCGGAUGAUCGCUCCUUGGUGGUGGUCUCCGUCGGCUCCUAGCGGAUCCUUUUUUUCUCAUCUUUUAGAUGCUUUGUGUCGUUGAGGUUGUGUGUCGGUGCCCGGCAUUCGUGUAUCUUGCCUUGGGUCAGUGUGGUGUGCGUUUUGUAUUGGAUGCUUGAUGUUGUGGUUGUGCUUUAUAAUAUAAAGCGAGGGGAACCCUUUUUCGUAAUUUCAACGUCCCCACACUUGAGAGCAUGGGU